UUGGUAAACCAACUUAAUGACUUAAAAUGACUUAAUAACUUAAUUUAAGUCAUUAAGUAAAUUAAGUAUGUUUGAUAAAAUAACGUAAUGGUAUGCCUUAAAGUAAAAUAAAAAUAAAAAACUUUAAGUAAUAAGUAAAAACAAGUAACUUAUUCUUAAGUUUACAUCUUUAUCUUACCAUUUUACCUUUAUUUGUCCUAGUUAUCUUUAUAAUUUCUUUUGUUAUUCUAUGGCCUCCAUUGUUACUCAAAUUUCUUUGCCUUAAUUAUAAUUUAUGAGGAUAUAUAUGUCAAUUUGAUGAUUUAAAACAAAUUUUAAGUUAAUUUUAUCAAACAACCUUAAUACUUAAUGCAAGAAUUGAGUAAUAAAUUUUAAGCUAGGAACUUAAGUAUAAUUUAACUUAAAAUUAACUUAAGUCAUUAAAUAAUAAAUACUAAAUUUUAACAAACAUCCCCUCAAUGUGAAUCCAAGUCCGUUGUCAUUUGCUUUUAACUGUUGUAUACAAUCAUAUCAAAAUCAGGAUCAUUAGUACAUAAUAAAGGAAGUCCCAUGUAAUAUUUUCCAUCUUUUCUUUUCCUCUAACACAACAUAUGAUUUUCAUACUACUCUGCCUUUAGGUAUUUAAUAUGCAUGGAAGACAUUAUUCCUACAUAUAAAAGUUUAAGGAAGCCUUGAUGUUAGAUUUUCCUAAACGGGUCCAAAAAUCUGGCCCAUAAUAUUAUAGGAUUUCCAUUGAUUUAGUUUUCCUUUUUAAUUGUCAUUAAUAGCCAUAAAUUAUGGCAUUGACUCUGUAAUGGACAGAGUGAAUAUAAAUAGAACAUUUGUAGUUAAGUCCCUAAGCUUUCAAUCUAUAUUCAGAUACAUACACACCAUCAUUUUGAGAUUGAUUAAAGGUUUAGAAGCACAUCAACUCAUCUUAAUAUCAAAUUGAUUUCCUAAUUCCCAAACCAUCAAUGGUCAAAGGUAUGUUUCAAUUCUUCCUUUAUUUCCACACUUGAUACAUGUCAUUAAGGUUUUGAACAUAUUUAGAUUGGUUUUAGCACCAGCAUUCACUACACACAUAAGAAUGAUAAUAGAAAUGAAAAUUAAGGUCAACUGAAAUCAAAAUCCAAAGCUAUAAAAAAAUUAAAUAGAGGUUAAAUGGACUCCUAUUAUUACAACUCAAACUAUAAUAUUGAUAAAUCUUUUUGGGUCAUCUAUCACAUGGCAGCAUUGGUGUUUUGACAAGAAAGAACAAAGUUAGUAAUUAAAUAAUUAAAAAUGAUAAAAUAAUAAAACAAAAACUCAUAUGUAAAUUUUUUGAGCUUCAUAUCUGCAUAAGGCAUAAGAUUCAUGAACAUAAAUUAAGGCAUGAAGAAUAGUGAGGUCAACUAACACAUGCAAUAAAGAAAGAAAAAUUUUGUGUGUAUGUAAGGUCAAUGUCUAUAGAAUGGUUGCAUGCAUGCAUGCGUAACCUUGAAAGUGAUUUCACUUAUCCAAGGAUUAUACUUAUGCAUGCAUGUGUUACACAAGUGUGAAGACUUUUCUUAAUUUGUGUCUUUUCCUAGACACCAAGCAUCGACUAGACUGUCAUCUUGAAACAAUUUUAAGGAAAAUGGAACAAAAGCAACAAUUUCAAAACACUUAGUCCUAUCUAGAAAUUAUUAUGUUAAAAUAGUUUUGAAUUUAACAAAUUUUGGAUUGAAAAUAGUCCUUUAAGAUUUUUUUUUUUUUUCAAACUAGAAUGAUUUUUUAGCAAAUAGAUAAAUAAAUAAAUAAAUAAAAUUUUUUUUUCAUAUAUGAGUCAUUGAAUAGAAUUUUAUUGCCACAAACAUCUUUUAAUAAUACUUGAAAACUUAUUUCUGAAAAUAUUGUUAAUUAAAAAUACCCUCAUUCAUUUUUCUUUACCUAUGGAUUGAGAUGGCAAGUUCAUUGAAUGAGAAAGUUGUAUAUACCAUCAUUUUUGUCAUCUUCUUCAUAUUUUAUUAAAGUUGGAAGUAUAAUUGAAAUUUGUAUGCAAAUCAAUCUAUAUAUAUAUUGUGGUAACAAAUUUAAAUGGAAAAAAUAAAUUAAAAAAAAAGGGUAAAUUAGGGAUAGUAAUGAGUCAGGUUCGGAUAGGUAACCUCAUCCCAACUCAUAUCUCAUUUAUAUAAACCUAUUCUCAUCAUUGUUCUAGUUAAAAAUUUAAAUGGACAAAAUUGUUUAUUAUUUAUAAUUUUUGAAUUUUUAAUUUUUUUAAUUUUAUUUAUAUUAAAAUAAAUAUAUUAUAAUUUUUUAUAACUUAUUUUAUUUGAAAAAUAGAUUUUUUUAUUAUUAUUAUUUUAUGUGUUAAGAAUGAGAAAAUAAAAAAUAAAUACAACUAUUUUUAAAAUUAAUUAUAUAUCCAAUGCCCAAACCCAUACAGUGUUUUUAAAAAGCAUCUCAACCUCGUCUCUAACCCAAUAUUUAUCUUUAAACUUAUCCUAUUGGGAGAAAGACAAGGUAGGUAUCGAAUAAUUAACAAAAAAAUAAUAAUCUAUUUCCUAGAAAAAUUAGUUGAACCGAAGUAUUUUAGAAAAUGAUAAUAUGAUCAAUACAAAAUAACAUCUAACUCUCUUAUUAUCUAGAAUUAAUAAAAAAAAAUCCUAAUUAAUCUUACUUCCCUAAGUAUGAGAUAUCCAAUGUCUAUGGCAGGAUCACCUAAUUUGGAGAACAAAAGCACUCCCCAUAAUUCCCUAAUUAAAUUCAAUACCCAAACUCAAUGAAGACAAGUCCUAAAAAGAAAAUGAAUACAGGAAAACCUAAAGACUACUAAAAUGACAUAGGACAACAAAUGAGGAAUAAGACACUACGAGAAGAUUCUAAGCUAUGGAAUGAAAUAUUUCAUUCAAAAGCGAAAGCUAUUAAAGAUUUUUAAGAGAUGAAAUCCUAAGAUAAACUAAAGAAAUGGAAUUGAAAAGAGAUGGAAGAAAGAAGGUAUGUACACAGAUAUGGGCAGAAAUAAAUGCUUGAAUGCCUCCAAACUCCCAAACGAACAGCUCACAAAUCCAAAUGUAGAACUCCAAAUCAAUACAAAAGAAAAAAGAAAAAAGAAAAACCCUCUCUCACCAAAAUACAAAAAUCCUAAAAAUAACAAAGAAAAGAGAUAAAUGUCCCAAGAGAAUAUGAGUCAUCCUACUUUAUCCUAGGGUUUCUAUAGACCCUCUAUUUUGUCAUCUUAGCACAUGCAAUACUAGGUGUUUUCCUGUACUUUCUGUUUGCCCUAUAAUCAUCCCUUACUCUAUCUUAGGGUUUUUGUAAACUCUCUAUUUUGUCCUUUUAGCACAUGCAAUAUUAAGUGUUUUCUUUUGGUUCUUGUUUGCCCUAUAGUCAUCCUUCAACGAUCCUUUGUCACUCAUAUGGCUUGCUCUCUCUAAGCCACCUUCGGAGAUCCUUUGUUGAAAGUUUUAUCUAUACCCUCAUCGUGAAUUUAGUAGCCUCUUAAGUUUAGUUUUAGGUUUAGGUCAAUUAGAUUUUUUUUAUAUUAAAUCCCACUUAGAUGAUUCUAGGCUUAAGUCACAUAGAUACCAUUUCUAAGCUUAGUUCACUACUUAGAUGCUUUUUUAGGUUUAAUCCACUUAAAUGUUUGAUCUUGAAUUUGAUUGCUUAAUCUUAGAAUUAGGUGAGCAUUACUUUGAUUCUUGAUUUUUGAUUGCAUAUGAUUAGAUAUUUAUAUUUUAUUUAUUAAAAAAAUUGCACCAGAGUGAUUUUUUUCUAAUUGCAUGAGAUUGCCUCUGGAAAGCAUACUGUCUCGGUAAGCGCUUUCUAGUUUCCGAGUCAUUAUUUUGAUCAUCCUUCUCCAUAUCUCCCACUCUAAGAAACUUAUCCCUGAUCUCCAGCUGAAUCUUUACAAGAGAUCAGAAACAAAAAGAAAUUGUAUAUCCAAAACGAAUUUAGAUGAUUCUGAGGAGAAUAGAAGAACACAACUAAUUAAGUUACACAAUGCUUACAAAUAAGGAGAUUUUGCACUCCAUGCAUGAGUUUUAUUUGUACUGACCAAUGCUUAUAAUCAGCUUAUUACAUACCACUAGAAUGAUAGGAUAAUACUUGCUUACAGGUAGUUCGAUAAUCUUCAAUAAGGACGCUGUCCGAUGUAGUUGCCCGGAGGAUAGUAGUUACAUAUGAUGUACCACCAUCCAUUGUUGCACUGAGCCCUAGCACACCCAAGACUCACUGAGUUACGCCAAACAACUUGAGUAUAGUGCCUGCAUUCCCCACCAACGCAUGAGUUGGAGUUGUAAUCAUAAUUAGGCUUCUCCGCCACCCACAAGUUCACUGCCGCAGUGCCUGUAAAUGAACCACUGCCCUUAGCAAGGUUCUCCCCAUAAGGCCCAUUCGAAUGCACGAGAUUGCAGUCCCCGAUCUGUUUGUUGGCAUAGCUCUGAGCAUAGGCGGCUACGGUGUUGUUCCAUGUCAUAGGCCCAACACUAACUUGUGCCCGAGCAGUAUUGUGAGCAUUGAGGUAGUCUUGUUGUGAGUUUUGAGCAUAGGAGGUGUGAACCAGCAGGGCCGAGCCUAUGAGACAAGCAAGUGCUACUGAAAUCUUACACAACCCCAUUUUCAGUUGUGAAGUUUACUGUAAUUGAUGUCGAAUGAGGACUGCUUUGAUGGGUAUUUAUAGGGAAAAUGAGCUGAAAAUAGGGUGAUCAAGAGCAUCACAAACAACCGUUACUUCAAGCAACUCCAAGUGGCCAAAACAUCCUACUUGGACACACAAGACUUUGUGGUGGCUUGCACAUGUAAAAGGACAAUAAUCGAUACAACAACUGACACAGUGAUCAAAAUGACUUUGAUCUUCACCUUAUUCUUGACAUGUGAUAAACAUCAUUUUGAAAAAAGUUUCAAGAUAUCUUCUAGGGUUUAGCCCGGGCAUCCAGGCUAGUUUGAUCAAGACUAGUAACUACGAGUUUCUAUUUCCAACAUUAAACCAAAUUGAAAGAAAACUCUAUAUGCUUGCUUUCAUGGUUGACAUAAAAAUUUAGCAGAACUUGAAGUUUAGGGUGGCAUUUCCAAUAUUGACAGAUUGAAUUCUUUCCUGAUUCAAUCACUCUUCUAUGAUUAAUCCGAUCUAAAUCUACACGAUAUAUCACCAGAAACUUGCAGAGCAUUGAGAGGUGUAUAUUAUGAAUAAAACACAUUCAGAAUAAUAUCAAAGUUGGGACCAUCAUGUGUUACAAGUGCCAUGUGAUCAAGUUAGGACCACCAUAGACUUUUGUGGCCUUGCGCAUGGGAUUUGUAGUAACCGUAAUAUUUCAAGACUAUCACGUCUUGUUUGGUAACAUAUUUUGAAAAUAAUUCUAAAAAAUAAUUUUAAAGUACAAUUUUUAAAAAUUAUUUUCUAAUAUUUUAUAAAACAAAUGUGUUUGAAAAUGUGAAAUAUUUUUAACAUGUUUUUAAUAUUUUUAAAUCUAUUUUAAAAAUAAUUUUUAUGUCUACUAUUUUAUUUUUAAUCAUUCUACAUGUUUAUAUAUAAUUAUUUUUUAAAGUAAUACUUAAAAAACAACUGAAAACAAAUAAAAGAUGUAAUUUGAAAAUACCUUAUUUUCUGUUUUUAAUAACAAAAAAUAUAAAACAAUUUUUUGGUUGUGCAACGUGCUUUUAUUUUUAAAAUUUUUGUUCUAAAGAACAAAAAACUGUUCUUGAAAACAUUUGUCAAGCAGCGCUUUAACAUCUAAUGAAAAUCAAACUUCAACAUCUAAUGAAAAUCAAACGCUAGAUGCUCUAAACCACUAUAAAAGUUAUCGACAUAUUUAAAAUUAAGGGAGUCUCCUUUUGACCAAUUUAAGAUCACACAAUCACCAUCAAGAUUAAUAUAAUGUCAAGCUUUCUCUCUAAUAAUGAAUAUGGAAUUUUAGAAUUACCCUAAAAUUGUAGGCUUGUAAAAAUAUAUAUUUACUCAAACUCUCAACCAAACAACUAUAUUUAGACUGUGUUUCAUAGUAAUUAUAAAAGAUGUUUCUAAUAUUUUUAAUAUUUACAGGAUUAAAAUUUUCAAAUGUUAUAAAAGGUAGAAAUACUUCUUAAAAUCACUAUCAAAUGCAUUCUUAUAAUCUAUUUGGCAAUACUUUUUGAAAGGGUUUAUCCCUAAAAACACUUCAAAGCAUUUUUAAGGUAUAAAAUGGGCGUUUGGAAAUUUUGAAAAACACUUUUAAAAUUUUAGAAAAACAAUUGACAUAUUUGUUUAGAAAAAAUGCUUUUUUGAAAAGAAAAAAAAAUCAAAAUUUUUCAUAUAUUUCUAAAAUACAAUUUCCCGCUAUCCUCCAUCACUGUUCGCUUCCUUCUCAUUCUCUUCUUCCUCUUUCACUUCCAUUUCAUAAAAAUAAUUUUUUGAGUUUUUUUUAAUAAUAUAAAUGUUUAUAUAUAUAUAUAUAUUUUUUUUGUAAUUAAAUUUUUUUGAUUUAUUAUAAUAUUUUCCUUUUAUAAUAAAUAUCAUUUUUAGUACUUUAUUAUUAUUAAAAACGUUUUUAUAUUUAUGUGAUAUAUUAUCAAAAAUAUUAUUAGAAUCACUUUAUCAUAUUCUGAUAAAAGUGUUUUUCAUAAAAAUAUUAUAAAAGAAAAACGCUUCCAAUAAAAAUACAAUCGCUAGAAGUAGUGCAAAUGGGCUCCUACAAGUAAGAUGAAUGUUAUCUUUAACUUGGCAUGAAUGAUCAAAAUUGGGACCAUGUGUACAUGAUAGUGGAAGUCCCGUGUAAUAGUUUCCACCCUUUCUUUUCCUCUGACACGGUAUGUAGACACUUGGUUUUGUGCAUGUGGGAUGGAUGUUAUAUGCCUUUCAUAUGUAUGUCCACAUUCUUAGCUUUGUCGAAAGGUCAAAAGGCCUGGUAUCAAAUGAUCAUCAUUGAAUGUCAAAGCCAGUAAAUAAUUAAAAAUGAUAAAAUGAAAUCGAAAAACUCUUUCAAAUCUUUUGAGUUUCAUGUCUAUGCAUAAGGCAUAUGAUUCAUGAAUUUUGCGCACAUGCAAUAAUUUGAAAUAGUUGUUAGUAAUCACAAAUAUAUACUUUGAUUUUUAUAAAUGUAUCAGAUAUAUCGUGAUAUAUUAAUGAAUAUUUUAACAUAAAAUAUAAGUAACGUAAAAAUUAAUUAAAAUUCUAAAAACAUUAAGAAAAACUUUUUAAAAAAAAUUAUAUAAGUAAAAAUAGGCAUUUUAAAGUUUUUUUUUUAAAAAAAAAUAUUCAUAUAUAUAAUUUACCAUAUUUGAUAAUAAUAUCUUCUACAUCCAUAAAAAAAAUAUAAAUUUUAUAAACUUAUAUUUAUUAUUAAGUUGCAUUAUAUAUUAUUUUACAAUAAUAUUAUGAUAAUAUGUCUAACUUUAAAUAUAUAUAUUUAAUAUUAAAAUUAUAAUAUUUUUAAUUUAAAUAUAUUAAAUGAUAUCAAAUAAAUAAUAAUAUAUGUAUAAAUUUUUUAAUAUUUAUAUUUUUUAUUUAUUUAAUAUAUAGAUUAUAUAAAAAAGACAUAUUAAGAAAAUUAUGUUUUUAUAUGUUUUUUAAUAAAUUAAAUCAAAUAUAAAAAUUAAAUAAUUAUAAUUAAUUUAUUUAAUAAUAAAAAAAUAAAAAUAAAAUCGAUGAAAUAUCGAUCAAAAUCAAUGAAAUAUCAGUAAAAUAUUAGUAAAAUAUCUAGAAAUAUUAUUAAAUAUAUAGAGGAUUCUGAAUAUUUUAAACCUGGCAUGUGUUACACAUACUGCUAGACACCAGGCAUUGACCGAAUUGUUAUCUUGAAACCGGUACCCAAAUGUCUAAAAUGUUAUGGAAAAUGGUAUAGAAUAAAUAAUUCCAAGACACUUAGGCCUAUAUGAAAAUUAUUGUGUUUAAACAGUUUCGUCCUUAACAAAUUUUGGUUUGAAAAUAUUCUUUUAAGAAUUUGUUUUGAAUAUAGAAUAUAUUUUUUAGAACAAACUUGUGACAUUUCUUAUUCUUUUUCCUUUUCUUUUUUCUUUUUUGUUCUUUGUCAAUGUUACGAAUUUUUGCAUUAUACAUCUUUUUAAAGAAUAAAUCAAGGACAUUGGUUUUCAAAUUUGAGUUCUUUAACAAAAUUUUAUUGCUACAAACAUUUUUUAAUCAUUACUUUAUUUUUGAAAUUUUUGUUAAACAAACACUUAAGUUGUAUUUGGUUCUUAGAAAAUAUUAAGAAAAAAAAUUGAAAGGAAAAUUUUUUUUUCAUAUUUAGUUGUAUUAUAAAAAAUAUCAAAGAAAAUCAAAUAUAAUUAAAACUAAUUAAAAACUUCUAUAUUUUUACAUGGUUUUAAAAAUCGAACCUGACCGGCCGAUCCCGGUUCUUGUUUGAUCCAGCUAAUUGAGUAGGGUAAGGGUUGAAUCGGAAUCGAACCAGUUGAAUCGACUGGUUCCCUUCGAACUGCACGGUUCAACCUUUUUUUCUUAAUUUUUUUUUAAGCCAAAAAAACUUUUUUUUAAGCCAAAUUUUUUUUUUUUUUUUAAGCCAAACAAAACAUUUUGAUGCAUUUUGCACCAAAACGACAAUGUUAGUUAAGGGAACCAAAUCACUCUAUGAGGAUUCCGUCCAACCCAUUUGUCAUCAAGUUCGAUAAGUUUUUAGUUUUACAAGUUAAUGAUUCUUGAAUACCUUUUAUACCCUACAAUCCCUACAUUUUUUUUUUUAAUCUAUUUUCGAUGUGAGAUUAGUUAGUGGGAAGAAAAAAAUUUGCAAACUCGAGAGCUUCUGCUAGAACUUUCAAGUGUAAAAAUUAAAACUUAACCAUUAAGUUAUGAAACUUCUUCAUUGUAUUAUAUUUGCAAAUAAUAUAACAAUUAAUAAUUUUUUUUCAAAUUUUUACUGUAUAAAAGUAUAAAGCACUUUCACAUUUAUUAUAUAAUAAUUAUAUAAUGAAAUUAAAAAAUAAUGUAAAUUAAUUAAUAUAAUAAUUUUAAAAUAAUAAAAUACAAAAGACAUGCAAAUAAAAUUAAAUAUUAUAAUUUUUUUAAUUUUAAAUAUAACUUUAUAUUUAAAUAUUAUAAAUGUUCUAUUUAAUAAAUUUUAAAAUAUUAAUAUAGUUAUAUUUAUCUUCAUCAUUUAAUUUGAUAUACCAAAUAUAAAAAUGAAAUAUUAUGUAAAAUUUUUAAUUAUAUUUAAUUUUAAUUUCUUAUCAUUAUUUAAAAUUUUAUAUAAUAAAUAAAUUAUUAUUUAUGACGUCACCGGUUCGAUCAUGGUCCGACCAUCAGUUCAAUCGUGGUCCGACUAGUGAACCGUAAACUGCUAACUUUUCCAAUUCAAUCAUCGAUCCAAUUCUAAAAUCGAAUAAAUUAUUCUCUAAACUUCUUAAAUACUAGCACUAUGUCUUUUUGGUUGAACUGUGUUAAUUUUAAUGGACGAAAAUGUCAUGUGUUGUACACGUGACUAAAUAAGUAAGAGUAGAUUUGUAAAUUGAAUCACAUAAAUAGAGCUCUCUCUCAUUUUUCUUCUUUGUUCUUCCUCUAAAACCCUAAGUCCUCAAACAUUCCCAAAUCUGAAUUCCUAGAAUCCUGAAAUUUGUGAAGAAAAAACAUAGUUGGAUGAGUAAUAAAUCAUCCUAUUCAUUGCUAUUAAGGAUCGCAAUGAGGUGGGUUCGGGACAGGUUGCCUCCAUCCCAACCCUGUCCCGUUUAUUCAAAAUAAUUCACAUCUCAAUCUCAUUUAAAAAAUUAAACAGGGCGAGGUGGGACGAGGUGGGUAUGAUAAAUUCUCAUACUCGUCCUACCCCGUCCCGUUUAACUUUUUUUUAAAUUUUUAAUUUUUUUAAAAUUACUUUUAAUUUUUUUAAAUUACAUUAAAAUAAAUACAUUUUAUAAAUAAUUAAAUUUUUAUAUUUUUGAUAACUUAUUUUAUUAAAAAUAGUAAAAUAAAAAUUAAUUUUAUUUAAUUUAAAAAAUUAAUUUAAUUUAAUUUAAAAUUUCAAUUUUAUAUAUAAUUGAGGUGGGGCGAGAUGGGACAAGGCAAUACCCGAACCCGCCCUGGGUUUUAAAAAAAUUCCCAAACCCAUCCCAUUACCAUCCCUAAUAGUUAUUGUGGUAAUGAGGCUCGUAUUCUAACAUUUUGGACCAAUCUAAAUAUGAGAAGGUUUAUGGGAUACAAUAAACAUAAGGUAAUAAUGUCUUGAUUUCCAAAUUGACUCUUAGCCAUUUGGUCUUUGUAGAUAUCUUAUUAUUAUGUGUUCAAUUUUUGUUACAAAUAUAUGAAGAAUAUGGAUUCUUCUUGUGGUACAAUGCUCCCCCAGACUAUACAACUAUUACCAUUAUAAGUGAUUCUAUGACUUUACAUUUGAGUUAAGUGUCUAACCAAGAUCUUGAGUCUUAAAAUCUUUAGGGUUCCUCUUUUUCAUCGCCAACUCCAAUUUGCUUUAUCCUAUUUUGCUUCUUUUCUUCAUCAUCAUUCUGUUUCUAGGGUUCUUUUUCUUCAUGAGAUUGUCUCUAAAAAGCAUUUUGUCUCGAUAAAUACUUUCUAUCAUCUGAGUCAUUAUUUUGAUCAUCCUUCUCCAUAUCUCCCAUUCUAAGAAACUUAUACCUAAUCUCUGAUUAGAUCUUUACAAAAGGAAAGAAACAAAAAGAAAUUGUAUAUCCAAAACGAAUUUAUAUGAUUAUGAGGUGGUCUCAAUAUCCAAAAACCAUCUUAUACGGUUGUUAAUCGAAAAAUAAAUAGAGCUUUCUCCCACUUACACAUGCACACAUACACACCUCCACACACCCUGACAUUUGCUCCAUAUCACAUUUAUUGAUUAAAAUAUAUUUCCUGAAAUUUUCCGAUCGAAUGAUGAAGGUCUCUACACAUUAAUAUUUGAUUAGGUAAAAAGUUUAGUAAAAGUUAGUCAAAAGCCAACAAAUUGAAUUUUUGCUACAUAAGAUUCGUACAUUGAGAAUUUCAGAAGUUCGAUUUAAUUUUGAAAGUGAUUUAGUCAUCAAAUUUUUUGAGAUUGGAUAGGAAAUUUGAAUAUUAGUUGUUGAAAAUUAAUUUAAUUAUCAUUAGGUGAUUAUUAGUUAACCUUAGUUGAUAUAUUGGGAAUAAAUUCGUAUCAUGUUCUAUUAUUAUGCUAAAUUUUUUAAGAAAUUGAAUUUAACAAUUAUAACAUUCACAUAUGUUUUCUUUCCUAGCUUUAUUUUAAUAUUAAAUUUGUUAUUAUUAAAAUAAUAACAUAAAAAAUCUAUGAAAAUAUAUAUUUUUAGGUGUUAAAAUAAAAUUAAUUAAUUAAUAUUAGGAAAUUUAUUAAAAUAGAAUAAAAUAAAAGUUUGUUCGAAUGGUGUUAAUGUUUUUCCUUUUCUUUUUGUUCAUAAUGGUUGAAAUCUCCAUAUUUUUCUUUCUUUCUUUCUUUCUUUUCUAUUUGUUGAAUUCCUAAGCAUGUAUGGCUUCACCAUGAUAAGAUAGAAGAUGGGUUUCUGGUUCCACUUCUUCACACGCCACAUUAUUUUCAGGUAACUCUAUUUGAAUUAAAAUAAAAGAAAUGAGUUUGAAUUGUAAAUUUAUUUUUUAUUUUUCUUCAUUUUUUCUUUUCUUCUACUUUUUCUCUCUAUUUUCUUUUCCUUACAUUUUUCGUCAAAUAUCUGAACCAAACAUAGCCUAUAGCUUUAACAAAACUAUGAACUUUAUAGUGUAAAUAUGGCCUAUAACUCUAUUUUGUUGGCUAUAAACAUAGAUAUCAACUUUAUUAUUUGAAUCUUUAAGUAAAGAUGGUCGUAAUAAGAAUGUAUAAUAAAGAUCGCAAAACCUCAAUAGAAAGAAAACCAUAUUUAAAAUAAAUAAAUAAAAAAGGCAAAUAUUAAGAGGGUAUUUAGUGUAUUAACUUAAUGACUUAAAUGACUUAAUUUAAGUCAUUAAGUAAAUUUAAAUAUAUAUAUAUAUAUAUAUAUAAUAAAAUAACUUAAUAUCACAACUUAAAGUUAAAAGUAACUUUAAGUAUUAUGUCAAAAUAAUUAACUUAUUUUUAAUCUUGAAUUUCUUUUACCUCAUUCACUCAUGUUUAUUGAGAGUAUAUUUUACUUUCAUAACUCAUUUUUUACAGUAAAUAUUUUUACAAUUAUCCUAUAUAUCUAUAAUAUUUUAAAUAUAAAUGUUUAACAAAUAAAUUUAUUACUUAAUAUUAAUAAAAAUAUAAAUAUUAAUCAAAAUUAAUAAGGAUAAAUAUGUUAAUUUAAUGAUUUAGAAUAAUAUUAAGUUGACUUUAUCAAACAACUUUAAUACUUAAAUAAAAAAUAAGUAAUAAAGUUUAAGUGAACAAUUUAAGAACAAUUUAACUUAAAACCAACUUAAAUCAUUAAAUAAUAAGUAUUAAGCUUUACUAAACACCCUCUAAUUUAAUUUCAUUCAUCAAAAAUAAAUUGUUUUUUUUCAAAUUCAUACAUUCCAAUCUCAGUCAAUUUGGUUCCCUUGGAGGUGAUAAAUGCCUAGACCUAACUCAUCACAUAUUUGAUACAGAACUUCCCAAUUGGAGCCAAGCCUCCUGUCCCUAGGAUUGCUCGAGUAUUUUCAAUGCUCGGGAAAGCACCAAGCCAACUUUUAAAUUCCAUCUUUGCACUUCUUUGUCAUAUUCUUGGAUAGUUGUUUAGUGAUAUGUGGCCAUCUUUAUUAAAGUGUCUUCACAUUUUUCUUCCGUCGAGUGCAAGGAACUUUGUGUACCUUCUUCAUUUGCUUGUGAUUCCCACAUCAAUAGAAAUUCAUGUUAGUGGAUUGUAUUCAUCCCAUAUUAAAGCUUAGGCAUUCUAGUAAAUAGGUCAAUUCAAACAUAAUGCAAAUAACAAUCGGAUUAAAAACAUUAAAAUUCACAUACGACCUAAUUAUCAAAUAGGUAACAUAUUGUAUAACUCAUUUUACUCAUUUAAUAAUAAAAUCUUUAUAUUCAAUAAUCAAGUUGAUUUAUGUCUUGAUUAUUUUCUCAACCAAAUAUUUUUUUACAACUUAAUUGACCUAUUUAUUCAAAAGCAAAUUAAAAAUAAGUCAAAUAUAGGUUAAAUAAUUUAAAGUUAUAAUUAGGUUAACCAGCAUGAUUAUUAAAUGAAUCAAUUCAGGUUAAUUUUGUGUUAUGCAGGUUGACUAAAAACCACUCAUUUAUUAAAUGGGUUAUAUAGAUAGAUACAAAUCUAACUAACACACGAUUAUACUCAAUCUAAACCCACAAAAUAUGUAUUAAAUUCGAGUUGUAUACAUGAAUUGUAUUGAAUUUAUUAGGGGCAAUUGUAAUCCCUAUUCUUGUUCAUGAAUCCAAAAAUAUGGCCAAGCUUUCGUCCAUUUUUGUGAAGUAAUGAAUCACUGCUAGAAGGAAUCUUCUCUACCUCAAAGCUCGAGGUAAUGGUUCUAAUUAAUAUAUUAAUUCCCCGUUAAGCAAAGGGUCAUAGCUUAGUCAAAUUUAAUAUUGACUUUAUAUUUUAAUUAUUUCUUCAUGAUUUAUGAUUUUUAUUUAGGAUGCUUUUGAUAGUAUUUUUACUUCUAAUUAAUGCUUUCAAUAGAAGUAUUUUAUUUUAAAAUAUUUUUAGAAGAAUCAUUUAUCAAGUAUUUUUUCAAGAAACACUAAAAAUAAUGUUUCAACACUACAAGUGAUUUUUUAAAUUCAAGCAUCCGAUUUUUCUUCAAAAAUACUUUUUAGGUUAAAAGUAUUUUUAAAAAGCAUUGUCAAACAAACUCUUAUAGAACAUUUGUUUAGUUUUUCAAACCUUCCUCAUCUUCUCAUCUUUCAUUUCUUCCAACCAAAAACUAAAUCAAUGGAGUAAAAUAUUUGUAACAUAUACAAAUUAAAGGAAUAUUUUCCAACCAAAAAUUAAGCAAAAUAUCUAUAGUAUAUGCAAAUUAAAAUAUUGAAAUUAAUAUUAUUAGUAUAAUCAAAAUUAUAAUUAGACAAUAUAGAAUGAAUAACAACCAAAAAAAAUUAGUAAAUUUAUUUGAUAACAAUGUAUAUAGUAAAUUUACUUUAAUCAUAAGUGGUAUCAGAGCAAGGCUUCUUGUUAAGACUUAACCGUCUAAGAAGUAAUGGCUAUUCCAUCAAGCUCAUCCAAAAUUGAAAGUUUUUCAACCACCCGACCUCCACUUUUCACAAGAACCGACUAUCCCUAUUGAAAAACUAAAAUGACUUGAUUUAUCCAAUCUACUAGUCUUGAUUUAUGGGAUGUCAUUGAAGAUGGUCCCCACAUUCCUUCAAAAUUAGAAAAUUGAGUGAUGGUUCCAAAACUUAAGCAUGAAUGGGAUGAACUUGAUAGAAAGAAAGUUCAAUUAAAUGUUAAAGCCGUUUUUAUCUUACAUUGUGCUAUUGAUAGAAAUGAAUUUAAUCGUAUUUGGCAUUGUAAGUUGGCUAAAGAAAUUUGGAAACUAUUAGAAGUCACUUAUGAGGGAAACGACCAAGUUAAAGAGUCUAAAAUCAAUAUCCUUAUGCAUGAUUAUGAAUUAUUUUCAAUAAAGGAUUUUGAAUCUAUUGUUGAGAUGUUUUCUAGGUUCAUUAUGAUUGUGAAUGAACUUGAAGCCUUGGGAAAGACCUACAUCGAAGUAGAGAAAGUCAUGAAGAUCUUAAGGUCUCUACCAAGGAAAUGGGAAACAAAAGUGACGGCUAUUCAAGAAGCGAAGGAUCUCACCAAGCUCUUACUUGAAGAACUCAUUGGGUCACUCAUGACUUAUGAGAUAAAGUUGUACAAUCAUCAAAGAGUUGAAGAAAAUGAGAAAAGUAUAGCCUUUAUGGCUAUAACAAAUGAUGAUGAAGAGGAAGAGAGUGAAAGUGAAAGUGAUGAGGUAAACUCCAACUCUAACCAUUUUGAUUUUCAAGAUGAGCUUCAAAAAUUAUAUUUUAAUCUUGAAAAACUUGGUUCCAAAAAUAUCCCUCUCAAGAAAAAGAUUUCUUGUCUUCUAAAUGACCUCAAUGAGGAUAAUGAAAAUUUUGAAAAUAUUGAGAAGACAAAAAUCCCUUUUGAAAAGGAAAAUGAGGAGCUAAAAAUUCUCAAAUGGCCAAAAGACUUUUGAUAUGAUUUUGGCAAAUCAAAAAUUGCAUUUUUGAUAAAAAGAGGUUAGCCUACAAGCCUUUCAAAAAUCAUUUUUUUUUAAAGGAAACCUCUAGUUUUUCGCCUUUCGCUAUUUGCGAUUUUUGUGAAAGAAGGGGUUACUUUGGUGAUAUUUGAAAAUCCCCUCAUGUUCUUCAAAACUCUAAAUUAUUUUGGAUUCCAAAGGAAAGAAAGACUAACCCUCUAGGACCCAAAAAGAUAUGGGUACCAAAGGUUUCUUAAAAUUGUUUAGUAGGGAUCCAUGCAAAAAGGAGGAUAUGCUUACCUUGGAAAGAACGCGUUGACAAUAUUGGUAAUGGUAUCCCUUCUAAAGCUAAAUUUGCAAUUGGUAUCAUUUUUCCUAACACUUGGUAUAUCUUUUGAUAAUAUAACUUUUGGUAUCACUUUGAUAAAAUUGGCAUAUUUGUUAAACCAAGGUUUUGGAUUUAAAAAGAAUAUUUUUGAUAUACAUAUGUAAAAUUGAAUGAUCAUAUGCUUGUGUGCCCUAAAAAUUUUUAUUUAAUUCAUGUUAAAUAUCUUUUUAAUGCAUAUGUUCUCCCAUAUAUAUUUUUCCAAAUCAUGCUUUAAAUUGGGAAUGCUCUAAAAAUGAGCAAUCUUUUAUUUGGAAACUAUUCUCAAAUGAAAAAGGGGAAGAUUCAUUUUCAUGAGAAAUCAUAUCAUGCUUAUUGUUUAUUUUUUAAACUUUUGAUAACAUGUGAUUCCCCUUAUAUACUUUAUUGAAACUUUUUGUUGAUGACAAAAAGGGGAAUAAGUAAUGGUAGGUUGCUAACUUGGGAAGAUAUUUCAAUAUUGUUUUAGCAAUCCUAUUCAUAUUAAUGCUAUGUGCUUUAUUGGUUAUAUUUGUAUGCAUCAUUUUUAAUAAUAAUGUCUUGCCAAAUUGCUAAAUGCUCUUUAUGCUAUUUAUGUUUGAUUAUAUCAUUUUGAGCAUCCUUAAUAUACUCCUUGAAGUUUCUAAACUUGAAAAUUUUCUAAAUUCAAAGGAGCAUAUAUUGAAGGGAAGCUUUUUAGCAACCUAGGUUUUGUCAUCAUCAAAAAAUGGGAGAUUGUGAAACCAAGGUUUGGUUAAUCUUGAUUUUGAUGAUAACAAAACAAGGUUUAGAACUAAUGAUCAUAUUUCAAGUGUGAUUAGGCAAGACGAUUUCCAAAGUGGCAAUGACAAAGACAAAUCAAGCCAAGGAGAAAGCAUGAAGAAGAAGACCACCUCAAAGAGAAGAGUUUUUCAAGACCAAAGCUUCAUAAGAUCUCUUUGUAAGGUUGUUAGUGCACUAGGACUUUCAUGCAUUUCAUUCUUUAUUUAUGCACCAAAAUCAUCCAAGAGUAAUAUUGUUUUAAAUAUCUUAAGAAUUGGAUGAUUUCAUGUUUUCAACUAAAACCUUGUGUUAAAUGAUUUUCAAACUUGUGUUAAAAGGUUUUAAGUUGAAAAAAGUUGGACCGGUUGUGCUAGUCAGGUCGAAGACCGAUUGAGGAAGGCCAAAAAGUUUAUCUCUCUCCCAGUGGCCUUCUCUUCCCGGUCAAGGUUGAACCUCAACUGGUAGCCAAAAAAUGGCUCAACCGGUUGACCAGUUGUGCUAGUCCGGUCGAGAACCGGUUAAGGGAGGCCAAAAAGUUUCUCUCUCUCCCAAUGGCCUUCUCUUCCCGGUCAAGGUUGAACCUCAACCGGUUGAGGUCCGGUUGAGGUCCGGUCGAGGUCCAGUUAAGGCCCAACGGUCACUUUCCAAGCAUUAAAUGCUAACGGCUAGUCAACCGGUUGACCCCUAGCUCGACCGGUCGAACCCCCAACGGCUAGUUUGGCUUUUUUCUUCUAUAAAAAGGCUCCAAUUUCAUUGUUUCAUAAGUUUAACCUUCCCAAAUCAUUCUUGAUUAUAUUUGAGCCUUGGAAGAGUGUUUUUUAGUGCACCAUCGUUUCAUAACUUGAAUAUCUUUAGUGCACCAUUCAAUCCUAGUUUUUCUUGUAUCUUUGAGCCUAAAGUUCUAUUACUAAGAUUUUUGUGAGAUCAUUAUUUGUAUAUCUUUUCGAAGAAUUUUCUCAAGUGAGGGGUAUCAAUUGAGAGGUUGUUCAAGAGAUGGAUAUCUCUUGAAGAAGUGUAAAGGGUGCUUGGAUCCAAAAGUCCAAGAGGGUGAAUUGGAACCAUAAUCCAAUUGUAAAGAGAUUGGAAGCUUGGUUGAAGCUUCAAGAUAGUGGAACCCUCACUCGAUUAGGAGGUUGAGAAGAGUGGAUGUAGGCAAAGAAAUGUCGAACCACUAUAAACUCUCAUGUUUGCACUCUCUCUUCCCUAACUCUUUUAAAUUAUAUGCAAUUGUCUUUAUUUUGUUUAUUAUAUACUUGCAUAUAAUUGUCUCUUAUUUUUGCAUAGUUUAAAUUUGUGAAAAAAAGACCAUCACCCUAUUUACCCCCCACCCCCUCUAGGGUGAUUACCAUAGUUUGGAUUAGUCUCAAAUUCCUAACAAUAAGGGAUACAAAAAAAAAUUAUUUAAUUAUAAUGGAUAAAGUAAAUUCACUUUCCAACAAAUGUAACAUUUGUGGUGUACCUCAUAAGCAUGCUAAAGUUUCCCAUUGCUUAAUCAAUUAUUCUUAGAUCUAUGAGCCAAGAAACAUCUUCUCUAAAUUUACCACUAAUAUAUUGGAUCAAGUUUUCUUUAUGGUGAUGAAUACUUGACUUCUUUAAAACUUCUUUUCUCCUUUCUAUAUUUUAUUUGACUUGAAACCCUGUCUUGUUUCACCCUUCUUGAAGAGUUAAUGGAGUAUUUUCAAUGUGCCCUUUUUUCUUUAUGAAAUUUGCCCUAUAACGCUAUUCUUCUUUCCACCCUCGUAAGUGAUUGUGGUUAUCACCUUUGGUAUCAAAGUCGUUCUUGUUUCAAAUUGACAUAUUUGUAUAUUCUAGUGAACAUUCAAAACCGUUGUUCUUCUUCCAAAUUGUCAUAUUUGCAUAUUCUAGUGAACAUUUCCCCCAUACUCGUAGACUUCUUAUGUGAUACGAAUCAAAGUUAGGGGUAUAGGCCUCUCUUAAAGGCAAUCCUGGCUAAAGUGUCAUCGAAACUCUCCAUGUGAACUAUGGUUACACUAAAAUUCUUGGCAUAAUUACAAGUGGACUCUCCAUGUAAUUGGAUAUAAUAAAGAGAGUCUAUGUCACACCUUUGCCCAAAUGGGCACAUAUAUUGUGAAAUAAGGUUGUGCAUAACUUUGAACACAAGGAAAUAGAUCCUCUUUGAAAUAUUGUGGAACUACACCAAGACUAGUCCAACAAACUUAAUUUGAAGGAAAUACUCUAAAAAAAAAUGUUAGAUAUGUAUGUCUUGUAUCUCAAUUACUCUUCUAUUUUAGGUUUAUGUCCACAUGAAUAAUGAUAAGCUCGUCAAUGAAGCAACAAUACUUGUUAUUUAUAUACAAUUUCAUCAUUUAAGAUCAUUUAUAUCCAUUAAGGUACCAUUCAUGGAAGGAUGGGAAUACAUUCCAACCGAGAUAAAAGGUGAGGGGACUGAUUUGUAAUUCAUGUGAAAUAUGAAACUAGUGUGCAAAAUGUGAAAAAUAAGGGAUGUUAGUAUAAUUUAUUUUAAAAUUAAUUAUUAGAAAAUAAAAUUAGUUAAUAGAUACACAAAUGAAUAAUAAUGAGAAGAAGAAGAAUUAAAGUAUCUAUUUAUUAAUAAGAAUGAAAAUAUCUAUUUUAACUAGGAUUAAAAAAUGUAUUUUAAUAAAUUCCCUUCUUUUCUAAGCAUCUAAGAUGCUCAAAAUUAUAACAAUUAUAACAACAUACUGUUAAAUAUGAAUGAGAAAUAAUUUGCUAUUUUCAUUUUCUUUUAUUUUCACCCGAUUCACUCUGUUUUCUUCAUUUUGCUUAACCCAUGAUGGUAAAACCCUUCUUUCAAUAUUAGGAAAAAUAUCAAUGAUGAGUUGUAGAAAUAUUUGACAAAAAUUUAUGAAAAAAUAUUAGUGGAUCGAAAAUUUGAUGAAAUCUCUUAAAAGUAUUGUGAAAUAAUGAUAAGAAAUAAUAAAAUAAAUAAUAAUACCCAUGUUAAAAUUGUGUUAUUGAACAAAACAAUAUGCAUAUUAUGGGACCUCGCAUCCAUCCAGGCAUAAAUCCAUUUCCCUUCUAGGUAUUAGGUGGACAAAGGGCUAUCUGAACAGUGCCCAUAUUCAUUGCACGAGUAAUAAAUGUUCUAAGUCGUUACAACAAGAGCAAUCCUGAACAUAAAUACCUAACUUUAAACCUAGAAACCGUUAGUCGCUAAGCCAAUUAUGGGUCCAUUUAAAGCAUUAAAGAGACACAUGAAACGUUACAACUUUAUCAAAAUAAAAGGUCACUAGACAUGAAGUUUAGGUAUGAAAUAAGCUCCCUAAAAGCUAUUAUCUAUCUUUUUCAAAUAUUAACUUAAGCUUCGAAGGGACGCACCGAAAAAACCAUUUGGACAUACUUUAUUGCGUGCAUGCUCGUCGUUCGCUCAAAAGAAGCUAACCAGAAAAAACAUUAUUGGUUGUGUACCAACACAUAUGAUAAAAAUUGUCACAUAACAUACAAAACUUACAAACAUAUUUAAUGUUAAAAUGAUGAUUUCUUAUGAAUAUAUUCAAUAAUACAAUUAUUUUCAUAUUAAAAAUAUUUAUGAUUUUAUUUACAAGUUUCUAUUAAUGUAACAUAAAUAUAAAAAAACUUAUUAAAAAAUUAUUAAGAUGAUUUUUAUAUUUUUAACAAUUGGUUAAAUAGAAUUUAAAAAUAAAAUAAUUAAUGUCUUAAUCUCAUUCCAUUGAUAUAAACCUAUUUCAAUUUGCUCACAAAUUAUGUUAGUUAAAGAUAUAGACAUCGAGAAAGAGAAAUAUAAUAGAAGUCAAUAUUUUAUUUUUAAAAUUUUUCCUUUUAAUUGUAUUCAAUUUUUAAGUAUUUUAGUUUUAAUUGUAUUUUAAAUUUUAAAUUUUUUUUUUAUCUUAUUGUUGUUCAAUAUUCCUAAGGAUGUUUGUUUUCAGAGAGGAAAAAAAAUUCCAAAUCAAGUCUCCUGGCUAGAAAAAAGAACUAGAACUAGAAGGGAGAUCAAUUAUUUCCCAUUAAGCAUUUAAGCGUCAACUUGUUAAUUAGUGUUAUCGACAUAACAAGUAAAAGGAUCAUUUUGAAAAAUAAUUAUCUAAUUUAUGAAAAAAUGCAUGUAUUUUAAAACAUUCUUAGAUGAAUGAAGAUAAAACUUAUUUAUAAAAUUUGAGGUUUUUUUUCUAUAUUUUUUCAAAUUAAUGAGUUGUAACCCACUUUUUUUAAAGAAAAAAUCUCAAAUAAACUUGUUUCUCUCCGACGGAGUAGGAUGGAUGCUCAAAAAAAAAAUCUCAAAUCCACAUGUAGCCUAUUUAUUUUCAUCACAAACUUGUCUCCUUCGAAGCGGGUAGUAUGUAUGCUCGAAAAAAUCUAUCUUAUUGUUAUACUUAGUACAAGGCAUCCCAAAACUUCGGCAAAUUUCACCAAAAUUUUAAUCCUUGUUUGUUGCAUGGCCAAAUAUGGUAAACCUUUCCCUAGAAAGAGGAAAAAACACUAAAAAUUGGUAAAAAUAAUUAAACUUGAUUUGUACUCUAUCUAAUACUCCUUUUCUUCAGUUAGUUCCUUUUUUUUUUUACCCCUCCUCCCUUCUUUGAAUUUUUGAUAGGAAGAUGAAGAAAUUCACAAUAAGUAUGAGAGUAGGAAAGAGAUAACGGAUUUUUGACACAUCAAAGCUUGAAAGAAUCAGCAUAUUAAUUACAAAAAAAUGAAAUUAGCUUCCCAUAGAGGCUCUCUCUUGUCAACCAUGGGGGACAUCUUGUACAAAAAAUGAAGCUCAGUUCAAAAACUUAUUGUUUCCUACAAUGGCCGGUAUCAUUAGUAUACAAUAUAAGUAAAUCCCCCCAGAAAUCCAUGCACCAAACCAUGAAUAUACGAACCUUUAAAGAUGGUAUACUCUGAAUGAACAAAUGAGUAUAGAGGAAAAAAUGACCCGUCACGAAGGGCUUAGGGCUGGGACUGCUUCACCUUGGCUCGAAUCUUCUCUUCUAACAAAGAUGUAUCUGUCUCAAGGUCAAAAAUUCUGUUAAGGGCAUGCAUAUUCUCGAGUGUCUCGUUUAGAGUCCGGUUUUCGUUCUCAUCGCAUCUCAGGUGUUGGAUUGGACCAUGUAGAAGCUUGUUCACUAUGCCCAUGCUAAGAUCAUAAAGAGCUGCCUUUUGUUUCUUUGAGAUACCAUCACCCAUCUUUGACAAACAUUUGUCCAGCUCAGAAGCUCUAAUUCUUUCAGCAUAAGCCCUGAGUUUCUUGAUGGUUGGAACAGUCUCUAACGAGUCCUUCCAAGAUUUGAAUUGUUUCAAUUCCUCUGCAAUAAUCCCCUGAGCUUCCAUUGCUUUCCGAAGGCGAUCCUCCUUAUUUGCUGCUACUACUUCCUUAAGAUCAUCCACAUUGUAAACACGUACAGUCUCAAGAUCAGAGACGCACGGUCCCACAUUCCUGGGAACAGAGAUAUCUAUGAAGAGUCUCAAGCCUCCAAUUUCCUGGCUCACAGGGGGAAGUGCCUCAACAUGCUCUUUCAAGAACAGUGAGUUUUCUGAGGCCGUGCUGGUGAAAACCACAUCAGCCUCGGCAGUGCAUGCUAGCAUUUCUGAGAGGGGUUUGUAGAUGAUCUCAACAUCCUUAAGCUCCUUGCGGAUCGCAGCAACUCUCUCCUCGCUUCUGUUCACAACUACGAUUUUAGUGGACCCUUUUGCAACCAAGUGUUUGAUGACAAGUUUACCCAUCUUGCCUGCUCCAAUCACCAAUGGCCUGACAGUAGCAUAGGAAGAUUCUGCAAGCUUUAAUAGGGCAAGCUCUACUGCAGCUGAACUGACGGAAACUGACCCAGCAGAAAUAUUGGUUUCAGUUCUAACCCUCUUCCCAACAGUGAUUGCAUGCUUGAACAACCCACUGAUCUUCCUAUCAAAUCCAGGGACUCCUUGUCCAGUUUUUACAACUUGUCUUACCUGGGCAAGGAUUUGACCUUCUCCUAAAACAAGAGAAUCAAGCCCAGAUGAUACUUCAAAUAAAUGCCGUGUCGCAUCUUCAUUGUAUAAUGUGAAACGGUGCUGACAAAUCUCUGAUACAGAAACCCCACUUGUCUGCCAACAAAAUAAUCAUAGUCACAUCACCGUUUAUUUAAAAAAAUUAAAAAUAUAUAUUAAAAAGAGAUGAUCCAAAGCAUAUUGACAACAAUUUGGAUUUAUUUGGGAUGUUCUUUGUACUAAGAGUUUAUGUUGUCAUGAUCCCAUUCAUUUCAGUAAUCUGCCUUCCCUCUGUUUUGGUUGGGGGAAAACGAAGGGAUCUUGGACUAUCAAGUUUCCCCACACAAAAUAAAAAGAAAAUUAUGCAAUACAAUACCUUUGACAUCCAUUCCGUCACUUCUUUAACCCCACGAUGCUGAGAGAGAGCCACGACAUAUAUUUCCAUUCUGUUACAAGUGCUAAGGACAGCGGCUUCUUCUAUAUGGUUCAAAGCACAGAGCUCAACAAUGGCCUGUGGCCAGUUUGCUUCUGGAAUGGCAAGUUUCUCGCGUACCUCAACUGGUGCUGUAUGAAAACUAAGCCCUAUGACAAUAAUACUGCUCCUCUCUUUCGUAUAUCCUGAUAGAAAAAAUAUAAAGAAAUGAGUCUCCACAACAAUCAACAUGUAGACUUUGCUAAAAUGCACUUAAAAAUGAAGUAAAAAGGGCAGAGAGAGAAUAUAACAUCAAAAAAACUGAAAGCUGAUAUUAUUUCCAGUUAAUUUGCCACAAACUACAUGGAAUGGAGAAUAUAUAAAAUGUCAUAUGCACCCACAGCCUCAAUUCAAGAAUACUUGAAUGUCCAGAAAAGAAGUAGAAUAUAAAGGCAAAUCCAUCUGUCCGAAAUUAGGUAAACCUUCUCACUAUUUGACUGCAUAACACCUACUUAAUCCAUUAGGUAUAUUAAUUCCUGAGGAAUCAUGCAAUAUAAUUGCCCAAAACUGAUAGUACAUUUUUUUCGAGUUGGGAAACCUAAAUAUUGUUGCCAGCUUUUGCUGCUACCAAGAGGGAAGAAAAGUAAUGACUGCAAAUAGGAUGAGAUUUUCAUCUCAUGAGGAGCAUUAGAGGAAAAUGUGUCCCUGAGAGCAAAUAGCAAAUGAAAAACAUCAUUUUGACACUUCAAGUGUACCCUUUAUCAAUGUCUUACUCAGUAUUAUAUGUUAGCUUCCUCCUAGUAGAAGAUACCAAUUAGAUUACAUGAGGAGAAAAGAAUAAUGUCCUUUGACUCUUGAUGACAUUCAGCAAAAGAAAAUGACUGUGUCUGAGGUCCCAUAAAAUCCACCUUGAUGGAGUCAUCAUGGUUGCCACAAAAGGUACACUGGUUGAUGGUGACAUUUCAGCAAAAUUCGGAGACUUAUCCACUUUAUCCAAAAAUGAAGAGCUAUUGAAUUGCAGAGAAUCACAGACUAUUUUAAAAAAUAACAGUUAUUUUGCAUUUGGGACCACAUUAUUGAGUUCAAUUUUUAAAUGCCAACACUAAAACCGAUAGUUGGAUAAUUUACUAUAAUAAGAUACAUACCUUAUGAAAGAAAAACUUUUACUGUAAAGUAAUCCAUACUACAGUUUUUGUACCAUCUAAAAUGUAUUUUUAUGAAAUGCAGUACAAUACAUACCAUACUGAACCACAUUAAUUAUUUUAAAUUUUUAAAGAAAAAUCAGAUUUUAAUUUUUUUGUAUAAGCUGAGAAAUUUAAGUCAAAAAAGAAAGGAACAGAAAGUGAUCCUGAUAUUCUUAAAUGAAAACAUUGUGUGUUGUUGGAGGCAUGUAUUAAAGAUAAAGGAUUAAGUGUAAUCAUUAUUCCAAAUGAGUACCAAGUAUAUCGACACUUAAAUGUAAUUAAUGUUCAACCAAACAUUGAAGAGAUCUUAUUUGAAUAAUUUGAAUGUACACCUUGAGGACAAUGAGAAAUGAAGAAUGAAAAAACUUUUACUCAAUAUAUUAGUGUUUCUUUUUUGAUCUGUUUUUCUUUUGUCCAUAGUUUUUAAUUACCUUUUUGGGUGUAACAACGAACUUGGAAUGUUAAAACUUUGAACAUGACACAUGCAUCCAUGUGUAAAUAGUCCGCAUAUAGUUGAAAUUAUAUAAGAUCAUAGGGGUUUCUUUUUUUUUUAAAUCAACUGAACUGAUCUUGCAAUUCCUUCUAACUACAAGUAAAAAACACUCCAAUCACAAUACCAAAUUAAAGCUCUCAUGAGCAAACCAAACAAGAAGUAUGCACUCAGUGACAGUUUUCCUUGCUUUUCCUCACAGAAAAUGAAAAAUAACAUCUAUAGCAUAAUUUGGCAUACUCAUGUUGCUUACAAUUCAUCCACCUUUAUACAACAUCCAAUCACUCCUUUUUUAUUUCUGAAUUUUCAAAAUCUUUGUCACUAUCAUGGAAAACACAUUUGAUACGCCACUUGAAGAAGAGAGUCUUUAAAGAAAUAGCACAAAGAAAAUAGAACAAAAGAAGAAUCCACCUAAUGUAUGGAGAAAGCAGAAAGAUCUUCAAUAUUGCACAUAGUCAAACCAUAGCAUUAAAAGGCACGCUUUAAGUGUGCCUAAGCUCAAGGGGCAACCAUAGUUAUAGGGCCUUGCUUGCCAACACACCUUAUUGAAGAGGCACACCUUGUCAACUUUUUUCUAAUUAUAUAUUGAAAUUUAUAUAAUUUCACUACUUUUUUAUUGAAUGCUUCUUUUAAAUGUUAGGUUUAUUAAAUUUUUUUUAUCGAUAUGCAUCCAAGUUCACAUUUCACUUUUCUCCGUGCCUUGCUCCUGGGCUAUAGAUGACUUUUAUGCCUUAGGUGGGCCUUACGCCUUUUAAACUAUGAGUCAACUCUUCCUUUAACCCAGCCAAAAUUGUUUAGCAAAUUAACAGUCAUAAAACAAUAUUCCGAUCUCAUAAGGUUCAAUUUUUUAUGUCGAAAACUAUGGCAUACAACCAUUCCUCCAUCACCAUGGGAAGAAAAAUGGAAAACCCAAUCCAUCAAUGAAGUUCAAGGGGCACUUUGUUAAAGUUCCAAUUAUUUGAGCUAAAAUUUUGAUCAUGUGAAUGGAAAAAUACAUAAAUGAAAAAAUUCAAGAAAUUCUCCACAUGGCCUUUUCCUUGCCGUUCAAAUGCUAUCACAGACGAAUAGAGCCUCAAUCUAACAAAUUGGAAUACAAAAAUUUUAAGAAUAAAAAACAAAAAAUCAAUGCAAAGAAAUAGAAACUCACUGUCAGCAGCCGAAGUUUUGAGCAAUUCAAGAGCUGAAACACUCGACGCCCUCAAUUCCGCCUUGGCCAAAUCAUCAGAACCAACGCUACACCUAACCGCCCCCAAUCCGGCUGUUUUCCCUGGCCUGACGGAGAUCCGACCGGGAGGAUAAGAAACGGAGGCAUUGCAACGGAGACCAGACUUGAAGGCUGCAAAAGAGGCGGCGGAACCGGAGGCCACCGCCAUCGGAGCCAAGGCGGAAUCCGAACCCUAAACUUAGAUGUCAACGGCGAGCGAGGAGAGAGAAGGUGUCAAAGGUAUGGGUUGGGUGAACUGCAGUUUGAAAGUGGAGGUAGUUAAAUUUGGAAGAUCUAUUUAUAGGAAGAAGUGGUUCGCGUUGGCUCCACACGCCCCUCUACUAUGACCGUGGAAAAAGUAAAACGCGUCGUUUCGAUCGAAGGCUAAUUCCAAAUUCCAAUUUCCGAAAGACAAAUCGGCCGUCACCCCCACCAAUUCAAACGUACCGUCCGAUUUAUUAAUUAAAUAUUUUUUCUUUAGACUUAUACUCUUAAAAAAUAUAUUUUUUUAAAUAAAAAUAAAAAAUAUUUUAAAAUAUGUAUAAGAUUAUUAUUCAAUUUAUUUCAUUUUUUUAUUUUUCAAUAUUACCAAAUAUUGAAAUAAAAGUAAAGAAUUACUUCAACUUUCCAUUUCUAGAUAUAUCCAAACAUAAUAAUUUGAAUCACUAAAUUGACUCUGCUUUUAAGAAAUAAUAAAAACAAAAAAAAAAUCAUCUUCAUUCUCAUUUUCCAUAGGGAUAACAAUCUCAUCAUGUUCUAUUUAAUUUUUUUAAUAAGAUAUGAAUAAAAAUUAUUUUAAAUAAACAUGACAGGGUUGGGAUAGAAGCGACCCAUCCCAAACCCAUUCUAUUGCAAUCUCUAGUUCCACGUUCUCAUAUCAAAUAUGAUGUAAUAGUAAUUUUCUUAAAUGUUUUACUCUAAAAUACCAACAAAUUUUAGUGAUUAUUUAAAAAAAAAAUUAAGAUAUUGAAAAAUUUUUAUCAUCUCGAAUUUUAAAAAUUUUAAAAUAAAUUUUAAAAAUAUUAAAUAAAUCUCUUUAUAAGAUUUCUUUUAUUUUAUAUACAAAUUAGUAGUCUCCAAAAAUAAAAAUAGGUUUUAGCAUUUCUUUUUUCCUUAUAAUCACAAAUAAAAAUAAAUUUAUACUUUUAAAUAGUAUAUCAAUUGAUAUAUAAUUGAACCAAUUAAUAAGUCAUCAAAGAGUUUUGAAGACUAAAAAUCGAAAAUGAAGAGUUAAGAAUUUUUUAUUUAUAUGAAUCUUGCAUUACAACUUUUAUAAAAUCUAUUUUGUACAUAAGGUUUUAUGGGAAAAAGAGGAAGCUAGAAAAAUAUAAACGGGAAAAUUACAUGGAUGCAUUCAACUUGAUAACUCACUGUUAUCCAUAAAUUUGUACAUAAUAUUAAUAAAUAAAAAAUAUAGGGCCUGAGAAUUGCCUAUGAAAAUACUUUUUUGUUCUCCAAAACAAAAAAUACAAAAAAAACACAUUUGGUAACUAAAAACUGUUUUCUGUUUUUUGUUCUUAAAAAAAAAAAAGUAUUUUUAAGAAUAUCUUUUACUUGUUUUCUAUUAUUUCACUUAUUUUUUUAAGGUAAAUAAUUAUACAAAACAUGUAAAAUAAUUAAAAAUAAAACACUAUAUGUAAAAAUUAUUUUUAAAAUAUUAAAAACAUGUUAAAAACAUUUUAUAUUUUCAAACAGACUUUUGUUCUACACAACUCAAAGAAGAAUUUUCAUUGUUCUCAUAAACUAUCAAACUAUUUUUUAGAAUUGUUUUCCAAAACACUUACCAAAGACACCCAUAAUUUGCAUGUAGCCUUUAAUGGAAAGACUAUGGACAUGUUUGGUUAAAUAUAACAUUGAAUGGGAUACUCAUAAUUAGCGAUUGGAUAAGACAAAUUAUUUUAUUAGCUAUUUUAUAUUCAACCAAAUAUGAAAAAAGAUAAGUGAUAUGAUAUAUUAUUCACAAUUUUUUUUUUUAUUAUUUAUUUUAUAUACAACCUUAUUUUUAUACCAUAUUCAUUUCCAAUGUAUCAAAAAUUCUUUGAGAGAUAUGUGCAUUAAAAAAAUGGGCUUGUGGUGGGAACAUGGCCGGCGGCACAUGCAAAAGGCUUUGUGGUGUGAAUUUGAGAGAUGUGCAUUGGAAAAUGGGCUUGUGGUGAGUAUGGCCGGCACUUGCAUAAAAGAAAUGGAUUUGUGGUGUGAAUUUGAGAGAUUUGUGCAUUGGAAAAUGGAAAGUAGGUCUGAAUGGCAUUAUUGUAAUAUGGGAAGUAGUCUUGUGGCAUUCUUUGGAAUAGGUUGAUUGCCACUUUGACCAACGUGGAUAAGUCUUGCAAUUGAGGAUGACCACAAGCUUUUUCCUUUUUUUAUUAUUUCUUCAUAUUCUUAUAUUAGAAUUUUAUUUUUAUUUUUUUUAACAUUUCAAUUUCUGAAAUUUAGUUUUUUUUGGAAAUGCCAUCCUAAAAAAUAAUUCAUCAAUUUUCUGAUUUUUGAAUUUGUUUUCUAAUCCCUAAAAUUUUAAUUUUUACAUUUAUUUAUUUAAUCAUUAUUAUUUUCGUUAUUAUUAUUUUAAUUAUAUAUUUAUUUUAAAAUUCCACCUUCAAAUAAUUUCCAAUAUUUCAAUUUUUUAUAAUUUAAUUUUCAUAGUUUCUACUUCCCAAAUAAUUUUAACCAAUUCUUAAAUUCAAAUUCUCGAAAUUUUAAUUCCCAAAUAAUUUGCUAAUUUCUUUCAAAUUUAAUUUCCAAGAUUCCAAUUCUUAAAUUUAAUUCCCAAGACUCCAAUUUUCAAAUAAAUUUCAAAAAUCUAAUUUUCUCUCUAACAGUUUUAAUUCCCUUUGGGUUUCAAAUAAUCUCUUGUUUCUCUUGAUUUUACAUAAGCAUGAAUAUAAUUUUCAUAAUUCCAGAUUAAUGGAAUUUGUAGGAUUAAUUCAUGCAAGAUAGAUUGGGCUUUGGUGGGGGCCCCACACGAGUGAUUUUAUGAUCGAUUGGAGGAUUGAUUGAUUUGAUUGCUAUAUGUGAUUGAUUUACACUAUUCUAUGAUAUACACACGAUUAUUUUGUGUUUAAUUGAUAACAUUUGUUUUCGUUGAAGUAAGUCAGUUCAUCACUCAGGUACAUUAUUUGCCUUUCCUAUUCAUUCAAUUAUUUUGUUUUGAGUGAUAUUCAUUCAGUAUCUAUGCUCGAUUAAUUAAUUGUCAUGAUUGCUCCAUUUUAUUAGUAGAGACUCGUUUUUAGGGACUUAGAAGGGUGCUAUGGUUUUUACCGUACCUUCCUGAUAAGUAACCUGACCCCCGAACCCGAUCCGAGUUUUCGCAAACCACCUUUUCCAAAAUAAGGAGUCACACUUAGGGUUUUCUUUCUUAUUUUGUUUACCCUUUAAAAAUAAAACAAAAAUAAGUGGCGACUCCAAGUCAAUUCUUUUCAACCAAAUAAAUAAAUCAAUUUUUCAAAAUAAAAAUAUAGCUCGCCAUCAUGAGCCGAAAUACGGGGUCCACAACAACACAAUAUAACUCAUUGGAUAUAGUAUUUUUAGAUAUUUUGUCUAUUUGAUACAACAUUCAAGAUAUUAUAUUCCAUUAAAAAAAUAAUAUCUUAGGAUUUCAAUAUAACUCAUUGGAUAUGGUAUUUCAAGAUAUUUUGUCUAUUUGAUACAACAUUCAAGGAUAUUAUAUCCCAUAAUAUAUAUAUAUAUAUAUAUUAGGAUUUGCAUGUAUGUCCCUCGUACCUAGCAACUAAACACAAUCUAAGAGGAGUUAUGAAUCUCUUUGAUAAAUUUUAAAGUCUAGAGUCACAUUCUCAUUUUUAUGUUUAUGAUUGUUUUAAUUAUAAAAGCAUACAUCAUACAAAUGAGUCAUCCAUUAUAUAAGAGUAAUGAGUUGAAGAUCUUAAUUAAGAUAUUCACAAAGUGAUUCAGACUCGGAAUCGAAAAAUGAAUUAAGGCUAGGCAAGACAAUAAUAUAAUUAUUAUUUUGUCAUUUCUCUGGUACUUGAAAUUGUUGUGGUAAACCAAGACAAAGAAUAGUAAUAGGAACAAAAGAAUAAGAAAAAGAAAACAAAGACACAUAAAGUAUACAACGAUUUACGUGAUUCAACCUAAAUUAAUUUUAAGUGACUUAAUGACUUAAUAACUUAAUUUAAGUCAUUAAAUAAAUUAAGUAUAUUUGAUAAAAUAACUUAAUGGUAUGACUUAAAGUAAACAAAAAAUUAAUUUAAGGUAUUAAGUAAAUUAAGUAUGUUUGAUAAAAUAACUUAAUGGUAUGACUUAAAGUUAAAAACAAUUUUAAGUAAUAAGUAAAAUAAUUAAAUUAAAGUGAAUUAAUAACUUAAUUUAAGUCAUUAAAUAAAUUAAGUAUGUUUUGUAAAAUUACUUAAUGGUAUGACUUAAAGACAAAUACAACUUUAAAUAAUAAGUAAAACAAUUAACUUAUUUUUAAGUUCACAUCUUCAUUUUAUCUUUUUACCCUCAUUUAUCUUAGUUACCUCGAUAAUUUCUUUUACUACUCCACAACCUCUAUUAUUACUCGACAUCAUUUGUUGUACUUAUAAUUUAUGAGGAUAAAUAUGUUGCUUUAAUGAUUUAAAAUAAAUUUUAAGUUAAUUUUGUCUAACAACCUUAAUACUUAAAAUAAGAAUUACAUAAUAAAUUUCAAGUCAAAAUUUUAAAUAUAAUUUAACUUAAAGUCAACUUAAGUCAUUAAAUAAUAAGUAUUAAGUUUUACCAAAUACCCCCAUGUUUGAUUUCAAAAAAUUUAAGAGAAAAUGUGAGAGAAAGAAAAAUAGAAGAAAAAAAAAAUUCAAAGUUAAUAAAUUAUUUUAAAUAGUACUUUAAACUCAUUUCACUUAUCUUAACUCUCCUAUAUAAAAAUUAAAUAAUUUAAAAAUAUAUAAGCUUUGAACUAAGUUUAGUUAUGUGAGUUUUUUUCGUAUUAUUUUUUUAAUAUUUUUCUUUCUUUUAGUAUUUUUUUUUUAACUAAACAUAGUAAAAAAAACAUCUCAAAUUUAUUCUUAAAAAAUUAACCUGUAUUUUAAAAUAGAAAACUAUGACUUAUUUGGCAACAUUGUUUAAAAAAGUUCCCAAAAAAUAAUAUUUGAAAAUCAUUUAUAAGAUAAUUUUUCAUUAUUUUAGAAACAAAACUAUGCUUAAAAUUUAAAUUUUAAAAACAAAAUUUUCCACUCACUUUAUGAAAAUAUUAUGUUACAAAGUUUCUAAAAUAAUUUUUAUAUUUUAAAUUAUUUUUUAUAAUACUUUAAAAUAUCUCAAAAUUAUUUUAGAAAAUAACCUAUUUCAAGAAUAAAUCUCAAAAACCCAUUUUCAAUCAAAAGUAUUUUUCAUUUUAAAUAAUAAAAAAAAAUGUUUUUAAGAAUAGUUGGCAAACAACUCCCUAUUUCAAAUCCAGUUUUGCCCUUAGUUUUUUUUUUCUUCUUUGCCUCUAAAAAUCUUGCUUAUGGUCAUCAUGUGAAAAUACAUUUUUGACCAAAAUCUAUAAUUACGUAUUGGAUGAGGUUUGAUGGACAAAGUCAAUUGGUUUUUAUGGAUAUAGAUUACUCCUCAUGGGUAGAAGAAAUUAAAUAUUUAUCAUUUUUAUAUAUUUUAUUUUGUAAAAAGUUGUAUAUGUAUUUGUAUAUUUAGUUUAAAUUUCAUCUAAACUUUAUCUAAUAAUGUCUUUUGUUUUGUUUUUAGUUUGAAAAUCUUGGAAAAGGGUUGGAGAGGAGGGAAAGGGAAGGGAAGGAAGAAGAAAUAAAUGUAUUUUACUACAGAUUUAACUUUAUAUAUUUAUAUUAUGUUUGAUAGUAUUUUUAGAACCAUUUUGAGGAUGGAUUUGAGAUAACUUAAUACUUAUUACUUAAUUAUUUAAAUUAAUUUUAGGUUAAAUUAUAUUUAACUUAUAAACUUAAAACUUAUUACUUAAUUAUUAUAUUUAAAAAAUUAAGGUUGAUUGAGGUUGAUUGAUAAAAUUAACUUAAAAUUUAUUUUAAAUCAUCAAAUUGACAUAUUUAACUUCAUAAAUUAUAAUUAUGGUAAGGAAUGUUGAAUAACAAUGGAGGUUGUGGAAUAGCAAAAGAGAUCGUAAAGGCAACUAAAGUUAAUAAAGGUAAAAAAAUAAAAUAAAAAUGUAGACUUAAGUAUAAAUUAAUUGUUUUUACUUAUUACUCAAAAUUAUUUUUAACUUUAAGUCACAUCAUUAAGUUAUUUUAUCAAACAUAUUUAAUUUACUAAAUGAUUUAAAUUAAAUUAUUAAGUCACUUUAAAUUAUUAAGUUGAUUUAUUAAACAACAAAUUAGUAUGAAAAACAUUUUUAAAAAUAAAUCAAGUGUUUUAGUAGAAUUUAAAAGGCCAAUUNNNNNNNNNNNNNNNNNNNNNNNNNNNNNNNNNNNNNNNNNNNNNNNNNNNNNNNNNNNNNNNNNNNNNNNNNNNNNNNNNNNNNNNNNNNNNNNNNNNNNNNNNNNNNNNNNNNNNNNNNNNNNNNNNNNNNNNNNNNNNNNNNNNNNNNNNNNNNNNNNNNNNNNNNNNNNNNNNNNNNNNNNNNNNNNNNNNNNNNNNNNNNNNNNNNNNNNNNNNNNNNNNNNNNNNNNNNNNNNNNNNNNNNNNNNNNNNNNNNNNNNNNNNNNNNNNNNNNNNNNNNNNNNNNNNNNNNNNNNNNNNNNNNNNNNNNNNNNNNNNNNNNNNNNNNNNNNNNNNNNNNNNNNNNNNNNNNNNNNNNNNNNNNNNNNNNNNNNNNNNNNNNNNNNNNNNNNNNNNNNNNNNNNNNNNNNNNNNNNNNNNNNNNNNNNNNNNNNNNNNNNNNNNNNNNNNNNNNNNNNNNNNNNNNNNNNNNNNNNNNNNNNNNNNNNNNNNNNNNNUCCUCACAUUCUUCGUACCCUUGUGAAUUUUUUAGUAUUUUUGGAUUUCUAUUUUUUCGGAUAUCAUUUGAACACCUUCUAAGUGUAACGGACCUAUUUAAACAACAUCCAAGCCAUAUUAUGCCCCAAAAAAUUUUUAAAAGUCCGAAGAAGUGGAGAUUUGGGGGGGUACGACGAAUGUGAGGAUUCCUCACAUGCUUCGUACCCUUGUGAAUUUUUUAGUAUUUUUGGAUUUCGAUUUUUCAUAUCAUUUCACCACCUUCUAAGUGUAACGGACCUAUUUAAACAACAUCCAAGGCAUAUGAUGCCCAAAAAAAUUUUAAAAUGCCCAAAGAAGUGGUGAUUUGGGAGGGUACGAAGAAUGUGAGGAUUUCUCACAUUCUUCAUACACUUGUGAAUUUUUUAGUAUUUUUGGAUUUCGAUAUUUCCGCAUAUCAUUUGAACACCUUCUAAGUGUAACGGACCUAUUUAAACAACAUCCAAGCCAUAUCAGGCCCCAAAAAAUUUUAAAAAGUCCAAAGAAGUGGAGAUUUGGGAAGGUACGAAGAAUGUGAGGAUUCCUCACAUUUUUCGUACCCUUGUGAAUUUUUUAGUAUUUUAGGAUUUCGAUUUUUCCGAAUAUCAUUUGACCACCUUCUAAGUGUAACGGACCUAUUUAAACAACAUCCAAGCCAUAUCAUGCCCCAAAAAAUUUUAAAAAAGUCCAAAGAAAGUGGAGAUUUGGGGANNNNNNNNNNNNNNNNNNNNNNNNNNNNNNNNNNNNNNNNNNNNNNNNNNNNNNNNNNNNNNNNNNNNNNNNNNNNNNNNNNNNNNNNNNNNNNNNNNNNNNNNNNNNNNNNNNNNNNNNNNNNNNNNNNNNNNNNNNNNNNNNNNNNNNNNNNNNNNNNNNNNNNNNNNNNNNNNNNNNNNNNNNNNNNNNNNNNNNNNNNNNNNNNNNNNNNNNNNNNNNNNNNNNNNNNNNNNNNNNNNNNNNNNNNNNNNNNNNNNNNNNNNNNNNNNNNNNNNNNNNNNNNNNNNNNNNNNNNNNNNNNNNNNNNNNNNNNNNNNNNNNNNNNNNNNNNNNNNNNNNNNNNNNNNNNNNNNNNNNNNNNNNNNNNNNNNNNNNNNNNNNNNNNNNNNNNNNNNNNNNNNNNNNNNNNNNNNNNNNNNNNNNNNNNNNNNNNNNNNNNNNNNNNNNNNNNNNNNNNNNNNNNNNNNNNNNNNNNNNNNNNNNNNNNNNNNNNNNNNNNNNNNNNNNNNNNNNNNNNNNNNNNNNNNNNNNNNNNNNNNNNNNNNNNNNNNNNNNNNNNNNNNNNNNNNNNNNNNNNNNNNNNNNNNNNNNNNNNNNNNNNNNNNNNNNNNNNNNNNNNNNNNNNNNNNNNNNNNNNNNNNNNNNNNNNNNNNNNNNNNNNNNNNNNNNNNNNNNNNNNNNNNNNNNNNNNNNNNNNNNNNNNNNNNNNNNNNNNNNNNNNNNNNNNNNNNNNNNNNNNNNNNNNNNNNNNNNNNNNNNNNNNNNNNNNNNNNNNNNNNNNNNNNNNNNNNNNNNNNNNNNNNNNNNNNNNNNNNNNNNNNNNNNNNNNNNNNNNNNNNNNNNNNNNNNNNNNNNNNNNNNNNNNNNNNNNNNNNNNNNNNNNNNNNNNNNNNNNNNNNNNNNNNNNNNNNNNNNNNNNNNNNNNNNNNNNNNNNNNNNNNNNNNNNNNNNNNNNNNNNNNNNNNNNNNNNNNNNNNNNNNNNNNNNNNNNNNNNNNNNNNNNNNNNNNNNNNNNNNNNNNNNNNNNNNNNNNNNNNNNNNNNNNNNNNNNNNNNNNNNNNNNNNNNNNNNNNNNNNNNNNNNNNNNNNNNNNNNNNNNNNNNNNNNNNNNNNNNNNNNNNNNNNNNNNNNNNNNNNNNNNNNNNNNNNNNNNNNNNNNNNNNNNNNNNNNNNNNNNNNNNNNNNNNNNNNNNNNNNNNNNNNNNNNNNNNNNNNNNNNNNNNNNNNNNNNNNNNNNNNNNNNNNNNNNNNNNNNNNNNNNNNNNNNNNNNNNNNNNNNNNNNNNNNNNNNNNNNNNNNNNNNNNNNNNNNNNNNNNNNNNNNNNNNNNNNNNNNNNNNNNNNNNNNNNNNNNNNNNNNNNNNNNNNNNNNNNNNNNNNNNNNNNNNNNNNNNNNNNNNNNNNNNNNNNNNNNNNNNNNNNNNNNNNNNNNNNNNNNNNNNNNNNNNNNNNNNNNNNNNNNNNNNNNNNNNNNNNNNNNNNNNNNNNNNNNNNNNNNNNNNNNNNNNNNNNNNNNNNNNNNNNNNNNNNNNNNNNNNNNNNNNNNNNNNNNNNNNNNNNNNNNNNNNNNNNNNNNNNNNNNNNNNNNNNNNNNNNNNNNNNNNNNNNNNNNNNNNNNNNNNNNNNNNNNNNNNNNNNNNNNNNNNNNNNNNNNNNNNNNNNNNNNNNNNNNNNNNNNNNNNNNNNNNNNNNNNNNNNNNNNNNNNNNNNNNNNNNNNNNNNNNNNNNNNNNNNNNNNNNNNNNNNNNNNNNNNNAUAUGAGGCCCCAAAAAAAUUUAAAAAAGUCCAAUGAGGAAACAGCUAUGACCAUGAUUACGCCAAGCGGGUUCCUAGCUCUCUUCGUACCCUUGUGAAUUUUUUAGUAUCUUAGGAUUUCGAUUUUUCCGAAUAUCAUUUGAACACCUUCUAAGUGUAACGGACCUAUUUAAACAACAUCCAAGCCAUAUCAUGCCCCAAAAAAUUUUAAAAUGUCCAAAGAAGUAGAGAUUUGGGAGGGUAGGAAGAAUGUGAGGAAUCCUCACAUUCUUCGUACCCUUGUGAAUUUUUUAGUAUUUUUCGAUUCUGAUUUUUUCGGAUAUCAUUUGAACACCUUCUAAGUGUAACGGACCUAUUUAAACAACAUCCAAGCCAUAUGAUGGUCCAAAAAUUUUUAAAAUGUCCAAAGAAGUGGAGAUUUGGGAGGGUACGAAGAAUGUGAGUAUUCCUCACGUUCUUUGUAUCCUUGUGAAUUUUUUAGUCUUUUUCGAUUCCGAUUUUUCCGGAUAUCAUUUGACCACCUUCUAAGUGUAACGGACCUAUUUAAACAACGUCCAAGCCAUAUGAUGGCCCAAAAAAUUUUAAAAUGUCCAAAGAAGUGGAGAUUUGGGAGGGUACGAAGAAUGUGAGGUUUUCUCACAUUCUUCGUACUGUUGUGAAUUUUUUAGUAUUUUUCGAUUCCGAUUUUUCCGGAUAUUAUUUGAACACCUUCUAAGUGUAACGAACCUAUUUAAACAACAUCCAAGCCAUAUGAUGCCCCAAAAAAUUUUAAAAUGUCCAAAGAAGUGGAGAUUUGGGAGGGUACGGAGAAUAUGAGUAUUCCUCACAUUCUUCGUACCCUUGUGAAUUUUUUAGUCUUUUUCGAUUCCGAUUUUUCCGGAUAUUAUUUGACCACCUUCUAAGUGUAACGGACCUAUUUAAACAACAUCCAAGCCAUAUGAUGCCCCAAAAAAUUUUAAAAAGUCCAANNNNNNNNNNNNNNNNNNNNNNNNNNNNNNNNNNNNNNNNNNNNNNNNNNNNNNNNNNNNNNNNNNNNNNNNNNNNNNNNNNNNCCAAGCCAUAUGAUGCUCCAAAAAAUUUUAAAAUGUCCAAAGAAGUGGAGAUUUGGGAGGGUACGAAGAAUGUGAGUAUUCCUCACGUUCUUCGUACCCUUGUGAAUUUUUUAGUCUUUUUCGAUUCCGAUUUUUCCCGAUAUCAUUUGACCGUCUUCUAAGUGAACGGACCUAUUUAAACAACAUCCAAGCCAUAUGAUGCCCCAAAAAAUUUUAAAAAGUCCAAAGAAGUGGAGAUUUGGGAGGGUACGAAGAAUGUGAGGAUUCCUCACAUUCUUCAUACCCUUGUGAAUUUUUUAGUAUUUUUCGAUUCCGAUUUUUCCGGAUAUCAUUUGACCAUCUUCUAAGUGUAACGGACCUAUUUAAACAACGUCCAAGCCAUAUGAUGCCCCAAAAAAUUUUAAAAUGUCCAAAGAAGUGGAGAUUUGGGAGGGUACGAAGAAUGUGAGGUUUUCUCACAUUCUUCGUACUGUUGUGAAUUUUUUAGUAUUUUUCGAUUCCGAUUUUUCAGGAUAUUAUUUGAACACCUUCUAAGUGUAACGGACCUAUUUAAACAACAUCCAAGCCAUAUGAUGCUCCAAAAAAUUUUAAAAAGUCCAAAGAAGUGGAGAUUUGGGAGGGUACGAAGAAUGUGAGGUUUCCUCACAUUUUUCGUACCGUUGUGAAUUUUUUAGUAUUUUUCGAUUCCGAUUUUUCCGGAUAUUAUUUGAACACCUUCUAAGUGUAACGGACCUAUUUAAACAACAUCCAAGCCAUAUGAUGCUCCAAAAAAUUUUAAAAUGUCCAAAGAAGUGGAGAUUUGGGAGGGUACGAAGAAUGUGAGUAUUCCUCACGUUCUUCGUACCCUUGUGAAUUUUUUAGUCUUUUUCGAUUCCGAUUUUUACGGAUAUCAUUUGACCACCUUCUAAGUGNNNNNNNNNNNNNNNNNNNNNNNNNNNNNNNNNNNNNNNNNNNNNNNNNNNNNNNNNNNNNNNNNNNNNNNNNNNNNNNNNNNNNNNNNNNNNNNNNNNNUUUGCACACCUUCUAACUGUAACGGACCUAUUUAAACAACAUCCAAGCCAUAUGAUGCCCCAAAAAAUUUUAAAAUGUCCAAAGAAGUGGAGAUUUGGGAGGGUACGGAGAAUAUGAGUAUUCCUCACGUUCUUCGUACCCUUGUGAAUUUUUUAGUCUUUUUCGAUUCCGAUUUUUCCAGAUAUCAUUUGACCACCUUCUAAGUGUAACGGACCUAUUUAAACAACAUCCAAGCCAUAUGAUGCCCCAAAAAAUUUUAAAGAGUCCAAAGAACUGGAGAUUUGGGAGGGUACGAAGAAUGUGAGGAUUCCUCACAUUCUUCGUACCCUUGUGAAUUUUUUAGUAUUUUUCGAUUCCGAUUUUUCCGGAUAUCAUUUGACCACCUUCUAAGUGUAACGGACCUAUUUAAACAACGUCCAAGCCAUAUGAUGCCCCAAAAAAUUUUAAAAUGUCCAAAGAAGUGGAGAUUUGGGAGGGUACGAAGAAUGUGAGGUUUCCUCACAUUCUUCGUACUGUUGUGAAUUUUUUAGUAUUUUUCGAUUCCGAUUUUUCCGGAUAUUAUUUGAACACCUUCNNNNNNNNNNNNNNNNNNNNNNNNNNNNNNNNNNNNNNNNNNNNNNNNNNNNNNNNNNNNNNNNNNNNNNNNNNNNNNNNNNNNNNNNNNNNNNNNNNNNNNNNNNNNNNNNNNNNNNNNNNNNNNNNNNNNNNNNNNNNNNNNNNNNNNNNNNNNNNNNNNNNNNNNNNNNNNNNNNNNNNNNNNNNNNNNNNNNNNNNNNNNNNNNNNNNNNNNNNNNNNNNNNNNNNNNNNNNNNNNNNNNNNNNNNNNNNNNNNNNNNNNNNNNNNNNNNNNNNNNNNNNNNNNNNNNNNNNNNNNNNNNNNNNNNNNNNNNNNNNNNNNNNNNNNNNNNNNNNNNNNNNNNNNNNNNNNNNNNNNNNNNNNNNNNNNNNNNNNNNNNNNNNNNNNNNNNNNNNNNNNNNNNNNNNNNNNNNNNNNNNNNNNNNNNNNNNNNNNNNNNNNNNNNNNNNNNNNNNNNNNNNNNNNNNNNNNNNNNNNNNNNNNNNNNNNNNNNNNNNNNNNNNNNNNNNNNNNNNNNNNNNNNNNNNNNNNNNNNNNNNNNNNNNNNNNNNNNNNNNNNNNNNNNNNNNNNNNNNNNNNNNNNNNNNNNNNNNNNNNNNNNNNNNNNNNNNNNNNNNNNNNNNNNNNNNNNNNNNNNNNNNNNNNNNNNNNNNNNNNNNNNNNNNNNNNNNNNNNNNNNNNNNNNNNNNNNNNNNNNNNNNNNNNNNNNNNNNNNNNNNNNNNNNNNNNNNNNNNNNNNNNNNNNNNNNNNNNNNNNNNNNNNNNNNNNNNNNNNNNNNNNNNNNNNNNNNNNNNNNNNNNNNNNNNNNNNNNNNNNNNNNNNNNNNNNNNNNNNNNNNNNNNNNNNNNNNNNNNNNNNNNNNNNNNNNNNNNNNNNNNNNNNNNNNNNNNNNNNNNNNNNNNNNNNNNNNNNNNNNNNNNNNNNNNNNNNNNNNNNNNNNNNNNNNNNNNNNNNNNNNNNNNNNNNNNNNNNNNNNNNNNNNNNNNNNNNNNNNNNNNNNNNNNNNNNNNNNNNNNNNNNNNNNNNNNNNNNNNNNNNNNNNNNNNNNNNNNNNNNNNNNNNNNNNNNNNNNNNNNNNNNNNNNNNNNNNNNNNNNNNNNNNNNNNNNNNNNNNNNNNNNNNNNNNNNNNNNNNNNNNNNNNNNNNNNNNNNNNNNNNNNNNNNNNNNNNNNNNNNNNNNNNNNNNNNNNNNNNNNNNNNNNNNNNNNNNNNNNNNNNNNNNNNNNNNNNNNNNNNNNNNNNNNNNNNNNNNNNNNNNNNNNNNNNNNNNNNNNNNNNNNNNNNNNNNNNNNNNNNNNNNNNNNNNNNNNNNNNNNNNNNNNNNNNNNNNNNNNNNNNNNNNNNNNNNNNNNNNNNNNNNNNNNNNNNNNNNNNNNNNNNNNNNNNNNNNNNNNNNNNNNNNNNNNNNNNNNNNNNNNNNNNNNNNNNNNNNNNNNNNNNNNNNNNNNNNNNNNNNNNNNNNNNNNNNNNNNNNNNNNNNNNNNNNNNNNNNNNNNNNNNNNNNNNNNNNNNNNNNNNNNNNNNNNNNNNNNNNNNNNNNNNNNNNNNNNNNNNNNNNNNNNNNNNNNNNNNNNNNNNNNNNNNNNNNNNNNNNNNNNNNNNNNNNNNNNNNNNNNNNNNNNNNNNNNNNNNNNNNNNNNNNNNNNNNNNNNNNNNNNNNNNNNNNNNNNNNNNNNNNNNNNNNNNNNNNNNNNNNNNNNNNNNNNNNNNNNNNNNNNNNNNNNNNNNNNNNNNNNNNNNNNNNNNNNNNNNNNNNNNNNNNNNNNNNNNNNNNNNNNNNNNNNNNNNNNNNNNNNNNNNNNNNNNNNNNNNNNNNNNNNNNNNNNNNNNAAUGUGAGGAUUCCUCACAUUCUUCGUACCCUUGUGAAUUUUUUAGUAUUUUUGGAUUUCGAUUUUUCCGGAUAUCAUUUGACCACCUUCUAAGUGUAACGGACCUAUUUAAACAACAUCCAAGCCAUAUGAUGCCCCAAAAAUUUUUAAAAAGUCUAAAGAAGUGGAGAUUUGGGAGGGUACGAAGAAUGUGAGGAUUCCUCACAUUCUUCGUACCCUUGUGAAUUUUUUAGUAUUUUCCCAUUCCGAUUUUUCUAGAUAUCAUUUCAUAACCGCUUGCACGCAACUAAAGUUUGGCUGAUAUGGAUGUUCGUUUACCACAAUGAUGUCCCUUCAAAGGAAGAGCAAUUACAUGUAGCAAAAUGCCAAAUUGCCCUAUCAAUACACGAAUCUAUGGAGGAAUCCAAACAAAUUACAACUUAUACAAGUAAAGCUUAACCGGUCGAUCGGUUCUCUUCAACCUGUCUCCUACUUAUCUCAACCGGUAGCCAUUGGCCAUUUGAGAAUCCAGGCACCAAAAGGGCCAGUGGCUACCGGUUGAGCUAAAGAUGCAACCGGUAGAAUAUAACCGGUCAACCGGUUAUUGUAAUUCAUUUUGUUUUCGUUUAGGUAUGUGAUAUGGCGAUUAGAUCAAAGCAUAUGACUUCUCUUUGUUACUAUUCCCAACAUAGAUCAAGACAUAGGCUUACCCACAGACAAGCUCACAUCAAACACCAAACGGAUCUUGUGAUCCUUAAAAAACCCAACCUUAUCAUGUAUAGACAUAGGCUUCCAAUUCAUUUGAUGCAAUUUUUGGUUAAAUAACGCAUUUCAACAUGGACAUAAAGAACAUGAAUAAAAGAAGUAACUAAUGAAUUAUAUAACCUUAUGCUACCACCAUAUGCAUCAGUUUUUGUACCUUUGUUGGUUUUUGUUAGUUUAUUUCAAUCCCACAAAGUCAUUCCAAAAUUGACUAGAUUAAAAAAUGUUGAUCUUAUGUUGAAUCCUCAUUUAAGGGGUUAUAGACAUUUGAUCCUUUUUCUUCAAUAGGCCAUCAAGUCUUUUUUGGAUAAUCGAAAUUAGGAGGUGCAAUUUAGGCAAGUUGUCAUGACUUAACCCAACCUUAAUUUGGAUAAGGUUCAAAAAUUAUUUAUAAUCUUAGGGUACAAUUUUAUUUCCCCAAACUUAAUUAAGGUGAAAUACAAAUAAAAAUUCGAACAACCCAAACCUAAUCUAAAUCCAAUUCAAUAUUUUUAUAAUAAUUAUAAUUUAAAUUAUUUUAUUUAAUAACUUCAUUUUAUUUAAUUUUGUACAUGUUACAAUAAUAAUAUCAAAUUACUAUUUUUCCCCCUUUUUUAUAAAUACAAUAACGGGGCGAAGGCGGUCGACCGGUUCGUCGGGGGUCAGAACUUAAAACGGCCCUCGCGCGCUUCAUUUAUCCCAUUUUCGCCUCAAUAGCUUCCCGCCCCUUCAUAUCCUUGCUUCCCGAAGAGUUUUUGGCCAGAUUUCAGCCCGUUUGCAGGCUGAGGACAUCAUUUUGGGACGGAUUUGGGCUAGGGUUUUGGUUAGAAACCCAGGGUUUCACCUCUUCAAGGCGCCUCCUCUCUUCACCGCGCGUGUGAGGGCUGUUCAGCUUCAUCUCCAGGUGUCUAGGGUUUCGGGUUUGUGGUUGCAUCUUCCUCUUUGCUUUCAUUCCCUGUUUGGACUCCUUCUUCACCUCUUUCACUUCAUUGAUGGCACCACGGAGAGAGACGAGGACUUCCAGGGCUCAGGGCAAGCGCCCUGUUGACCCAUCUCAGCCUGAGCAGCCGGAGGCUCGCCGAAAGGCGAGGUUUGACACGGCACUUUUCAGUUCGAAUGAGGACUAUCAGCGCUACAAGCAAAAAUUUGCUCAGAGGAAAGUCAUCCCUGGGAGAAGUGUGAAUUUCUCCCAACUUCAGCACUUUGGCUUUGAGGGGUUGUUCGGACGGAUGGGAUGGCUGCCCAUAGUGACGAUCUCUGAGCCCGUCUUCCCGACUCUGGUGCGGACUUUCUAUUCUCGGGCGAGUUACGAGGUUGGAGGACCCGUAUUAUCCACUAUGAGAGGCGUUCAGAUCCGUUUGAGUCCGGAGAGCAUCUGCCGCAUUCUCGACAUCCUUUCGGUUGGACUCCGUGUUUAUGAGGCCAAGGUGUGGCCCACUGUGCUGGGAUUUGAGCCUACAGAGGCUGUUCAGAGGUUGUGCGGACUUGCCGAUCCUCAGGGGAUGGGCAAACCAUCGGCUCACAGUUUGACAGUGACUAGCCAAGUCCUUCACCAUAUGAUUUGUUCGAUUCUCUUGCCACGUGGAGGACAUCUAGACGAGGUCUCCUACCUCGAGGCUUUCAUUGUUGACUCGAUCCUCACCGGGAGACGGAUUCAUGUUGGCUACCUUAUGAUGAUGCACAUGAUCUCCUGUGUUGAGAGCUCGACACGUGUACUCCCCUACGGCCGUUUCCUUACCCGUGCUUUCAAGGAUGCCGGGAUCGACUUGAGUAGAGAGAUAGAUAUUGAGGCCCCCACCACUUAUGACACGUAUGAUGCGCAGUCUCUGGGGCGCAUGAAGUUCGAGAAGGCACCCGAUGGCUCAUGGGUUAGGAAAGCCAACCGACAGGCUCGGGGACAUGAUCAGAUACACCUUGGAGUAGAUGAGGAGGCCGAGAUCAGAGAGAUGGAGGCUGGGUUGGACCCUCAGAGGGACUUUGAGCAUAGAGGGCCCGAUGUUGACAUUCCGCCACCACAUCAGUCAGAGGGCAUUCAUUGUGAGGCUACCUUCUCCGAGCCUAUGAUGACUGAGUCGUCCUUCACAGCAAACCCUUCAUCUCAGCCAUCAUUUACCGAGCUACCAUCUCAGGCUCCUCAUGCUACUGAUUAUCCACCUUGGAUGGAUUUGUCAGCACAGAUCAGCUCUGUCGGGACCCGUAUGGAGGAGUUAGCCGUAGUGCAUGAUACUCGUUUUUCUUCCAUAGAGGAUCACAUCGAUCAGUCUGAGGCCAGCUUCACCUCUCAGUUUGAGCAUCUCGUAGAGAGGAUUGAGCGGCUUGAGAGCCGCCAGGAGAGUCACCACGAGGAGCUGAUGGCUUACCUACGUUCUGUGUUUCCACCACCACCUCCUCAGCCUUGAGUGUGUUUGGGAUCCCCCUUCGUUUCUUUUUUAUGUUGCCAAAGGGGGAGAUAUUUAUAGGAUGUACGAUCUAUAGGAUCUACGAGUCUAUCAUGCAUGUCAUUGUUAUCAAUGUCAUAGCUAUCUUAUUGUACAUGUUAGAUUUCCAUAUAUAUAUGAUAUGAUAUUUUUAUCAAUUGAUUCUUCGUGUUUUACAUUGCUUAUCAUAUGAUUGAUCCAUGAUUGGUUUGAGGAGGAGAUUUCUUUCUUUCUCUCCUAGAUAACCAAGGUUUGUCAGCAUAAAAAAGGGGGAGAUUGUUAGCCCAAGGGUUCUCCUAAUCGGGUUUCGAUGAUAACAAACCAUGGUUAAGUAACUAAUUGGUUUAAUGUUUAAGAAUCUCAAGUAGUAACUCCGAAAUUCAUCAAAGGACCAAAUGGUUUUUGUUGGACGUGACAUUUUCUUCUAUGAAAUUAUUAUAUGUGGAUUUGUUGUACUAUUGCUUUGACUCCAUAUAUAGAUUUUUUUUUCCUUUCUGGAAUCCAAAUAUCUUAAACAAAAACUAAUACCCAACUACUCAUGAUAUUUUUUGUUAUGUGCAUUUUACUUGAGCUACUGCCUUGAAAAAAUGUAAACAAGAUGCUGAUAAAUUAUAUAACUAGAGUUAUUGCUAGUUAAUAAAUAAUAAACUACGACGAGAUACUUUAUACAUCUGUUUGUAUAUAUAUCUUGAUUAGUUGCAAAACCAUAACCAAUGCUAUGCUUAUCUCACCAUAAUUUAUUAUAGAGCAACCGGUCGACCGGUUACCUUCAACCGGUUGUCCUGUGGACUCGACCGGUAGACACUGGUCAUUGUGUCUUAUCUGGUCAUUAAUGAUUUUUGGUCCAAUGAAUUAUUGUAUUUGCAGGUAGUUGAUGUGAAACAACUUGACCGAAAUGGCCUUCAAGGAAAUAGAGAAUUCUUGGUGGAGGUUCUCAUGCUUAGCCUCUUACAUCACCCAAACCUUGUUAACUUGAUUGGUUAUUGCGCUGAUGGGGACCAACGUCUGCUUGUCUAUGACUUUAUGCCAUUGGGAUCUUUGGAGGAUCAUUUACAUGGUUAGAUUGCCUGCCUUUUGUGCACUAGUUAUUAACCCAUAAAUAACAAAAGACAGUUUUGUUAUUUUUGCAUGUAGAUCAACCAUGCUGGCAUUUAAUUUAGUGUGAAACUUGAUUUGCAUGUUCAGGAGGAAUGCUUAUCUUGAGGUUGUUUCUUAGCCUUUUAUUUGUCCACCAAGAUCUUAGACGUUUGAGAUAAACAGAAUAGGUUCUUAGAAUUAUACAAUUGUUGUUUAUAUGACAUCAUAGAUUAAUUUCUGACUGUUGGUUGUGGACUGACUUUGGUUUUUUUUCCUUCUUUUCGGAUUUAUUGCAAGCAUUUAUGCACUUAUCGUAUUAGUGUGUGUCUAUAUAUACCUCUUUCAAUUGAACAUGGUAUGCUAACAAGAGGAUUACAUAGAAAAAGGAGAUGCUUUAAUUGAGAGCUAAAAUUCAAAUACCAGCAUUGUCACCAAACAGAGACACAAUAAGAAGACAAGAAAAAUAUCACAGCCUCAUAAGUUCCCUUUUGUAGCUUCAGUAUGAGCAGCAUCAACCACAUGCAAAAAGAAAAGAAAGGUUCAGAAACUGACAAGAUCAAUAUCUGCAGGAUUGUCAAGGCCGCGUUUGACAACAGCAUCCAAUUGAGGGAACUCUUCUAUAGCAAACAAUAUUGGGGCUGUUAUUAUUCCCUGUAAAAUAAUCAAAAUUGUCUCCACUUACAAUUACAACAUAAUACGCAUUAAAUAGUAUACAGCCAAAAAUUAAAAUUAAGUCCGUAGUGGAACCCACUAUAAAAAUGCAUAGUUCCCACAUGCUUUGCAAAAGUUAGUAGUAGCAUUUUCCCACAUUCCAUAUUAGUGCUAACAGAUUAACCUUUCUAGGGCAAAAUAUAGCAAAUGUACAAUUGUUAGUGCCUACACUUAAGGAUAUGUUUCAAGAAAGAAAAGUAAUGCAACACUGAAAUUGAAUUUAGAAAUGAAUUGAAACUAUUGCAUGAGACAACACAAGCAAAAAAUGGUGCAACAGUUCAAUUAAAAUUUAAAAUAAAUAGCAACUAUUAGAUGAGGCCACUGAAGAGAUAACAAUAACAAAGACUUAAAAUGACAGCAGUAGGACAAGCCAAAUGAAUUUUUUAUCUGCCAUUCAGUUCCUUCUAGGGUCAUGUCCUCCAUUAAAUUUAAGACAAUUGAAGAAACAUUGUGAGGAAAAUAGCAGAUUUCCUGACACUUCUGUCUACCACAUUUAUAUCUUUGCUUCAAUGAACUUUUCAAGCUCAAGAAAACUUUUCUACAUUAACAUUAUACAUCAAAGAAAGAAGGAUUACAUUACGGAUGUCAGACAAUGAACCCUUCCCCAGGGAAGCUGAUGUGCCUGUGAAAUCAAGGACGUUAUCUAUUAAUUGGAAUGCCAAUCCCUGUCCAGAAAAAAGGGCAGCACCAGACCAAUCAGAUUGAAAGAGACAUAAGAAAGAAAACCACAGCAAACAACACCAAUAUCUUCUCCACAAUAAAUCAUAGCAAUUGCACCAAGUCACUACAUGCCAAAUCAUUGGGGACAGUGCUGAUGUCAUUUUGCCAAAAUAAAUGAACGGUACACUUUCAAAAAAAAGACAUCAGUGUCCCUCCACUGUGAUAGGCAGUGCAGCAGUUGGAAACAAGAUUGCAAUAGCAACAAUAGCAAUCAACAAAAUGGAUCCAGAUUCAACCACUUGUCAUAAAAAAACUAAAUUAAAAUAUUCAGAUAUCUCAAUAUUAUACAAAGAAGUUGGCAAGAAGAGUGAUGUUUUGAGAAGCGUAAUUUCAAAAGUAUCCAAGAUACUGAUAUGUAUAUUUGUCAUCUUUCUAGACCCCAAAUUGAUGGAAUGACCCUAUCAGAUCAAAUAAACCAUGAAAAAAGCCCAAAUAAAACCAAUUUGUAGUUUAUUUAAGUAAUCAAUUUCUAGAUGUUCCUAUAGAAAUUAAAGUUUUUCUUCUGAUUUACAUGUUUAAUAGGUGUAGGGUCAGGUGAGAGACCAUUUCAUUUUGAGGAGAGAGAAAAUGAAUUUGUCAACUAGAAUCUCUAGAUUUGUCUAUUAGGAGAUAAGACCCAUGAACUCAAAGAGAUUACUCCACUAAGCUUACUCCAAACAUAUAAUAGAAAGAAGAUGAAGCUAAGGAAUUCACAAACCAGAUUCUUGGCAUACUCGAAGGCCAACAUUGAAACUUCCGCAGUUUGCCCUGCAAGAAGAGCACUAGCCUUGCUGCUGUUUGAAAUCAAAGAUGCAGUCUUGUAGUAUGUCUUCUGCAAAUAAUAUUCCAUGCUGCAAUCACAAACAAUUAUUUUCACAUAAUUUACUGAAAGGACCAUCUUAAUGUGCAAACACAGGAAUAAGACUUGAUAAUCUAUCAAAAUGGAUGUUUAAUAUGCUACAAAUAAUCCCAUAAUCCAAAACAAACACAACUCCAUGUGUUGACAUGUGAAAAUUACUUCUAAUUCAUGUAACAGGGGUAUAAUUUGAUUCUCUAUAUGUCAGAAUUUAACAGGAUCGUUGUGAACUAUGCCUCUUAUAUACAGUUUUGUUUUAUACUCUAAAAUGCUUUAAACACGUGCUCUAUUUGUAAAUAAUUUUUUUUCUAUAAAUUUGUUUGUAUUUUAUCUUAAAUACUAAAUCUCAGACAUAAAUUUUUAUUAUUUUUAUUCAUUGUGAUGAAGUUAAUUCAUAAGUAGACAACUUUAUACAUCCAAGAUAGAGUUGACUAACACAGUCAUGAGUGGAAAAAUAAAGGGACAGUUUCCACAAGGAACAAGGGAACUCAGAAGUGAGGGGACUGAAUGCCUUAUGGUUAUUUGAAAACAUACUAUUUUGUUCUUUGCCUCUUUGAGCUGUAACUGGUGUUUCUUAUGGUUCGUUCCUAGAUUUUUGUAACCUUCCUUAGUUUUCCAACUUGUAUGAUUCCUUUUAAGGAGUUUCUUCUUUUCUUUUGAUCAGAUUUGUAUAUUGUGGAAGGAUGUCUCAUCCCUCUUGAUCUUUAAAAUUAAUAGAAAAGAUUUAGGGUUGGUUUGUUUUUUUAACUUAAGUCUCAAAGCAAGUUGCUUUAAGAUUUAAGAUAAAAAUAAAAUAAAAUUUUAGAGCCUCUUUGGGAAUUGUUUCUAAGAUAGUUUUUUUUUUUUUCUCUUUUUGAUAGAAAAAAUGUUUUUUCAGAACUUGUUCUGAAAGUAAAGUGUCUGUUGAUAACACACUUUAAUUGUUUUAGUUGUUUUGUAACGGUUGGUUUAAAAAAUACUUGUAUAAAUAUGGAGAAUGAUUAAAAAGAACUCACUACAAAUUUAAGAAAUAUUAGAAAACAUAGGAAACAAGUUAAAAGCAUACCAAGAUCCAAAAUAAAUUCUUAUUCUAAAAAACACUGAGAACUGUUUGCGAAAACUGUUUUAAACAACUAUUUUAAAGAAGUUCCCAAACAAACCCUUACAUUUGACAUUAAGACAAAAUUGUCAUAGAAAAAGUGGUAAGUUAAAAAACAAACAAUUUUAAAAAUGACUUAAACUCCUAAAAAAACUUGCUUUAAGACUUACAUAUAAAAUAAAAAAAUAAAAAAAAUCAAAAAGAAAAUAAACAACUUAAUACUUAAAACUAUUGAGUACUAUUUAGACUUAAGUUAAAUUAAGGUCUAUUUAGAUUUAAGACAAAAAAAAAAAACAAAUGUAUCCUAAGUGUAUUUAUGAGAAGUAGGAUUGGUAAUACUUUUAGCAAUUCUUUGAAGGAGUUCUUUGUAGAAGUAGUAGCAGUAGUGAUGUAAUGAUGUAUUUUUUAGGCGAAAGAAAGACAGGAUAGAUGACUUGAUGGUGGAGCUGACACUAGAUGCUGACAGGCUCAACCACUGCAUGAGAGAUUGUGUUUAUGACACUUCUCGAACCGUAUCGACCCGACAGGCUACACCGGUCGACCGGGCAGGCUAAACUGGUCGACCGUCUGGCACAUAGUCUCGACCGGUUGCCAUUUUGACCCCGAGAAACUUCCUUUUCAAAUUCAUUUCUUUUCUACUAAUUAUGCAAGGUCUUUAGGUGAAUUAAUAUGCCAUUUUAUAAUCAAUUUGCCUAAGGUAUGUUUGCAAAAACUCGGGUUUUAAAGAAAAGCAAGUUUUAAAGAAUAAACUGAGUUUUGUAAGAUGCAUGAAAAGGUAUGAACAUCCUAAGUGCACUCGUGCUAUCAUCCAACAUUUAUUUCCUAUGAUCUCAAGUCUUCGAAGCGUCUCGAUCAUCUAUCCAUUUGGUCCUUUGAUGAAUUUUCGAGUGUAUACCUGAGAUUCUUAAAAAUUUAAAACAAUUAGUCACUUAACCAUGGUUUGUUAUCAUCAAAACCCGCUUAGGGGCACCCAUUCGGCUAACAAUCUCCCCCUAUUUGAUGAUGACAAACCUUGCUUAUCUAGGAGAGACGAAAUCUCCCCCUCAAUCCAAACAUGGAUCAAUUAAAGCGAAAAUUUUAAAUGACAUGCAAAAUUUCAAUAGGAGACAUUGUGAAUUGUGAAAAUAGCAUAUCAUAUAUAAUAAUAUCGCAUAUACACAACACAAGACUAAUGAUAUGGAAAUGUCAUGCAUCUGUGUGCCCCCUACAUCAUAUAAUUUCUCCCCCUUUGGCAACAUCAUAAAGAAACGAAGGGGAGGGGGGGUGAUUACUACUCAAAAAGGGCUAUUUGAUAGCUUGUAAUUAACUCUUUUAAACACUUUUGAGUAGUAAUUAUUGCCUUUUAACCCAAUUAACAUAUUAAGGACCUUUGCAAUCACUUCUAAUCACUUUGUGUAAGUUUUGGUGUUUUUGUUAGUAAUUUGAUCACCAAGGCAAUCCAAGAUGGAGGAGAGUUAUUUGGAAUCCAUGGCAAAGCAAUGGAAAGCUCAGAAACAUGAAGAAUCAGAGCUUUGAAGCCUUAAAGUCCUUUGCCAUAACCAAUCCGGAAUGCAAGGAGGAGAAGUAAAGAGAGAAUCUACCUUGAAGCAUCCUUGAUGACAGUAAUUUCAGCCACUUUUGGAGUACUUCCUAAAGUCCAAUUUAUGCAUGCUUUAUGUCGUUUCGAAGAUCGGGAAGUCAACAAUCCAAUGCUUCAAACGGUUCGCAAAUCAGAGUUGAAAUGAAGAAGUUAGAGCCAAUGGAAGCAGAUCACUCCAAGCUGAAGGCCAAUUUCGCAGGGCUGCGAAAUCAGCCUUUGGCUGCGAAAUCAGCCUUCGGCUGCGAAAUUUCGCAGCCAUUUUGUGCGCCUGCGAAAUUCUCCUGAGUGCUUCCAGAUAUUUGCGACCAACGUUUUUGGAUAUUUUGCUUCAGAUAUUUGUUGUCUAAAUCCCAAUUCUCUCCUUGUAAUCCACCAAUUAGAUGAUUCCUUAGUUGUUAAGCAAGAAUACAGGGGUAAACAACCUGUUAUAUAUUGUUUUGUAAUUUUCAUUUUAUAGGCCCGUCGUCGGGGAACUUUCCCCAGGAGACCAACUUAUGUAAAUUUUACACUUAGCUAAAUACAGGGUAUCUUUUGCUUUCUUUUUCUCUCUACUAUUUUCUAUUUUCUUAGUAGCCAAACAUCCUUGGAGGAUGAAAUCCCCAAGGAUGAGAGGCUAAAACCUUUUAGUUUCUUGAAGUAAUGGAUGCCAUGUGAAGCUCCCGUGUCAGGAUGGAGAUUUCCAAGCCAUAAAUGUAAGUAGUUGAGCAUCAUAAAUGUUUUCAUUCAAAGUAAAGCUUUUAAUCCCUCUGACUUGCUUUGAAUGGCCAAUACUUGAUAACCUUUUGGUCUCAGUGGAUUCUUAUUGUUAGAUCCACUGACGUUCAUUAGUUAUCUCCUACGAGCCAUUGUAUUGCAAGUCGAGGAGAUGACCUAUAUCAUUAAAAGAGCAUUUAUGAGGUUCAGCUACCCUUUUUGUAAGUUUUCAAGGACUAAAACUUAGUUGUUAAACACAUACCGGUUCGGGAAGUAAGCAUCACCUGAGUUGCUUCCCCAACUCGAGGUGAAAAGUUCCAAAAUCUCCAUUUUUACACCGUGAGUUAAGCAUGGCUAUCCAAAGCUUUGAGAAACUUCUUUUUCCAUCUUUUAACCUACUUGCAUGUUAGUUUAGUUUACAACACCUUCAUCUUUUUAUGUUUUCAUCUUAAUCUAAUUUUUAUUAAGAAAAGUUCACUCCAUCCUCCGAACUUCACCAGUUAAAGUAAAAACCCUUCCCAGUGUUCGAUCCUAGAGCCACUAUGCUAUAGUAGCUUUGCUACUUUAGUGUAAGGACCUUAGGUAUAAAUUUUGUUGAUACCCUUACAUGCCAAGCUACCAAGAGUCGGGUUAUCAGGGGGAGGGGGGGUCUCGAAUAUAUCAAGGCGGAGGUGGAGAAAACACUGAGCGAAGGUAGGCCAUCAUCUCCUCAUGCUGUUGAUCCAUAUGCUCCUCAAGAUGCCCAAGUCUCUGAUCGAGAUGCUCAAACUGAGAGGUGAAGUCGGUCUGAUACUCAUCUAUGCGAUCCUCCAUAGAGUGGAAACGAGUAUCAUUGACAACUGCCAGCUCCUCCAUACGAGUCCCGAGAGAAAUGAUCUGAGCGGAUAAAUCCAUCCAAGGCGCAUGAUCAGGUGUGUGAGGUGGCUAAAAUGGUAUCUCUGCGUCAUAAGGCUCAGAUGGUCCAGUUGUGUAUGCCGGCUCAGAUAUCAUCGGCUCAGGAGGAGGAAUGUCGCACUCAGGCAUGCUCUGAACAAAGUCCCUCUGAGGGUCUAGGCCACCCUCCAUCUCUCGAAUCUGGGCAUCCUCCUCAUCUACAUGAUGCAUAUGUCCCUGCCCAUGGGCCUGUGCCGGUGGUCGCUCAGCUCUCCUGAUCCAAGAGCCAUCAGGGGCCUUCUCAAACUUCAUCCGCCCCAGAGACUGCUCGUCAUAUGUGUCAUACGUGGUUGGGGCCUCCAAAUCUGUCUCGCGGCUCAAAUCAACCCCGGCAUCCUUGAAUACUCUCGUGAGGAAGCGACCAUAGGGGAGGACGCGGGUCUUGCUCUCACAGCAAGAUAUCAUAUGCAUCAUCAUCAAGUACCCGACAUGAAUCCGUCUCCCUGUCAAAAUGGAAUCCACUAUGAAAGCCUCGAGGUAGGAUACCUCGUCUCGAUGUCCACCCCGUGGCAAAAGAAUGCAGCAGACCAUGUGAUGCAGGAUACGACUGAUCACUGUCAGGCUAUGUGCAGAGGGUUUGCCCAUCCCCUGGGCAUCGGGAAGUCCACACAGCCUCUAAAUAGCCUCUCUGGGCUCAAAUCCUGGCACCGUUGCCCACACCUUGGACUCAUACACCCUGAGUCCAACUGAUGGUAUAUCGAAUAUCUCUCCGGACUCAAGGUGAUCUCAACUCCUCUGACAGUGGAAGUGAUCGAUCCUCCAACCCCGUAGGUCACCCGUGAGUAGAAAGUGCGAAUCAGAGUCGGGAAGAUAGGCUCCGAAAUAGUCACCACUGGCAGCCAUCUCAUCCGUGCAAAUAUCUCCUCAAAUCCAAAGUACUUAAGCUGGGAGAAAUUGAUGCUUCUCUCGGGAACAACUUUCCUCUGGGCGAAUUUUUGUUUAUAUCUCUGGUAGUCUUCGACAGAGCCGAAAAGAGCGGUGUCGUACCUCGCCUUUCGGCGAGCCUCAGACUGAUCUGGCUGAGAUGGGUCAGCAGGGCACUUGCCCUGAGCCCUGGAAGCGGCUGACUCUCUCCUAGGCGCCAUCCGAAAUGAAGAGAUGAAGGAGACGAGGCUGAAGAGAGGGAUGCUCACACACCUGCAAGGCCUAACGUGCGGGAAGACACUGACGCAGGCUCUGGUGCGUCUACUGAGGAGGAAAUCGCCCAAAUACGAAGCCCUGGGUCCCAAAUUCGAAAACCCUACCCUCCAAAAUCCAAUCCGUAGCCCGCUGAAGGUUGUAAUGGUGGCAAAAAUCCCUUCAGGGCAGCUGGAACGGCACAAGGUUUGACGAACCAGAAGAAAGUAGUGAGAAAGUGAGGCGCGGGAGUCUUUUUAAAUUCUAAUCCCCGACGAACCGGUCGACCGAAAUGAAACUAGUAGUAACUUUUGAGAUGAUUUGUGGAAAAGUUUUCCUUAUGCAUAGACUUUAACAUCUUAGCAUGCUAACUUUGUCCAAUGAUAUUUGCACCUGUUUCACAACAGUACUCAUUUUUCCAAUAUUUCAUUUUUCAUUGAAAAAAAACAUAGAUGAAGGCUCCAUCAGUAUGGAAAGGAAAAUCAGGUAAAGAAACACCCAAACUGUUGAAAUAAAUUAAACAUUAGAAUAUUUUAAAUUGAAAUAAAUAUUCAAUUAAUAAAAUUGAAAAAUAUUUGAUAUUAUUUUAAAUUUAAAUGUUCAAUUUAAUUUGAACAUUUAGUAUCUAUUUGGGUAAGCUUUCUAUUCUUUGUUUAAAAAAAAAAAAAACCAAUAGUAACUUCUAAAUAAAUUGGGUUAUUAAAUAACUUUUAUCACCUCAUUUUUUUUAAUUAAUUUUUAAGGACAGAAGGUGAGCUUAUAUUUUGUACCUAAAAUUUCUACUUCUAUAUAUCAAUCUAGCAAAGGAAAAAAUGUUGAUAAUUAUGGUAGAUAAUUAUGAAUUUUCCAAACCCUGUCUUGCUUCUUAUUUCAUCAAAAAAAAAAAAAAGAAAUUGUUGUCUUUGAUUGUUAUUCAUAUAGUUUGUUUGGGAAUAAUUGACUUAUUUGUUUGGCAUUUGCCUGGUUAUUGUUGUAGGACAUCAUGAGUGAUGCUGAAGAUGGUAGUGAUGAAGGAUCAGAGAGUGAAGAAGGUACCUGCAUCUCUUCUGUUGGUAUUAUGUUAAACCAUUUUUUUGUUCUGUUACCUGCUACCUAUAAUCGUGCCAUUUGUCUUUGUGUAGAUUCAACCAGGAAAAAAGAGGCCAACUGAAUCUGCCACAAAAACACCUGUUCCUGCUAAAAAGGCUAAAUUAGUUUCACCUCAAAACACAGGUGAUCUUCAAUGUUUGUAAUUUGUGGUUUUUAUAGCUGUCUUUAGUUAUUGAUGCAAGGGCUAUGGAUAAUUAUGGUUUUAUGAGUGUAUCUGUAUAAUUUCUAUGCCACACUAUCCUGAUAUGUGCUUUUUUCCCCUAGUUAAAUAAUUUAAUACGAGUAAAUUUGGAAUGCAUAGGUGCCCCAUUCAUAAGGUAUUCAUCUUACCUUACGAUAAUUUGAAACCAAUACUCAAAUCAGAUAAGCAGCUAAUUGACUACUGCUUGUAUCCUAUGUGGCUAGCAUCGUAUGGAAUAUAAUUGUUGUAUCCUAAAAAAUGCAUUGUAAGUGAUAUAUUGAUUUUGUGUGGUUUCUCCUAUGAUAUAAUUUCUAUUCAUCUUUGUGAUUUAUGAGAGCAUUUCUGCAGGAGGUUAAUUUCUAUCUGAACUUGGUAUUUUUCCUCCUAAGUUUUUAAUCUGUUUGUUUUUAUUGGUAUUUUCAUGGGAACUGUCAUCCUUCUAUUUAUUCAUCUCUCCACCAAAAAUUGUUUUUACCUUGUUGGACAUCCAUUGAUAAAUUUGUUAGCAUAUCCCAAAUAACCUUCAAAUCUUAUUUGAAAUAUGUUUGAAAUCUCCUUUGUUCUGAUAUUGCAUUUUAAUAAAUUUAUCAAAUUUUUGAUAUAUUUCUCAUUCAUCUAUUGAGAGUAGGAGUCUCCUCUGACAGCUUCCGUUUUAACCCUUUAGUUUUAUCCAUAAUUCAUUCUAUUGUGGUGGAAUUCAUUAUCUGCUCAUUGCUCGUCAAUAUUCUGUUAAUUGUCUGCUAAUUGUCUGUCAAUAUCCUGCACCCUACAUUCCCAAGUUCAUUUGAAAAAUUAUGAUGUGAACUGAGAGAGUACUUGACAUGGAGCAAUUAAAAUGUUUUUUGUUAAAAUGUUCUAUGGCAUGAAUUUUGUGUUAAUGCUGAAAAGAGUGUUGCUUAUGGGGUGCAGAUGGUAAGAAGGGUGGGGCUCAUACAGCAACUCCUCAUCCUAACAAGAAGGCGGGGAAAACUCCUGCUACCGGUGACAAAGGCAAGGAGCAGAGCCCAAAAUCUGGUGGCCAAGUCUCUUGCAAAUCUUGCAGCAAGUUCGUCAUCUGAACUCACAAAGCUCCUUUUCUUUUGAUUCUAGAAACAAUGGAAAGUUUUUUGAAUAACUCAUAUGCUUUCUCUUGUUAAUAAUAACAGGACAUUCAACUCAGAAAAUGCGCUUCAAUCCCAUUCCAAGACUAAGCAUGGUGUCUCUUAGAGCAAAAGAAGUCUGUCUGUCGAAAUCAGAAAAUGAGCUGAUUAUUAUGCAUCAAGUAUUUCAGUUUUGUCACAACAGAGAGGGAGAGGAGAGGAGAGGAGAGGAGAAAGCUUUGGCUUAAAUUACUAUUUUUGUUAACGUUUUGCUAUUCCUGUACCCCGUCUCUGGCGUCUUAGGAAGUUUUAUUUUCUAGUUAUUGGUUGUGCAAUUAGUCAUAUGAGUCUUUGUUGUCCCAUGAACUUAACUUAUCAUCUGCUUUUAUUCAUAUGGCGUGUGUUUGUAACAUGCAAAUUAUAUAUCUUCAAGCCCAUCUCUAUGAUUUUCUUUCUUAUUUAUUUUCCUAGCUAUCUCCUUUCCGAUACUAUCUAAACAUGGGAAAAUGAUUAUUAUCAACAUUUUUUCCUUUGCUAAAUUGAUAUAUAGAAGUAGAAAUUUUAGGUACAAAAUAUAAGCUCACCUUCUGUCCUUAAAAAUUAAUUAAAAAAAAUGAGGUGAUAAAAGUUAUUUAAUAACCCAAUUUAUUUAGAAGUUACUAUUGGUUUUUUUUUGUUAGAGAAUACCUUACACAUGUGUUCAACUUUAUUUGCAAAGUAGUGUUUUGUUAAGUGUUGAGAGACACCUAAUACCCAAGGCCUCCUUCAAUUGUUUCUGAAGAAACAAUUGCUCACCUUAGUAAAUGUGAUUUUCUUUCAAGAGCCCCUGCCUUCCGAAGGGAAAUCCCUUUGAAUCCACUCCAACCUCAAUUUGAUUGUCCUUGGCAUGCAAAAUAAAGACACAAAAUAGAUAGAAGAACUAAAUAAAAGGUUUUGAAUUAGAGUGAGCCUUUAUCCUUUAAAGAUAUAUUGUCUUUUUCUUAUAUCUAGUCUUUUGUGGAACCUGUCUUUCACUCCAUUUGAAGCCACCAUAGAUUUAAAAGGGGUACUAAGAGGAAGACCUAAGUAAGUAGACAGAAGACCACCCGCCUUAUAACCAAUCUCUAAAGGCCACUCUUCUAAGUUCUCCAUCAUUUCCAUUGGAAUUAAUUUGCUCUAAUCUAGAUUAAUUUACAACCUUAAUAUAGCCUCAAACCACAUAAAAUCGACUCAAAUAAGUCAUUUGGUUCAAAGAAGACUUACAGGAAAAAAUAGGAUCAACAACAAACAAAUUGUUGGACAAAAGUAAACACUACAGCUGCAGAUGGAUGUGUAAUGGAAAUUUAAAGGCUCACAACAAUGGAAAUCAAUGGCUCACAAGUGAGGAUUAAAAAUUAAAAGUUAAAACAGUGCCCUUAAUGGGGAAGUCAAAAGUGAUCCAAUGCCAUCGGCCUGUUACCAGCAAUCUCAUUUUCAUUUAUAGCACCAUUCUAGAAUUGAUAUUUGAACUUCAAGUCUAUGCAAAACACAAUGGAGAUAUUUGUUUUCAUAAGACAUCCAAAUGCACCUCAAAUAAAAAUGUAUUUAAAAUAGUAAAUAAAGAAUGGGUUUAAUAAGGAAACCAGAGGGCCAAAACUCAGUACGAUAAUUCAUGCAAGCAGGCAAGCAUAGCUCACCCUAUUGUAGUAAGUAUUAACCGGUCGACCGGUUGUAUUCGACCGGUUGACCUGGGAACUCGACCGGUAGACACUGGUCAUUUUUUGGUGCGAGUCCCAAAAUGGUCAGUGGCUACCGGUUGCAAACCAACAUGUGACCGGAUGAUGCUAUUUAUCGACCGGUUGACACUGCCAUUUUUUUUCCCCCAAAACCAAAAGCGGGACUUGCUACCGGUUGAUGCAUUGCCUCAUCCGGUUGAAAAUACCCAAGUUUUAUUAAAAAAAAUAUAGUAGGCUGACCAUAUUCGUAGACAUUAUAGUAGAUUAGACAAAGGGAGGAGAAUACAUACGUUUUACGAUGAACCAAUACUGAGUGUAACCUUCCUAACGCAUGAUUCUUCUAUGGUUUUGAUGGAAAUAGUCAUAACCUUCCUUUUGCCAUCCGAAACCAGGGAUUUCAGACUCAGUAUUUAAAAUACAAAAAUUUUCAUGGCACCCAAAUGGGAACCUACAUUAUGUGAUGUCUACCAACAAUUUAAAAUAUACAGAAGAAGGUUUAAAGAGAUGAAAAUAACCUAUAUAUCAAGAGCUAUAAACAAAAUAAGAUAGGUAAUAUAUAUACAUGUAGAGGAAAAUACAUCAUCCAUAUACCAUCAUUUGCAUUGAGCGAAUACAUUUACGCCAUUUAUGUGAAUGGCCGAUGACAACAUCCAUAAGUAAUACGAGAAGUCAUAAUAACAAAAGGGCAUUUAUAUUAGCCAAAUGUCAAAAAACAGAAUGAAAGUUUAAUAACUAUAAAACUAGUACAAAAUGUAGAAGGGGUCAUUAAUGGUCUGGUCCAUGAAGCGGGAAGUGGGAUCGAAAGAAGACCAUCAUCUCAUCAUGCUGGCGUCGUAUAACUUGCAUACCCUCUUUCACUUCCUCGUGUAAACCAUCAAUGCAAUUCUCCAGAGAUGUCAAACGUCGGUCAUUGGCUAAUACAAUCUCCUCCAAGCGGGUACCAAGGGACUUAAUCUGGGCAUUGAGGUUAUCUGAUGCCUCAGAGUCGUCCGGUCCAAUUAGUGAAGGAUGAUUUGUUAACGCCCUAGCUCUUACACCACCUGUUGAUGGUAUUUGUGUGACAUUUGCUUUUGCAUGAGUUCUUCCCUGUACAUCCUGAUCUUCAUAUUCUUCAUCGUUCGAGGGCCCAUUGUCUGAAGAGACAUCAACCUCUGAGGAGGGAACGGAAGACUUCCUUGCCCAUGAACCAUCUUUCUUCCGUACAAAAUGCAUGCGCCGAAGUGAAGCCCGAUCAUAUGUAUCAAAUGAUUUGAGUUUUUUCCCGUCUGUCUCAUUGCGCAAAUUGACAUUGAAGUAUUUGACAAUCAUUGUGAUAAACAUGCCAUAGGGGAGAACUGAAUCUUCGCUGAUUGAACAUGCUUUCAUAUGUUGGAAAAUUAUGUAACCAAUAUUAACCUUUCUUUCUAUGAGAAUGUUGUCAACCAAAAAAGCCUCCAAGAAAGAUACAUCAUCUCGGUGCCUUUCUUUAGGGAUGAAAAUGUACGAUAUCAUGUGAUGUAGGAUACGACUCAACACAGUCAACAAAUGGGAAGUUGGUCUAUCAGAUCUCGGGUAACCACAUAGCCUCUCUAAAGCUUCUGCAGGUUUGAAACCUUCCACCCUUGGCCACUUCUUAGCUUCAUACAAACAAACCCCUUCGUUUGGAAUCUCUAAAAUCCGACAAAGUGCAGCAACAUCAAAAACGAACUGUACACCGUUAAUCGUUGUAGUAAUGGGUCCUUCGCCUUCGAAUGUCAUAUUGGAGUAUAAACAUUUGACAACCUUGGGAUAAACGAACUCAUUGACGGAGACAAUCGGAAGCCAACCCAUUCUCGCGAAAAGCACAUCGAAAUGGAAAUAACUGAGCUUUGCAAAAGCAAUGUUCCUACCCGGGAUUACGGUCCGAUUCGCAAAGUGAAGAUGAAAUCGUUGGGCUAGGUCAGGGGUUGCGAACGUAGAUCGAUCAAAGGUGGCCUUCUUACGAACCUCCGGACUUGCUUCCACGACCGGUCGUUUAGCGUUGUUGGUGGUGCGUUUUGCUCCAUCCGAGGUGUUGUGGGUGGUUUCGCUUGCUUGUUGUCGGUCGGAGGUCUUUUUGUUGGUCCCGCGCAUCCUUGAUACCGCCGGCCUCUUCUCUUUCCGACCGGGUGAGGAAGCUUCGACCGGUGCUCGUUUUGGGGGCAUGAGUAUUCAGAUGGGCUUCAGGUAUUGCGUGAGGAUGAAGAAGACUGAAGUGGAAGACGGACGGGUUCAGGUCUCACGCGAGGAUGAAGAAGAAUGGAGUAGAAGACAAAGGGGUUGAGGGGUAGAACUGGUUUGAACAUCGGUUGACCUUCGUGGAAAGACAUCCACUUUAUGAAGUAAUUAAAUUUUAAUUAACUUAAUGUCUUACAUUAUAUUUGUUACACUUUUAAUGUAAUAGUUUCCAUAUGAACUGAUUAAACCUAUAAUGGAUUAAAUGAAUAAAUAUUUUGAUGUACCUUAAAGAAAUUAAUUGAAGUUAAUUUCACAAAAUUUAUAUUAAGGAAAAUAAAAAAUGAGAACUUAAGUUAAUUAAAUCAUAUAAAUUAACUAAUCUUUUUGAUAGGUACGAUAUAGUAUAAUGAACUCACUAAGAUAUAGUCACACCUAUUAGAUUAAAAUUGUAAUUAACUAACAUAUACUACCAUAGGGGCAUCAAAAUUAAUUAUGGUUGUAUGACAAAAUGUUCGAAUAAGUACGAUAUACCAUGGUGAGUGAAAUAAAUUAAUGAAUCUGAAUUUAUUUAAAAUAUCCAUAAGUAGAAUAUCAUAACUUAUCUCAUUUUACGUAAUUAAGUGUAAUUAACCUACCUUUAUCAUGUCUAGGAUAUAUUAUGAAGCAUUAAUUAAAAAUAAAUUACGUUAAUUCAUGGAAAAAUAUAGUGUAAUGAACUCACUAAGAUAUAGUCAGACCUAUUAGAUUAAAAUUGUAAUUAACUAACAUAUACUACCAUAGGGGCAUUCAAAUUAAUUAUGGUUGUAUGACAAAUUGUUCGAAUAAGUACGAUAUACCAUGGUGAGUGACAUAAAUUAAUGAAUCUGAAUUUAUUUAAAAUUUCCAUAAGUAGAAUAUCAUAACAUAUCUCAUUUUACGUAAUUAAGUCUACUUAACUAACCUUUCUCAUAUAUAGGAUAUAUUAGGAAGCAUGAUUUUAAAAAAAAAUACCGUUAAUUGAUGAAAAAAUAUAGUAAGUAGGAAACGGUAUCAAAACAUAGUUACAAUAAAUAGGCUAAACAACAGUAACAAAUGUCAAUAUUAUCAAUUAAGUCCAUAUAUCCCCUUUAUAUUUUGUUAAGUUAUACACAUAUCCAUUUGCAAUGGGUGUAAAAAAUAUCCACAUUAGGCUGACUUUCCCAACUGAUAUAAAUGUUAUAUUUAAUGGCACCUAAAAAACUGAUGCAAAUAUCCAAACUAUCAACCACUAAGUGUACCAUUGUUGGUAGGUUUUCAACAUGUGGCAGCCUAUUAAAAAAUGUAAUAACUCCAUCAACCAACCACAUACAUAUAUUACUAUAUAUUUGGGGGAGUUUUAGUAUUGUAAGAACCUUACCAUCUGAACGAGGUCUGCUAUUUUUUGGAGAACAGGUCACAAAAAACAUCCAGAAGACAAAUCUUCAGGUCAAGCUGCAUCACACUUGGACCUUCCAUUUUAACGGUAUGAUCUUUAACUCAAUAAAGAAUAGAUAAACAAAUCCAUAAUACAUUUUUUAAGCUGAAUGCCUUCAUCUUUGAAAUGGAUGGGGGAAUAUUUCCAAAACCUAAUAGUGAUUUUUAAAUGGUAUGUAUUGAUGUUAAAGAGUUUGGAUUUUGAUUGUCUAAAGCACAUUGUUAGUAAUAUGCAUCAGUGAUCUGUUGAACAGUUGAGAUUAAUUUAGUUAAUAUAAGUGAGUCAUGUUGGUUGUAAAAAUCACAACAUCAUCAAAAUGAUAGGGUAAUACAUAUUCAAAUGACUUAAAAAGAGAGAAUCAACCUUAAGAAAUGUGUAUUAUUGACUCCCAAUAUGGGGUAAGUUUGGAAUAAGUUUGGCGGUGUACCCAAAAGCUUCCGUGCUUUUAGAUAGAAUUAUAUAAAAGUCAUUUUCCAUGUUUUUAAAGAAAGUGGAUGAGAGGUAUUAAUUAUUGUGACUGGCAAACUCCUUGAAGAUGGCAACUAAGAUUAAUGUUGGAAAUUUUGUUAACAUAGUAUGCCUAAAUAGGGCAACAUUAUAACGUUCAGAUAAGGAAUGAAGGCCUUAAUGAAAUCAACAACGAAAAGAAACAAUUAGCUAAUCGGUUUACAUAUUAGGCCAGUAGCUACCGGAUGAGGAAUUUCCUCAACCGGUUGAGAAAAAUCCUCAACCGGUAGCAACUGGUUAAAAAAAUCCUCAACCGGUUGAGGAUUUUCAUCAACCGGUUGAGGAAUUUCCUCAACCGGUUGAGCGAAUGGGUAUCAACCGGAUGAGGAAUUUUCUCAACCGAUUGAGGAAAUUCAUCAUCCGGUAGCUACUGGCCAAAAAAAUUCCACAACCGGUCGACCGGCUUAAUGCAACCGGUAGAUAGAUAUUCUCAACCGGUAGACACUGCCAAAUUUUGUGAACAGCACCAAAAUGCAUCCGGUGAAUUUGUAGCUCAACCACAUUAUAAUAGCUUAGAGCAAGGGAAGAGAGUAGAUUCGGGUUACGAGGAAACAAAAAAUUGAACCGAUUGUUGUUUUAUGCUCAUCAAGACCAACAACACCAUCCGCUACCAAAAAAAAGUUGGACAAUCUGAAAUAUUGUUAUUGCACAAGGACCGCCAAAAGCACUACAACCUUAGCCUCAACAGGAGAACCAUGUCUACGAAGUUGAACUUAACUAUUACUUCACUUGGUUGUCUAAGGACAAUUUAAAUUAUGUGCGUUUCUGUAUAGAUGUCAGACGUGGAUCAUUGUCUAAUGCCAUAUUUUGAGGGUAUUGGUGUCGCACUUGCAUUUUUCACAAGUUAUUUCCUCAACAUAAUGAUUUUUAAGUGAUAUUUAAUGAUUUUAAAAAGUUUUGCUUAUGAUUGUGUAUAGCAGAGUAGUAUCAAUUUUGCAACAUAUGACCUUUUAAAUGGAAAAUCAUGGGGAAAUUAUCACGUGUGCAGUCUACACCGGUUCUAUAAUUUAUCAAAUUCUAAAUUUUUUUCCAAAAAUGAGAAUAGAUGACGUUGUCGAAUUCGGUUUAUCUUCAAGUAUGCAAUCAAUUGAUACAAAAGUGAUACGAUAAUUUGUUAAAGUAUUAUUGGGGAAUUUUUUUACCUUAUUUAUGUAAUGUAGAUCAUGCAAUCGGUGAAGGAGAAAACAAUCAAGCGGGAGUUUGAAGUGAAGGAGGAGGACGUCGUCGAUGACGAUGCAUUUAUCGGUGCCACUUACGACCUGGGUGGAAACGGUUUGAAACAGAAGGUGUUGAAGGGUAUUUCAGAUGAAGAAGUCUACAAAUUGCAAUUCGAUCGCAUAGAUGAGGCUGAAACAUUUUACAACAUGUUAGCUAGAGUAGCCGGAUUUAGUAUUCGAAAAGAUGAUUUGAAGCGAGACAAGAAUGGAGAUAUAAUAUCUCGAAAGUGGGUGUGUUCUAGAGAAGGACAGCGAGCGACAAAGUUUAUUGAAAAUGACAAGCGACAGCGUGAGCCACGAUCAUUGACUAGGGUUGGAUGUGAAGCUGCAUUUCGUGUAGGCUUGAAUAGGAAAGAUGGAAAGUGGAUUGUAAAGGAAUUUAUAGGAGAUCAUAAUCAUAAUUUGGUCGAUGCUAUCAACACACAAUUCCUUCGGUCUCAUCGAACAAUAAGUAAUCCAGAUAAGGCACAAGUUGAUGUUUUGCGUAAAGUAGGUGUUAAAACCACACAAAUUAUGGACUAUAUGGUAAAACAAUCAGGGGGACAUGAGCACGUCGGUUUCACACAAAAAGAUAUAUACAAUCACGUUGAUGCAAUGCAUAGAAGUGAAAUUAAAGACGGUGAUGCAGAAGCGGCAUUGGCUUAUUUGUGUGGAAAGGCAGAAAUGGAUUCUUCAUUUUUUUAUAAAUUCAACAUUGAUGAAGAAAGUCGACUAGAAAAUUUGUUUUGGGCUGAUUCAACUGCUCGAAUGGAUUAUGCGUGUUUUGGAGAUGUCCUAGCAUUUGACACAACCUAUAGGACAAAUGCCUAUAAAAAGCCUCUAGUAGUGUUGGUCGGUGUUAAUCAUCACCAUCAAACUGUUGUAUUUGGUUGUGCGUUAUUGAUAGAUGAAAGUGUUGGGACAUAUGAAUGGGUGUUGGAGACAUUUCUUGAUGCAAUGAUGAAUAAGAAAUCCAUAUCUGUUGUAACCGAUGGGGAUAAAGCUAUGCGUAAGGCAAUUAAAAAAGUAUUACCCGAUACGUGUCAUCGAUUGUGUGCAUGGCAUUUGCAACGAAAUGCAUUCACGAAUGUGCAUAUUAAGGACUUCUCAAGCAUAUUUUCAAGGUGCAUGUUCAUGCGGGGGAAUGAAGAAGAAUUUGAAAAGGUUUGGCAUGAAAUGGUUGCAAAUUUGGGACUUAAUGAGAAUCGUUGGGUGACCGAGAUAUAUGGGAAACGUAAAAGAUGGGCAGAGGCGUAUUUACAUGGAAAUUUCUUUGGAGGGAUGAGAACCACACAAAGGUGUGAGAGUAUGAAUGCAUAUCUAAAUAGAUUCUUAAAAAUUCGCUUGCGAUUGUAUGAGUUUGUACAACAAUUUGAUAGAGCCAUACUAAGAAUACGGCAAAACGAGGCAAAGGCAGAGUUCGAGUCGAACAAUUCUUCACCCGUGCUUUCAACCAAACUAGCCAUACUUGAAAAUCAUGCUGCGACGGUAUACACAAAAGAAUCUUUCCUUAAAUUUCGUGAGGAGAUGAAAAAUGCUGAGUUAUUCUUUGUGGUUGGUGUUGUAAGUGAUCAUUCAAUGCGGGCAUACAGCUUAUCUAAGUUUAGACACCCGAACUUAAAUUGGGAAGUACAAUUUUGCCCGGAUAUUGUAACAUUAAAAUGCUCAUGCAUGAUGUUUGAGUCAAUUGGCAUCCCAUGUUGCCACAUGGUGGUGGUUAUGAAGUGGAGCAUUUGGAAGAGAUUCCUCAGUCAUGUAUUAUGAAGAGNNNNNNNNNNNNNNNNNNNNNNNNNNNNNNNNNNNNNNNNNNNNNNNNNNNNNNNNNNNNNNNNNNNNNNNNNNNNNNNNNNNNNNNNNNNNNNNNNNNNUUGAGUUCGAUGUGCAACAAGCUCUCCUACUUUGCGUCAGAUACGUCAUCUUCAUUUAUAGAGGCCAAAAAUGAAAUACAAAAUUUGACGGCGAGAAUGGAGGAACUCUAUAACUAUAAUUUGAAAGGGAAGAAAAUAGCAUCAGAUGGAGCGACAGGUACUAACCAAGUUCGUGAUCCAAAUAUUGUGAAGACUAAAGGGAAUCCAGGCAAAGUGGCAAUGAAUGUUCAAAAGGGAAGACGAUGCAGUCGUUGUAAAAGAGUGGGUCACACAAUUCGAAAGUGUCCAGAAGCUACAAUCCCUCAAAAUGCUCAGCCGGGUUAUAUGGUAUGUCAUAUUCAAUAAAAAUUGCCCCUAAGAUUAAUUUUUGUAGGUGUACUAACAUAAAUGACUAACAUAAUUGUUUUGAUGGCAUUAUGAGUACGUAGGAGGAAACUAAUUUGUCUUCCCAAUGUGACAUUCAAAGGGAAAUGAUGCCUUCAACAAAUUCAUCAGUUGACAUUUUUGCAACCUUACAUGUAUGUACAAUAGGCUUGUUAUAUAAUUUCCAAACAUUGAUAACAUAUAAUUCAAUAAUAAUUGACAACACUUAAUUAUUGAAACAUAUAGGGAAUGUUAGGGGAGCAGUUGCCGAAUGACCCAUCUGACAUGUACAUAGAUUGGGGUGAACUUAAUAAUGUAAGAUCGGGAAUGAAGAAACACUUUUGACAUGAAUUUCAGCUAUGCAUUAUUUAAUGAUUAGGUUUAAUUAAUUGGAAUGGAAUUGGAUAGCUGAAAAAAACAAUGAAAUGUGCAUGUGCAGAUAGCAGGAUUUCAGCAACAUGAACAAAGUAUGUCAACACCAUGUGAAGGUAGGGAUCCAAACAAAUAUCCAAAUGAAAAGGAUAUGCAACCUUUUUUUUAUUCCUUAGCGGAGUAAGGGAUGGUAGGUAUUAAAUCAGUAUUUAUAUUAGUUGACGUUAUCACUUCCACUAAUGUGUACUUUUAACUUAACUAUUUAAUGAAAAGUUUGAAUUUUGAUCAAGAGUCAAGUUGAUUGAUAGAAUGCAAUAUCCUCUACAUUUAUAAUUUAAUUGAUAACAAGGGAUAAAAUGAUUAGUAAAUGGAGAAACCGAUUCAUUUAUAUCAUGUCGAAAAAAACGGUUAAUUAUGCGGAUUUAAUUAAAUUCAAUUGUGGUUAAAGUUUGACAAUUAGGUGGUUAUGAGUUAACUAUAGGAAAGUAAUCAAUAUGAUGUAAUUCACAUGAAAUAGGUAAAUUUAGUGAUUUUACUCAAAAUGGGUAAAUCGUAGUUAGGUAAAUUGUAAUGCUAGUUUCCAUCAAUUUCAAACCUUAUAAUUGAACUUAAUGGUACAUUGUCGAAUGUUUCCAUAGUGAAAAGUUAUUGGUACAACUCACAUCAUACCCUUUUUGUGCACAAUAGCAUUGCAGGAGGCAACCGGUUGAGGAAAUUCUUCAACCGGUUGAGGCAUUAUAGACCAGUGGCUAACGGAUGAGGAUUUUCCUCAACUGGUUGAGAAAAUUCCUCAACCGGUAGCUACUGGUUAAACAAAUCCUCAACUGGUUGAGGAAUUUCCUCAACCGGUUGAACAAAUGUGCAUCAACCGGUUGAACAAAUGUGCAUCAACCGGUUGAGGAUUUUUUUGACCAGUGGAUACCGGUUAAGAAAAUUUAUCAACCGGUCGAGGAAAUUCCUCAGCCGGUAGCCACUGGUCAAAAAUGGCUCAACCGGUUGCUCAACCGGGUGUGCCAAGCCGGUCGACCGGUUCGAGACGUGAUCGACCGGUUGAAGUUGAUUAACAAUAUACGCAACCGGUUGAGGAAAUUCCUCAACCGGUUGAUGCCCAUCUUCACCCGGUUGCCACUGGUUAAAAAACCAUGAACCGAUUGAGCAAAUUCCUCAACCAAUUUGCUAUAUUUGUCAACCGAUUCCCACUGGUCAAAUCAUUCGACAACCGGUUGAGACAAUUUCUUCAUUGAUCAACCACUUUCCACAACUGAAAAUAUGAGGAAUGUUCUCAACCGGUACGAAUAAUGCGUAUGCCUAUGAAAAGUGGACAUAGAUAAAUCGUUGGACUGGUUCUUACCGGCUGAACGACAUUCGUCAACCAGUGUAGUAAUGUACUAACUAUAUAUUGUUAGCAUAGAUAAAUGAAUAUUUACAGAUCUGAUUAGGUUAAAGAUCGUACAAAAUCACACAUGUCGAACAUGAAUGAUAUCAAUAUAUUACAAUUUCAUUUUGACGACCAUAUUGAAAGAAGAGUAUUUGGAUAUUGAAAUAAAAUGGACUUAAUCAUUAAUAAUGUAUGGUCAUCGAAGCUCACAACUUCCCAAUAAACAUGACGAUAUGUGGAUAUGGAAAUGAUAAAUAUUUGAAAAAUAAAAAAUAUCAUAAUAAUAAUUUUUUCAUUGCUCGUGUCGACGUCUUUGUACAAACAAUAGCCACAAUGGUUUGUUUUUCUCUAUUUCCCUUGUGUAAAACUAAAUCACAUGCUAUUUCUCGACGUAUUUCCAUAGAAUUACAAAAGUCGGAGCUCGUCAUCGGAUCACCAUUUUUGAAUCUCUGCAUAUGUCUAAUGACAUGCACUCCACAGUCCCACCUAAGAAAGAGAAAAGAAAAGCAAAACAACUUAUUCAAUGCUUGUCUAAUUAUACCUCAGGAAAAGAAUAGUAAUGUCAGUUAUGUAUUCAUACUAACCCAUUCUCUUGGGUCGGAAUCGAAGGAGCCCAAUCAAUGGAGAAUUGGAAGACAUCUUUCCCUAUGUCAUACAGUUUGAAGAACGUUUGACAAAAUUCAGCCUAAUUUAUUAUGAAACUGUUAAUAAAUAUGGAAGAGGAAAAAAUAGAAUAGAAGAAAAAUAUAAACAUGGAAGCAUACCACUGUUUUGACACUCUGAAACCGGAACUUGUCUCGAUUCUUCGAUCGUAAUGAGUCCAAAAUUUGGGUAUAAGAGUUUUUGAAGUCAAUGACGCACAAAUACCAAUGACCAGGGCAUUCGUCAUGCAUUGGAAUAAAUAGCUGUAAAGUUAGAAAAACAAUAUAUAUGAGUUGGGGCAAAAAAAAAUCUACUAUAUUAUAGGUGAAAACAAUAUCUAUUCUAAAUUUCAUAUAUGCAAUUAAACAUUAGAAAUAAUUACUAACCUUCUCGCAAUCAUCCAAUUCACUAAUGUACUUACUCACGAUGGAUGUUUUUCUAUCGAAAACAGGAUGAGGACUCCCGCACAAAAUCAUUUGCUAAUAAGAAAACAUAAUACGAACAUUACUAUAUUGUACUUAAUAUGUNNNNNNNNNNNNNNNNNNNNNNNNNNNNNNNNNNNNNNNNNNNNNNNNNNNUAAUAUAAAUGAAGUAGGUACUUACAACAUCCAUCAAAUUUUGUCUAGGACGUAAGCAUGCAAAAUCUCCACGAACUCCAUGUUCAUGACCAAAGUCAACAAGAAGCUCACUAAAAUAAUAAUAUGUUCAAACAAACUUCAGUAAAUUGGAAGCAUAUGAAGGCUAAAAUUGUAACAACACAUCUAUGAAUGUUCUAGACGCGACAAACCUUUUUGACAACGCUUUAUUGAAAACAUAAUCAGCGAUAAGAGAUUGAAGUACAUUGAAUGAUUGAGUAUCCACCACGUCUUCACGAAUGGACAUGGGGAUUGACUAAUUCGAAAACAAGACAUAAUUAUUAACUACAUAUGUUAAGUAUCAAAAAAUAAGAACAAUGAUAUUAAACUAUUUGUAUUAUACCUCUGAUGCUUCACGUUUUACCAUCUUCCUUGAUUUCUGUACAAACGGGGAGACCUUGAAUUUACUUGGUUUCCUCUCCCUUGAUGAACGUGUUUUCAUGACAUGAUUAGGAUAACCACAUAGUGCUCGUAAUGGUUCCUAAUAUGGAAAAUGUCAGUAACAUACAUCUAUUUACUAUGUAAUGGUUAAGUAGUUGUAAAGAAAAUAAUUUUUUCUUUUAUAUGAUACAUACCUUUCCAUAAUCUCUUCUACUCCUUUUGAUUGGAAGUGGUAAAAUAUUUUCAUUUUCGUCUGGAAUGAUAUGCACUUCAAUUGAUGUAGCACAUGCAUCUUCAUUCUUUUCAUUCAAGUCCUCGGUGCAUAACUUCUCAUUUGACAAAGUGUGAAGAUAAUGUUCAUUCACAUUCAUAUUGUUCGUAUCUUCCAAACUUUUCUCGCAUGAGAGCAUGUCAUUCUUCGUUCCUUCCUCGUGCAUUCUCAAAGGUUUUCCGCUUGACCUAAGGAAGAGACCUUUCACUUGAGUAUAAUUCUCCUCAAAUUUAGCCAAAAUUUUAUCACAACUACUACUACUUGCACCAUAAGCCAUAUAAAGUAGAUGUGUCUUUAAUUGUUGAAAGGUUUUAUCCAUCUCCAUUAAGUUCCCACCAUCAACCUAGUGAUAUAUACAAACGUGAUUAAUAACAUCAUAAUACAAAGGUUCAAUGCUAAUAUAGAUAGUCACGAUGAAUAUUGUAAAACACUUACUCGUUUAAUAACAUCUUUGUUCAGAUUGGAUACAAAUUUCUCAUCGUCCUCAUUCUCACUCGCCAUUGUCGCUGCAUUUCCAUCAACGCAAUCCCUUAUCUCAUUUUCUAUCACCCAUAUUUUGAGCUACAAUAUAUUCAUCAAAAUAUAAUACAUAUCAGAUUUUAAAUCACUAAAAACUUAAAUCAAUAGUAAACGACUUUCAAAACUAUAACUUACAUUCUCAUUUGCAUAUCCACCAAGUUUUUUCAAUCUUCGUUUCCUGUCCAAUACUUCAUCAUCUCCCCAAGCAGUAAUCUGAGGAGAAGGUCGAGUAUAUAGCGGUAGGAAUUUCUCUUCAAAGGAUAUAUGCUCGUGGUAGAAUAACUACGAGUAUAUUUGACAUAGAUAUAUAGUUAGUUCAUAAAUUAUAUUAAAACAAAAUCGUAUUUCACUAUGAUGUAAAUUAAUUACCAUUAAAAACAAUAAGCAACCGCAAACCCCACUUUGUUGUUUCUUCUUAAACUCUUCAAUCCCGUGCACAAGAUAGGACAACACAAAUUCUGCCCAAUUCAUCUUCUUUAUUGAAUCGAUGUCUUCCACAAGAUGUAAGAAAGAGCGAUUCACAAAAAGCUUCAUUGUUGGGCACAAUAAUGCACCCAACACAAAUAAUACAAAACGAACUUUAAAAUCGUUCCCACCCUCUUUAUCCUCCUUAAUUUGAUUUUCUAACAUCACUAAUGGCAAUCGCCCUUUUUUAUCACAAUAUUUUUUUACAUAAAUCAUUCUUAUGACCAACAUCUUUGUUCAUGCCAAUCUUGAACCCUCUUGCCCUCAAUCCCAUAAUAAAUUCAACAUCAAUGGGGGAUAAUUUGAUACAAGUAUUAUACAACUGUAACAUAUAAGUGUUCGGAUUAAAACUAUUUAUCAACCAAAGACAUAACCCAUGAUCAAUUUUCCUACAUCGAAGUUGCAAGAGGCUACCAAAUCCUAUUUCUUCUAUGGCUGCCUUUUGCUUUGGUUCUAAAUUUUCAAUCACUCUAAUAACUCGCUCGGGGGAGCAUCGAGUCUGAAGAUAUAACUAAAAAGAUACACAAACAUCAAACAUGUUUACAUUAAUAUAAUUUCCAACAAAUACAUAAGUAAAGAAAUUAAAUAUUCAUUACAAAAAAAAAUUACCUUUGGAACCACACCCUUUUGAAGUGAAUAUUGUUUUGAACUUUCUUUGGACUUUGCCAUGAAAUUUUCUUUUUCUACUUUUGAAAGUGCAUUCCACUUGAUGCCCAAUUUUUUCCUCAACUACAUUAAUUGCUCACAUAAUUUAAAUUCUUAUUUUAAAAUGUAAUUAUAUUAGACGUAGCAAAAUUACUCCUUACAUCAUCAUUUAUCUUCACUCCUUUGUCCUUCUCUUUCAUCAUGGCUAAUUGAUCGUUACUACAAAACAAUUUCAAACAAAUUUAACAAUAACAACCACAAAAAAUAAAUUAAAAAACAUAUUAUUUUACAUAUUUCUAUUUUCCCUUACUAGUAAUGUAUCCAAGCGCCGAUAGGCCUCUUUGGAUUUCUAACAACUUCAAGACCAUCGCAUUCGCUCCUAAAAAUUAAAUCAAAGCAUUUAAGUCAAUUUUUAUAAUAUGAUUUCAAAUAUAAUAAAUCAAACAUACUUUCACCACCACAUUAUCUCAACAUAAGUUUUUUUUCACAUUUCAAUAAAUUUUAUUUUUAUAUCUUACUACAACCAACCAAAUGCCAAUUAAAAUACAAAUACCAUUACAACUACAACAUCCUCCCUAAAUAUCUUUACAUUUAAAAUGAUGACAAAAUUAACAUACAAAUUUUUUUCAAUGUUCAAUAAUCUAACCACACUCUUUUUCUAUAAUGUAAUCAAUUCAUAAAUCUAACAAAAAACAUGAAAUAUAAUGGACACAAUAUUGUAAAACACAUAAUUACUACUCACAUUUUUUUCCCUUUAUAUAGAACUCGCCAAAUAAUUAGGAUACAAGCGCCUUUUGAGUAACAAACAAUUGUGUCCUUCUCAGCUUUCUUUUCCUUAGUACUACACGUCCUCUUCUUCUUCUUCCAGCUACGUCUUCAAUUCGGGUUUUUAAACCAUUAAAUUUAGAACCUGAAAACACCCCCUUACACCUCUUAAACAAAAUAUAAAAUAUGAAGAAAACACAAGGGUUAUGAAGAUUCCACAGAAAUUCUCCAUGUGACAAAAUGUAGGGGUAGGGGGGAGAGAAAGCAAAAAUUCAGAAAAUUUACAUAAAAUCUUCGAGAAGAAGAAUCUAGCAGAAAAAAUAGCUGACCUGGACAUCGGGAGAAAUGAAGUCUAAGACUCGGAUCUUGGCACCGACCUCGCCCACAAUCCUGAGCUCGCGGUCCUUGAGGGAGACUUCUUUGAUGAGGUCAAGACGUCGACUUGGAGGAGGUUGGCCCGGUUCACGGCGAUGGUGGUCUCCACCCACCUGUGAAGACGUCUUUGAUCCCGGCUGACGGCGAAGGUGGUCUCCACCUAGCUGUGGAGACGUCUUUGAUAAGGUCUACGACGUCGGCCUCAAAGAGGUUGGCCCGGUUGAAGCCGACCAUGGUCUUCACCCAGCUGUGGACAAUCAGUGGAGAGAAAAACGGGAAAAGGGAGAGCAAACAAAGAUGACAGCGGGAAAUGGGUGAGCUAUGGAGGAAGUCGGCAAACAAAGAUGAGACCGGGAAAUGGGUGAGCUGAGGAAGUCGGCUAUGGAGGAUGCGCGAGACACCCAGCUAUGGAGGGGCGGGAAACGGGUGAGCUGAGGAAGUUGGCUUAUGGAGGAUGCGUGAGAUGGAGGGGAAGAGAGCAAGAGAGCAAAUUAGGGGGGAAAAGGAUGCCGAAUGGGGGAGAGAACGGGAGGGGAAGGUACCCGGGAGAAUUUUUUUUGAAAUUUUUUUUUUUUCUUUUUCAUUUUGGAUGGUUGAGAUUUAAUCAUUUUCAUCCAAUGGAUGAAAAAAAAUGGAGGCAUGGUACCGAAGGAGGUAUUGUAGACUUUUCCCUAUUUUAUUUAUGCUGUAAGUAUUCGUGCUUGACUUCUCCCGCGUCUCUUAUAAAAACUAAAGAAAACCACUCCAAGAGAGCACACUUCAAGAAUCUUCUUUUUUUUUUUCUUUCCUCUUUCUCUUUACAUAUAUACUGAGAAAGCCCAGCUCAUCCCUCAAUUCCCAGAUGGGUUUUAUGAAUGUUCUCAAGUUCUCAGCUGCAUGCUUUGAUAUUCUUGCCUGGUAUGUUGUCCACGCAUUUUCUCGCCAUUGGAAAUUUUUGGAAAAUGAAGUGGAAUUCUCUGUUUGAGGACAAACAUGGGAUUUUCUUUGAUUUCUCCCUGUUGGUUUUAUCUAUUUUCUUUGGAUUACCCACAUUCUUGUCAUUGAUUGUUAGUCAUUUGUUUGGAUUUCUACUUGCAGGCCUCUAUUUGCACUGGGUUAUCCUCUGUAAGUCUUGGUCUUACACCUCAAGAUAUGAUGAUUCAUUUACUCUUUUCUUGUUCUACGAAUAGUUCAGUUACAUUUAUUGUGUUGGGAAACUGAAAAGGGAAAGGAUUAUUCUUUAUUGUCGUAAUAAUCAUCAACAUCAUCUCGGUUCUUCACAGAUGUUCUUCAAUUCGGGCAAUUGAGACUAACUCAAUCUCAGACUUUCGGAAGUUGGUGGCGUAUUGGGUUCUAUUUUCCUUGAUUUCACUCUAUGAUCAUGCUUUUUCCAAGCUCCUUGAAUGGUAAUUUUGCUCAACUGCAUUCCACUAUACGUGACUCUGUUUGUUUCAUUUCUUUGCCCUUAAGGAAUUUGGAGUUGCUUUUUUCAGUUUUCUUUCCUAUGAAAAUAAUCGAGAUGUUUAAUGUUCCAGGCCUCCAUGUAUUUUAUAUUCCUUCAUUUCUCUGCUUUGACAAAUGCUCACAAUCUGAUCAGCAGAAAGGUUAUAACAUUUGAAAAAGAAGUGGUUUAUUUUUGUUUUUUUUAAGUACAAUAAUUUUCGUUUGGAUAAAUGGUCUGAAGGGUGUUUGUGUUUGGCUGAGUUCAUGGAAUUUUCAAGCUAAUUUGGGAUUUAUUCUCAAUUUCAAGAUCAUUGUGGAUACGUCAGAAAUUAAUGAAAUAUAAAUGGUGGAAUGUGAUUUUCUUGUUUAAGAAAAGUUUUUCUUUGAAAAUGCGGGUGCACCCGACCUACCUUAUUGUGCUAUUUGGAACACAAAACAUAAGUACAGGUAAUUUAUUAACUAAAUUGUACACUUUUUGAUAGUUCAAGGAGGUGGUUUUCUUCUUUUAGGGUGUCAGCUUUGGAAAUAAGAUGGAUCUACAAGUUUUUAUGUCUCAUCCUUAUAGGGAACUUGAAAGCAUGGAUGCACUUAUCUCCAUGGAAUUUGGCUGCCUUGAAAUCAAAUUAAGCUUUAUGCAUCAUUUGGAUGCUGAGAAACAAAUGGAAAUAGAAAAUUCGGAAUCUGACAAGUUUUUGUAGGGCAACUGGAUCUAAUCUCUCACUUGAAGCUUAAUUGGGGCAAAUGCUGAUCAUCUUUGAACCCAUUGAAAGUUCUAAUCUGUGCACAAUUCUAAUGUUUUUGUUUUCUUCAUUUCUUUUUCAACUCUUCAUAAUAGAUGUUGAAAGUUAAAACCGAGCUUACGUAGUCCAUCCAAGUGGAUGCAUAUAAAUUUAACAGAAACUGAAAUUCGAAGAAACUUAUUUUCCCUUUUGUAAAUGGUGUUUAAAAAGUCUGUGUAGUUUGGUUUUUUUCCGGGAAGAUCAGAUGAUUUUGUGAUCAUUUUUCUAUUUGCCUUGUCAUCAUGAGAUUUAAAUAUUUUAUUUUCUUAUAUAAUGCAUGUCAGGGUACCAUUCUGGCCUUACAUAAAGCUGAUGGUCAUCUGCUGGCUGGUGAUACCGCAGUUUGAUGGUUCAUAUUAUGUCUAUCAACACCUAGUUCAUCCAUGCUUGUCCAUGGAUCCACAAGUUGUCAUGAAUUGGCUCUUCAAUGAAUCAAAAAAGAAGUUUCAUAGUAGAGAAACCUUUCUUGUUUCAGCAGACCAAUAUACUAAGGAGAAUGGACCUGAAGCUUUGGAGAAACUACUUGCUAGGAAGGUAUGCCAUUAUAAGUAGGAUUAUCAACAAGUCAAACAGAGUUUUAUUUGAAAUGUUCAGGUAAAAAAUGACUAUAGCAGGUCAUCUAAAAUCAUUUGGUCUAAAUUCAUGUAUAUAUCUAUAUAUAAUUGUGUUCUCAUUUUUUCACAUAUGCAUGUGCAUUUAGAUUUACAUAAUUAUAUAUGCAUAAUCAGAUUCAACUGUGAUAGCCCGGAAUUUAAUUCAGUAUUCGACUCUUCUGGGAACAUGUUGGUUAUGGUUUCUCUCUCACUGUCCUCUUCUUUACACAUGACUUUUCAGUUGAGGAGCACAAAGCCUAAUGUUGAAGUGAAAGAGAUCAAAGCACCUGCAGCACCGGAGAAAAAAGGGGAACAGGUAAGUACUCUAAUGUGGCUAUUUAAUUUCUAUGGAGGCAGAUCCCCAGAGAAAUGCUGUUCAUGUAAAUUACUGAUGCAUUUGAUUCAAUGGCCACGGUUUUAAAAGAAAAACCACUUUAUGUAUGUUUCUGUGAAUGAGAGAACAAGUUUAUGGAUUAAAUGAUAUUUUUUAUGGUGAAAUAAUCAAUAAUUUUCAAAAUAAUAAUACAUUCCUGCAUGUUUUUGCAAUUCAUGAAUUCCUUUUAUGAUUGAUUCUUCUCACCUUUUUUCUCACCUCAGUGGAAGUGUGAAGAGCCUAAUGUUGCUGAAAAGGAGAUCCAAGUAGUCAAAGUAACAGAGAUAAAAAAUGGGGGGGAUGAAGCAAAGAGGGUAAGUUUUGCUUUUUAUUUAUAAAGUAGGCUGUCUUCACACAAGGAUUAUUAUUAUUAUUUUAAGACAUGAAUGUUGAAUGAUUUUGGAAUUGUCCUUGAAUCAUGUGAAGUAUGAAUGGCCUAAUGCUGCUAAGGAGGAGGUCAAAGUGACAGAAGUAACACAGAGAACAUUUGGUGGUACAGCACAGUGGGUAAGGUUUCUUCUCAUAUUUAAAUGGCUCCUUAUAUUUCACUAGGAUUAAUUUUGCCCCUACAAACUAUUUGGCUACAAGUUAAGAGAGAGUUCCAGAUGCUGAUAAAUCUGAGACAUAAGUAAUGAACGAAUUUAGACACAUGCACAACUCUUGUGUGAAACACAAUGAGAGUGGAAAAUAGCUAAGUUCAAAAAUGGCCAAAUACUAUUUUGUAGUUCCCCCUACUGCUUAAGUAAUUUUUGUCAUCCUUUGUGAAUGGAAAAUGCAGUCCCUUCAGUAAUUCCAUUAUAUUCAUGACUUGGUGAAGCAUAUAACCAUUAGUGUCUUACCCUAAGUCGACCUUUAAUGAUGAUCCAUUGAGAUGGGUCUGACUUUUGUCAACCCUCUUAUUCCCUUGAUCAUAGAGGUGAAACUUAGGGGGCUUAACCCACUUUUCAAUCUUAUUGGAUAUAUGGCACGUGGUAUCCUCUUCAUCUUGAAAGAGUGAAGUGGUCAUACUCUUUCCUCUGAGUCCAUUGUAGCCAUGCACUUCUGGCUUAUUGGGCUGAGUGAAAGGAUUCCCUUCUGCUUCAAAUCAUAGAGAGAUAUGCCAUGGUCAGCCUCUUUAAUUCAAGGGAUUGAAGUACUCAAAUCCAUUUCUCUGUAUCCAUCUUAGUUCUGCAUUCAUGUCUCAUGGUUAACCAAGAAGAUCCAGCCUCCAUCCAUGAGAUCAGCAUCUGCAGGUUUAUGACACCACCCUUCCUUGGCAUAGGAAAGGGAUCAUUAAGCCGUGUGUCGGAUGACAGAAGUCAUCAUUCAGGUUAUCUUGAGAACUAAGGAAGUUGGAAUUCUAAUUAUUGCAUAUGGUUCUUGAUGUUUAGCCAAUAUACUAUAGGAUUUUAAGCAUCAUGCUCACGUGCAUUGUGGUUGUUUAUCAGCUAUAUGGUUUAUCAAAAUGAGGGACUGAUUAUGGUCAUAAGUACCUUUUUCCCAUUAAUUUCUUGCAUGUGCUCUGCUGAGAUUAUGUUUUUGACAGUCCAAAUCAGGGCAAACCAACAAACAGCUUUAUGUUAACUUUUACAAACUGCCACAUUUUCAGGUUAAACAAACAGAGAUAAAUCUUGGUGAAACUAGAAGUAAUACAACCUGUUCUGUGGAGAUAAAAGAAAGGGCAGCAGUACUGGUGGCUGCAGAAAUUGAGGCAUGUAGAGACGAUAGAACCCCCAAGAUACCUCUUCAUGAGAAAGUCCAGAAAGAGUGGGCUUGUGCUGUAUGCCAGUUCACAACCCAAACUGAAGCGACCUUCAAUUCCCACCUUCAAGGGAAGAGACAUCAGGCCAUUUCUGAGCAGCUGAGAGCCAAAAACCAGGCAACCAAAACCAAUUGUUCCCCAUCUGCUUCAAUGGCCAAGAAAUCUGAUCAGUCCACCAAAGAGGAGCAACCAAAGUGUACUUCCAACAAUCUGAAUUCCAAAAACAAUGGAAUCUCAGCUGCUUCAACAGUGAAGAAACUUGAUGAGACCAAAGAUGAUGAGCAACAAAAGUCUGCAUCUAGCAAUGGACCAAACCAGAAGAAUAACAAAAAGCAAGAGGUACAGACCAAUGAGCAAGGCCAUCAGAAGAACUCAAGGCAAACUGGUGAUGGAAUGAAAGAGUUGAGAUCAUGGUGCAAUAUCUGUAAUGUAAGCUGCACAAGGGAGCUUGACCUGGCCUCUCAUCUCAAUGGAAGGAGGCACUUUGAUAGGAUAAAGCAGCUGUCUGAAUUAUGGUGCAGUAACUGCAAUGUAAGGUGCAACAGUGAGGUUGAUAUGGCCUCUCACCGAAAUGGGAGGAGGCACUUGGAGCAGCUGAAGGAACAGUUAGGAUUAUGGUGCAGUAUCUGUAGUGUGAGUUGCAACAGCAAGGUGGACAUGGAUUCUCACCUAAAUGGGAAGAGUCACUCGGAUCAGAUCAAGGACCAGUUAAGAUUAUGGUGUGGGGCAUGUAAUGUAACCUGCAAGAGUGAGCGCAACAUGGCCUUUCAUCUGAAUGGGAGGAAGCACUUAGAGAAGAAGGGGAAUACCUGAUUUGCUCUUCAGAUUAUUGAUACUUACAAAUGGUUUUAGUUAGAAGCAUACAGACCAGUGGGUGGUGCUCACAGAUGCCUCUAUUUUGUUGUAUGAAGUAAAAACAGUAUUUCCAUGUCCAGAAAUCAACCACUUGUUUAGUGCAUGCAUGGCUGGUUCAAAAUUAAACCUAAUUGUGAAUGACUAGGAGCAGGGAGGGAAAAAUUGAAGUGAAGAAUGUAAGAUUAUGGCUUCAUUUUUAUUUUUUCCUCUUCUGAAAAUUGUAAGAUUGUGUUAGGAGGAGCUGGAAUGGGUUCAAAUCAGGAAUUAAGACCCAGUUCCAAGACAUGGAAAGUGUCUUUAGAUUAUGUUAAGUUAUUUCCAUUUUUUUUUCUUUAUUUACGGUAAGAGGGAGCAUAAGGAACGAAAAUGAAUAUUUUUUUUUUUUCGAAUAAAAAUGAAUUUGAUAAUUUCAAUUAUUGUGUUUGGAUGUAUUUCGGAAUGUAAGAUUAAAAUAAUUAUUUGUUUUCAUUUUAGUGUUUGAUAAUAAUGAAAGUAUGAAUUAAAAAAUAAAUUGAUAAUAAUAUUCUUAUAUUUAAUUUAAAAUAUAUAUAUAUUUUUUAUUUUAGAAGAAUAUGGGUUAAAAGUUUUUUUUUUUUUUUAAAUAAUAAGCUUAAGAAAAAUAAUUUUUACUCAAUAAAUAAAAUUAAUCAUACAAAGUCAUAAAAACCAAACCAAAAUAUAAGGGUAAAAUAAUAAUUUUAAACUAUUCAUUUAAGUUAUCCAAAUGCAUUCCGACUCUUCAUUCUCUUAUACCAAAUACCGUCUUUAAGUAUUUGUCAAACUUAUUUUUUUGCAAAAUAUCAAUAUUUUACUAAUAUUUUUAUCGAUUAUUUGCCGAUAUUUAUCGCCACGUCACCAAUUCUUUGAGUUUGACUUUCAAAAUUUUGAAAUGAUCUUUGAAGUCCAGUUCAGCCCAAAUCACUACACCCAUGAACUCAUCUACAAAAGGGAACGGCUGGGCCACCACACUAAUAUGGCCCAUACAUGGGACCUCGUAAAAGAAUACCCAUCUUCAAAAAUAGGGACCAUAUUAAAUUAUUAAUGUAGCUAUAGGAAGCAUUUGAGGACAAGGGUUAUGAUUUUUCCCUUUUCUUUUUCUCCUUAAUUUUCACAUCACCCAACAACACCACUCUUAAUUCACACAAAUUUGAAGGUUUGGAAUGAGACUUCUUCAUAAUUAUAUUGUAAUUAUGUUAUAAUAACCAUGUCGUUUUUGGAUUUAUUUAUUCAGUCCAUCUAAAUCUUUUGUUUAUUCGCGUCAAAACAAUAUAUUUAUAAUCGAAUCCAUUUAUGACAUGUUCAUCUUUUAUAAAUUCAUUAAUUUUAUAUAUUUAAAAUUUAUAAAAGUUAAAUAUAUUUUUUCAAUUAUGAAUAUCAUAUUACUAAAAUAUUAAAUAACUAAUUAACUUGAAAUGUUUUAUAUUUCAUUAAUUAUUUUAUAAUUACAAAAUUAAGUGAAAUAAUAAAUAGGUUAAAAUAUAUAUUUUAUUUUAGUUAAAAAUUAUAAAUUGUUAUUGAGACACAUAACUACUAAAAUUCUACCCAUUUGACUAUCAAACAAACAACUUAAGUUUUUAGUCAUAAUUUAAGCUUAUGAUAAACUCUAUUUACAAAAAUUAGAAACCAAAAUCAAAUUCUUCCUAGACUCAAAAAUAUAAAGACAAUCUUUUAACUUUAGAAGAGAACUAUCAUCUAAGAUAAGGGUAACACAUCCCAUUGCCUGUACAACAAUUCUUGCUUCAAAAGCUAAUGUUAGGUACAUAUCCCUAUCAUUCAACCUUUCCCUUAGCUAAAACCCCUAUAAAGAAUUAUAAACAUGAUCAAUGGCUCCAAAAUUUAUCCACCAAGAGUUAGUGGAAUCUAAUACUAAACAUGAUUCAACUAAAAGAGAAUGAUGCAUACCUGACUGUCUCUUUAAGAACUAAGGGCAUUCCUUUUUCUAAUGGCCUUUUUUACCACAAAGGAAACAUUUGUCAUGACCCUUACUCUUCUUCUUCUUCUCUUGCCCUUGAACUUUCCCUUCUGUUUGGUGAAUUCUAUAAUGUUCUUAUUUUGGUUAGAAGAACCUAAAGAACACUUAACUGCCAUAUAAAUACCUCUCUGAUCCUUGAGAAUUCCCUCAAUCAUUUUGUGUUCUCUCAUCAGUUCGGUUAUAGUUUAAGAAAAAAAUUGUUUUUUUUAUGUGACUAAACUUGGAAUGAAUGUCCAAGUUGCAUACAUACUCGGGUUGAGAUCAAGUCAUAAUGUAGUUUAAGAAAAAUAUUUUUUAUUUUUUAUUUUUAUUUUUUAUCUGAUUGAACUUGGAAUGAAUUUCUAAGCUACUUACGUAUCCAGGAUGGGAUCAAGUUCUAACAUAGUCACAAUGCAGUUCAAGAAUUAUUUUUUUUUCUUUUUUUGUGCUCCAACUUUUGCCAAGACUAAAGAUCUUAAUUUUGCGAGCAUGUCCUAACUUUUGCCUAGGUCGCCUUUCCAAGUUUUCAAUUUAGCAAACUAGGUUUUUUUUUUUCUUUUUAGUUCUCUAACUUUUGCCAAGACUAAAGAUUUUAAUCUUGUAAGCAUGUCAUAACUUUUACAUAAGUCGAAUUUUUAGGUUUUCAUAGUGCUGGAUUUUUUUUUUGUUUUUUGUUUUUUUUUUGUGUCGUAGUCAAUUUAAGCUCAUAUGGGUUGGAAGCGAUGUGUAGUUUGUUGGGAUUGAGCCCUUAAAAGCAAGACAUGAUGUAAUAAAGUUAAACUUAACUAUCCCCUUACUAUCCUUUUGGUGUAUCAACAUUGAUUUAAACAUUCAACCCAUAUCUCUUACAUUGUAUAUGAUUUAGAAGCAUUAGGAGUUGUACAGAAGAUACAAGUUAUGUGUUCUUUGUAAGUAGGUGAGUUAUCCAUAGUCAUUUCAUGGAUUUGGGCAAUCUAGUAGAGACUAUAGUGCACCACCUCCUAAUUGAAGGGAUGACUUGUCUUGGCCGUUGGGAUGAGUUUCCUAUGGUGAGCGUACUAGUGUAUAUGAUGCACAUUGGAUAGGACCUAUGACAAAUCAUGAUGCAAGGCUAUCAAUUGUCAUGAUUCACCAAGUUACUAUACUACAUGGACUCUCAACCUUGAGAGGACAUUGAACCUGUGUCAAAAUCAAUAGAAAGUUUUGACCUAUGGGCGAGACCCUAAAGUAGUCAUAUAUCCUUAUGAAUUAGGUCAUUGUUGAUGGAGGCUAGUGAUAAUAGGCAUUCUCAAUAGAGGCACCAUGAUAUGUCAUGCGAUUGAGAUGGUGUGUCCCUUUGGGUGAUCCAAGGAACAUGUGAUCAUGAAAUUUGUGGCCACAGUAAUUCCUUUAGUGGAAUUUGACAUAUGCUCAAGGAUUUGAGAGAUAAUAUUGAUAGGUGAUAACACUAUCUUGUUAGAUUAUAGACACCAGUUUCAUGGGGAAUCUGCAUGUAGUGGAUAGUAGGUCAUGAAUGCGAGCUUUGUCUCGUUGUUAUUUACAUAAGGUACUGGAGUGUAGUUGAUUCUCUUUAGUAGAAUGUUAAAUCAACUUCAAAAUUGGAUUAUGAGGGAGCCAGUACUCCUAUGGGUCUCAAUGGUCCCCACUCUAAGCUUAUAUACCAUGAUGACAUAAUUUAUGAGGGUUGGAUUGGCUUUAGGUUCAUUCUUAUGCAUAAGGGCAUUUUGGUAAUUACUCAAGGUUGCAUAGGGGAUAAUAAAUAAGGUCUCUAGAUUGGACUAAUUGAUUAAUUAGAUGGCCUUAUGUGGUUAAUUAAUCAAUUAAGACAUGUUAGGGCUAGAUUAAGUGACUCAAGCCUUGAUGGGUUCAAGUCACUUAAGCCUAGUGGGUAACCGUAUAAAUACCCCCUUAUGGGUUAGGGUUUUCUAAUGACUUUUAGUUAGUCAUCUUCCACUUUUAGAAAAAUAGAGAGAGUCAAAGCUUCCUCCUUUCCACUGCCCACACUUUGGAAUGCCAAGAUCGUGGAUCGAGUCAUCGAACGAAAGAUCUUGGGUGUAUGAGACCUUCGAACUCUUUAGGCUUCUUCUUCGUUGGAUGGAUUUUGAUCUAGGAACAUCUAGAUCACAUGUAUGUGUUAUAAAAUUUGGUUAAUUCAACCUAAGGUAAUCAUCCUAGAGAAGGGGCGAAUAGGGUGAUGAUCUUUUUUUGAAAAUUUAAAUUAUGUGAAUGCAAGAGACAAUUAUAUGCAAAAUAUAUAGCAAAACCAUAUAAAAACAAUUGCAUAUAAAGUAAAAGGGUAAGGAAGAGAGAAAAUAAACACAAGAUUUUUAUAGCGAUUCAGUGCAACCCGACCUUCAUCCAUUCUCCUCUAGCUUCAAUCCCAAACUUGAGGUUCCACUAAUUUAAGGCUUCCAACCCAAGCCUUCAAGCAAUACAAUCGGAUUAUGGUUCCAAUCAAACCUCUUGAAAUUUUAGUUCUAAGCACAUUUUACAAUCUUCAAGAGAUACCUCACUCUUAAACAACUCCUUAAGUGAUACCCCACACUUGAGAAUCCCUAAGUGAUACCUCACACUUAGAUUUUUCAUCUCAAAGAUUUAUAAAUGAAGAUAGGAAAUUGUUAGCCCAAGGGCUCUCCUAAUCGGGUUUUGAUGAUAAAAAAUCAUGGUUAAAUGACUAAUUGGUUUAAUGGUUAAGAAUCUCAGGCAUAAACUUGAAAAUUCAUCAAAAGACCAAAUGGAUACAAGAUCGAGACGUUUGGAAGACUUGUGAUCAUAGGAAACUAAUGUAAGAUGAAUGCAUGAGUACACUUAGGAUUUUCAUACCGUUUCAUGCAAUUUAGAAAACUCGGUUUAUUCUUUAAAACUUCAAUUUCAUUAAAACUUGAGUUUUAACAAAUGUACCUUAGGCAAAAUGUUUUAAAAUUGGCAUAAUAAUUCACCUAAAAACCUUGCUUAAGUGUUAGAAAAGAAAGGAAUUGAAAAAUAUAGGUUUUCGGGGCCAAAAGGCUCAACCGAUCGAGGCUAUGACCAACCUGCUCAACCGGUUGGGGAAUCGGUCGACCGGUUGCCCCUGUCCGGUCGAGGUUCGAUAGAGGGAUGCACAAAAUUUUCUUUCUCUCCCAGUAGCCUUCUCUUCUCGGUCGAGGUCUGGUUGAGGACCGAUCAAGGUUCGAUCGAGGCAACGGUAACCUGUCAAGCAUUAAAUGUUCCAACGGCUAGUGAACCGGUCAACCCCUAGCUCGACCAGUUGAGGUUACCUUUUGCUGUUUUUGGCUCCCGAGCUUAGAAACCUAUAAAUUGAGAGCUCCACUUUAUUUAUUGACGAGAGAACACUUGCAAUCAAUUGUCUACCUACCUGUUCUUGAUCAAAAAACUCUCAUUUCUUUCUUUGUGCAUUAAAUCAUCACUUGCAUAUCCUUUAGUGCACUCUUAUGUGUCAUCCUAGCUUUGUCUUAUAUUUGAGCUAUCCUUAAGCUAGGUUGAGGGAUUCAUUCUUGUAAAAACUGAGUGUCAAAGCCUUCAAGAGGUUUAAAUCUUGAAGAGAUUGUGUAAGAGCCCAUUGGAGCCAGAAUCCAAGUGUAAGAAGAUUGGAAGCUUGGUUGAAGCUUCAAGUUAGUGGAACCCUCACUCGGUUAAAAGAUUGAGGAGAGUGGAUGUAGGGAAGGAAGUGUCGAACCACUAUAAAACCCAAGUUUGAAUUCUCUAACUCUAUCUCUUUAUUUUGCUUAUAUUGUGCUUGAACUCGUUGUGAUUGAAAAGAAUUUAAAAAACCCAAUUCAUCUCCCUCCCCCCUUUUAGGUGUUUUUCUUAAUUAAGCAUAGCAUUUAUUUUCUCAAUUGGUAUCAGAACUAGACCUCUUGUUUUUUUUUUUUUUUUAAAAAAAAAAAUUAAUCGUCUAAGAGGAUAUGACUAUUGCAUCAAGCUCAUCUCAAGCUAAAAUUUUUUCAAAACAUAGAGCUUCAUUCUUUACGGGAUCCGACUAUCCCUAUUGGAAAACUAGAAUGACUUGGUACUUACAAUCUACUGAUUUAGAUGUAUGAGACGUCAUUGAAGAUGGCCUAACUUUUCCCACUAAACUAGUUGAUGGAGUUUUGGUUCCAAAACCCAAGCAAGAAUGGAAUGAGCUUGAUAGAAAAAACUUUCAAUUAAAUGCUAAAGUCGUUUUUACUUUGCAAUGUGCUAUGGAUAGAAAUGAAUAUAAUAGAAUAUGUCAAUGCAAAUCGGCUAAAGAAAUUUAGAGGUUGCUUGAAAUAACUCAUGAAGGAACUAAUCAAGUGAAAGAGUCAAAAAUUAAUUUACUUGUUCAUAACUAUGAAUUGUUUUCAAUGAAAAAAAAUGAUACUAUUGUUGAGAUGAUUACUAGGUUCACCGACAUUGUCAAUGGUCUUGAAGCUUUGGGAAAAACCUACAAGGAAUCCGAGAAGGUGAUGAAGAUAUUGAGGUCUUUCCCAUCAAAGUGGCAUACCAAGGUCACUGCAAUUCAAGGAGCAAAAGACUUGACUAAGCUACCUAUGGAAGAGCUCAUAGGGUCAUUAAUGACAUAUGAGAUCAAUUUGACAAAGAAGCUACAAGAGGGUAAAGACAAAAAGAAGAAGAACAUAACCCUCAAAGCUAUAACCAAGGAAGAAGAAGAUGUUGAAGAAGAAAAACCAAGUGAUGAAGAUGAUGAUUUAGCCCUCAUCACAAGAAAGCUCAACAAAUACAUGAGAGGUGAAAGGUUUAGAGGAAGAAAGUUCACCUCUAGAAGAGAUCCUUCUAAAAAGGAAUCUUCAUCCCAUGGUGACAAGGAGAAAUGAGAAGAUAAAAGAGAUUUGAUAUGCUUCAAAUGCAAAAAACUGGGACACAUUAAAUAUGAUUGUCCACUCUACAAGAGUGAAGCCAAGAGAAGAAUGAAGAAGGCAAUGAUGGCCACUUGGAGCGAAAGUGAAGAAUCCUCCGAAGAAAAAAAGGAGAAGGAAGUAACAAACAUGUGCUUCAUGGCAAUAGAUGAUCUUGAUGAGGUAAACUCUAACUUUAGUGAUGAAGAUAUGUAUGAUGUUUUUGAAGAAUUAUAUGAGGAUUUUGAAAAACUUAGUUUGAAAAAUAAUUCUCUUAAAAAUAAAAUUCAAGAACUUGAAAAAGAACUUGAAGAAGUAAAAGAAAAAGUUUCAAUUGUUGAAAUAUCUAAAACUCAUCUUGAAAAAGAAAAUAAGAUUUUGAGAAGUGAAAAUGAGAUUUUGAAAAAGAAAAAUGAAUGGUUGACCUCCUCUCUUUCAAUUUUCUCUUGUGGAAAAAAAUAUUUUGAAAUGAUCUUAGUUAGCCAAAAAUGUAUUUUUGACAAACAAGGGUUAGGAUUCAAAUCUUCAAAAAAUCAAAAGUAUUUUAAAAACUACUUUGUAAAAGAAUCCGCAAGUGUAAGUCAUUCUACCACUUGCAACUUUUGUAGAAGAGGAGGAGACAUUAGUAGUACAUGUCUCUUAAGAAAUGGUUCUCAAAAGAAUUCAAAUGCUAAAGCUAAAAAGGUUUGGGUUGAGAAAUCCAAAGUCACUAACCCUCAAGGACCCAAAAAGAUAUUGGUACCUAAAUCAACUUAAAUUUUAUUUUGUAGGGUUCAAAGAAGGAUAAGUGGUUCUUGGAUAGUGGAUGCUCAAGACACAUGACCGGGGAUGAAUCCAAGUUUGUUUUCCUUACAAAGAGAAAGGGAGGAUAGGUUACCUUUGGAGACAAUGCAAAAGGAAGGAUCAUUGGUCAAGGCAACAUUGGUAAUGACACAUCCUCUCUUAUUGAAAGUGUUUUAUUAGUGGAUGGUUUAAAACAUAAUCUUUUGAACAUAAUUUAACUUUGUGACAAAGGUUUUAAAGUGAUUUUUGAAGCAUUUCAUUGCAUUAUCAAAGAUAUUCAAAAUGAUAAAACCAUCUUCAUGGGCCAUAGAUGUGAUAAUUUUUAUGCUAUAAAUAUUUCAAAUAUGAUGGCCAUGGUAAAUGUUUUUCAAGCAUGCAUGAUCAAAGUUGGUUGUAGCAUAGGAGGUUGGGACAUGCUAACAUGGACCUCAUUUCCCAACUCAACAAAGAAGCACUUGUUAGAGGCCUUCCCAAAAGAAAUUUUCAAAAAGACAAAGUUUGUGAAGCUUGUCAAAUGAGAAAGCAAAUCAAAAACUCUUUUAAAAACAAAAAUUUCAUUUCAAUAACUAGGCCUGCAUAUGGAUUUAUUUGGUCCCUCUAGGACACCAAACCUUGGAGGAAAAUCUUAUGCAUUUGUUAUUGUGGAUGACUUCUCUAGAUACACUUGGGUCUUAUUUUUAAGUCAAAAGAAUGAAGUCUUUUUUGAGUUUUCAAAGUUUUGCAACAAGGUUCAAAAUGAAAAAGGUUUUACAAUUUCUUGUAUAAGAAGUGAUCAUGGAGGAGAGUUUGAAAAUAUUGAUUUUGAAGACUAUUGCAAUGAGCAUGGUAUUAACCACAAAUUUUUGGCUCCUAGAACUCCUCAACAAAAUGGGGUAGUUGAAAGGAAAAAUAGAACUCUUCAAGAAAUGGCUAGAACCAUGCUAAAUGAAAACAAUUUACCAAAAUACUUUUGGGCCGAAGCAAUUAACACUUCUUGUUAUGUUUUAAAUAGAAUUUUAUUGAGGCCUAUUCUUAAAAAAACUCCCUAUAAGCUUCGGAAAAACAAGAAACCCAACAUUAGCUAUUUCAAAGUCUUUGGGUGCAAAUGCUUUAUAUUAAAAACCAAAGACAAUCUUGAAAAUUUUGAUGCAAAAUCGGAUGUUGGAAUUUUUCUUGGUUACUCAACUUUAAGUAAAGCCUUUAGAGUUUUUAACAAAAGAACCAUGGUUGUUGAGGAGUCCAUCCAUGUUAUUUUUUAUGAAUCUGACAAUUCUCUCCAAGAAAGAGAGAGCUUUGAUGAUGAUUUAGGCUUGGAGACCUCCAUGGGAAAAUUACAAAUUGAAGAUAGAAGGCAACAAGAAGAAGUUGUAGAGGAUCCCAAGAAAGAAGAAUCACCUUUGGCACUACCUCCUCCUCAACAAGUGCAAAGUGAAUCAAGCUAAAACCUUCCUAAAGAUUAGAAGUUUGUCAUCAACCACCCACAAAAUCAAAUUAUAGGUAAUCCAUCUAGUGGGGUAAGAACUAGAUCAUCUCUUAGAAACAUUUGCAAUAAUCUUGCUUUUAUCUCUCAAAUUGAACCUAAAAAUAUAAAUGAUACUCUAGUUGACGAAAAUUGGAUGAUUGCUAUGCAAGAAGAGUUAAAUCAAUUUGAAAGAAGUGAAGUAUGGGAAUUAGUGCCAAGACCUCAAAAUCAAAGUGUUAUUGGAACUAGAUGGGUCUUUAGAAAUAAAAUGGAUGAAAAUGGCAUAAUUAUAAGGAAUAAAGUAAGAUUGGUAGCCCAAGGUUUUAAUCAAGAAGAAGGGAUAGAUUAUGAAGAAACCUUUGCUCUCGUAGCUAGAUUGGAAGCCAUUAGGAUGCUACUUGCCUUUGCACGUUUUAAAGACUUUCUUUUAUAUCAAAUGGAUGUGAAAAGUGCUUUCUUAAAUGGCUUUAUAAAUGAAGAGGUAUAUGUUGAACAACCACCCGGUUUUCAAAGUUUUAACUUUCCUAAUCAUGUUUUUAAACUUAAAAAUGCACUUUAUGGUUUGAAACAAGCACUUAGAGCAUGGUAUGAAAGAUUGAGUAAAUUUCUUUUGAAAAAGGGUUUUAAAAUGGGAAAAAUUGACACAACUCUUUUCAUAAAAAUAAAGAAAAUGACAUGCUCUUAGUGCAAAUAUAUGUUGAUGAUAUCAUUUUUGGAGCUACUAAUGUCUCUCUUUGUGAAGAAUUUUCUAAAUGCAUGCAUAGUGAGUUCGAAAUGAGCAUGAUGAGAAAACUUAACUUCUUCCUUGGACUUCAAAUCAAGCAACUAAAGGAAGGAACCUUCAUCAAUCAAGCAAAGUAUAUAAGAGAUCUCCUCAAAAGGUUCAAUAUGGAGGAAGCGAAAACAAUGAAGACUCCAAUGAGUUCAUCCAUCAAGCUUGACAAGGAUGAGAAAGGUAAGUCCGUUAACUCAACUAUGUAUAAAGGCAUGAUAGGUUUUUUGCUAUAUUUGACCGCUAGUAGACCUGACAUCAUGUAUAGUGUAUGCUCGUGCGCUAGAUUUCAAUCUUGUCCUAAAGAAUCUCACUUAAGUGCCGUAAAAUGAAUUCUUAGAUAUUUAAAAGAGACAAUGGACAUAGGCCUAUGGUAUCCUAAGAGUGAUAACUUUGAAUUAAUUGGAUUCUUAGAUGCCAACUUUGCCAAUUGUAAAGUUGAAAGGAAAAGCACUAGUGGCACUUGUCAUUUCCUAGGACACUCACUUGUUUCAUGGCAUAGUAAUAAGCAAAAUUCGGUAGCCUUGUCAAAGGCGGAAGCAGAAUACAUAGCAGCUGGUUUAUGUUGUGCACAAAUCCUUUGGAUGAAACAAACACUUAGUGAUUUCAAUUUGAUUUUUGAGCAUGUUCCUAUUAAACGUGAUAACAUUAGUGCCAUAAAUAUUUCAAAAAAUUUGAUGCAACACUCUAGGACUAAGCAUAUAGAGAUUAGACACCAUUUUCUUAGAAAUCAUUUACAAAAAGGUGACAUUACACUUGAAUUUGUAAGCACAAAAGAUCAACUUGCCGAUAUUUUUACAAAACCUCUAAGUGAAGAGCAAUUUUUUUAUAUUAGAAGACAACUAGGGGUGAUUUCUUUAUAAUCAAAUGAUUACUUGAUGAAUUCUUGAUUGAAUAUACCUUAUGAUUGCGUGAAUUUCACAUCAUAUGCAUCAUAUAGAAAUAAUCUUAGGAAAAAGGUCAAAUUUUGACCAAAAAUCAAAAUUCCCUUGGCAUUGGAUAUCAAAAAUUGGGGAUUUCAACUGAAAAGGGCAAGGGAAGGAUCACGAGACAAGCAAAAGCCAAAAAAUUAGAGCGUUGACCAUUGACCAUUGACCAUUGACCAAGCGGUUCGUCGGGGCUGGGAAUUUAAAGAGACCCCCGCGCUUUAUUUUUUUCACUAUUCCCCUCAAUUCCUUGAAAACUCUUCACAUACCUGCUUCCAGAGACCACUUUGGGUUGAAUCUUGGACCAUUUGAAGGGCUUGGAGUUGUUUUUGGGACGUUUUUAAGACUAGGGUUUCAAUCUGAAACCUAAGGUUUCCAUUUUUAGGAGCAAUUCCUCUCAGACCACGUGCAUCAGCCAGGCUCAACUCCUUCUCCUUGCGCUUAGGGCUUCCGGUUGGAUUUCAUUCUCUCUUGUUUGGUUUCAUUCUCUCUUCAAACUUCUUUUUCUUCAUUUUCCGUUCUUUGGAUGGCGCCUAGGAGAGAGACAACUACCUCUAGGGCUCAGGGCAAGCGCCCUGCUGAGCCAUCUCAACCUGAGCAGAUGGAGGCUCACCGAAAGGCGAGGUAUGACACGACCCUCUGUGGACCCGCAUUUUUCACGUGCGUCCCCACUCGAUCGGCGAGACUCGCUUUUUAUUUGUGAAAAAUUGAUCUUUAAAAAAAAAAAAGUUGGAGUCGCCACCUAUUUUAUUUUUAUUUUGAAGGGAAAAUAAAACAAGAAAGAAAAACCCUAAAAAGUGACUCCAUGGUUUUGGAAAAAGCAUGUCUUUGAGAAACCCGAGUCUAAGUCCGGGGAUCAGGUUACUUAUUGGGAAGGUACCUCUAGGAGGUAGCACCCCUCUAAGCCCUAAAAAGGUCUCUACUGACUAAGUUAAGGGAAGCGUGGCAAUUAAAUGGUUGAUCAUGGAUACCUAAGUAGGCUAGGUGAUUCCAAAAACAUAACAUAUCAAACAAGAUCAAAUCACAAUUAAGGAGAGUUAAAAAUGCGUACCUGGACGGCUUCCCAAACGCUAUCAUAAAACAUAAGAGAUUAGUUUGGAGAUACAUCACACAACAUUUGUUUUACUCAAGCAAAUCAGGCAUAUAUCAAGACAUUCAAGAAUCACGUCAAAUAUGGAUAUGGUCAUCAAUGACAUACAAGUCCAUAGAAUUCUCGAAAAAAGGAUGAAAAUGAGCGUACCUGGAUAGCAAGCUAGAGCGCCUUUAUGGGAAACAAGGUUAACCCAAUAACAAAUUCAAGCAUAUCUCCAAGAAGAAUCAAAAUCAAUUGAAUACCAAAAAAUCAUCUUUAAAAUCAAUAUUAGUGAAGAUAUUAGGAAUGUAGGACCCCCCACCAAAGUCCAUAUUACUUUUGCACGAAUUGAUUCAAUGAAUUCCAUUAUUUGGAAUCGUGAAGCUUAUUCAUGCUUGUCAAAAAUCGAGAAAAUCAUAAAAUAGUUGAAGAUGAUGAAAAUGCAUGCCGGAAGGGAAAAUGGCAGCAAAUAGUAUGUUAAAAUUUGGAUUUUAUGCCUAGAGACUUCUCAGGAAUUUUAAAUAAAACUAGAAUUAUUUUUUACGGGAAAAGAUUUUGAAAUCCAGAUUUAAAAUGUGUAAGAUAACAAAAAGAAUAAGGAGAAACAUUAGGAGUAUGGUGUGUGGCAAGGUGACCACUAUAUGAGUGAGGUCUGGAGGUGCACUUGAGACUAAAUGGUUGAAACAGAUUGCAUAGGGAGCAUUCUGUACACCACUAGUUGUCUAGAAAGAAACUGAAUGUGUUCGUUUCCGAGCCCAUGUUCACCGGAGUUUAGGGUGCCACCUCAUUUAAAAAAAAGGGCUUCAAUACAACUCUAGUUUCUCAAGAUCACAAUCUGAAUUAUCAACAGAAGCUUCUGGUGAAGACAUAAUGCUCAAUUUCAGAUUAAAUUUCCUGUUCUAUAACUCGUUUUCUCUGAAUUUUCCUUUAAUGUCUGUGCUUUCUGAUCAUAUAAGUUGCCCGUCUGGUUCCUUGUUUGAGACUCUGCCGAACCUGGAAUAAUGCUUCUAGGUCUAGCUGAGGGGACCUACACCCCUUUUCAUGGAACCUGAGGCAUGCGUUAAUUCGAAACUCUAUUACUUUGCCUUCCAUUGCUUUAAGUCUUUUAGCCAUCUCAGCCACAAAUCUGGAGAUUCAUUUAUCUUUCUUUAAUAUUCAAGCCAAAUGUCAAUCCAGUCCGCUUAAACCCCGAUUUGAAUGAUUUUGAACCCUCUUUUUGCGCUCUUGAUGUUUUUCAUUUCAACUACAAUGACAAACCACCCUUCGAAAAAAGAAGAAAUCUGGACCAAAUCCUAAACUUUUAAUUCACAACUUCUUGAGCCUGACUCUGAGUCGACACAAUUGAAUCACCUUGGAUAAGAGUGCUUCUAAAAAUCCUCCAGAAUGUAGGCACAAGUGCAGCGUUCGUUAAUAAUGUCCAUGGCAUGUCACAAAGGAAAGCUUCUUUUUUUAUAAUCAUCAACGCAAAUUGACUCUUAAUGGACCCCAUUGCCAGCGUCACAUCAAAGACUGGACAGAUAGGGAGAUUCACAAUUUCGAUAGCUAUCUUUGCAUUAUUUGGGCAGGGCAACCAUGUUAUGGAUAUAUAGCUCGAAGGUGACUUGCGUUUUGUUCUGUAUCAUCAGUAGCAGCCUCAAACCCGCCAUAGGUUUGAGUGGUAUUAAAAGACUCAACAUGAUCAGCUGUAGGUGAUCGAGCAGCCAAUUCAUCAUUGAGCAAAUCAAUAAAAGCUUGGAUAUCGUUGCCGAGUGGCCUAAAAUCAUUAGAUAAAUCAUUAAAGUCAUUAAGUAUAUUACUGAUCUCCAUGAAAACCCUCCUCCUUGCUUCUGUAGAGCGAACACAAGCUGCCACUAAAAUUGGUUAGCCCGGAUUGCUAAUUUAUGCAUCCAAUCACCAUCGAUUUCUCUUGUCCUUUUUGGAACUUCUGGAAUAUGGAUGAAACCUGUGAAGAAUGUGGUGGAAUUGCGGUCUGCAAGCACGAAGUUUCCAGUUACUUGAAAUGCUUCGAAAUCAUGGUUCCAGUUUACAUCUACAGGCAUUGGCUCAAGUAAGUUCGUAUCAGCUUGGGUGGCUUUCGAUUCCAAAAGCUCUAACAACAACAUGAUUCUCAAAUAUCCGAACAGCAAUGUCCAAAAUUGAAUCAAGAAAAUUCUUUAGCAGCAGUAUGUGUUGUCCCUGCUGGAGCCAUCACAGGAGCAACUAAGCUAACUGCCAAAAAGGUUCUAGCCAGUGAGAUCCCAUUCUGACGUUUCGGUUUUGGUGACUGAUAGCUUUCUAAUUGUCCCUGCAAAUAAUGUAAACCAAUAGUUCCAUUGAAUGGAUUGUCAUCCAGAGCAAGGAUCCGAAUACUUGUAAGGCCAUCAACGAAAUCAGCGAGGGUGGUGUCGACUUCGUUGUAAUCGAAGAAGGCGAGUUGCAAUUCAGACAAUCUGCGAGAAGAAGGCAAUUUUCCAUUGAAGUGGUUCAUCUGAAACCCCAAAUUGCAGAGCAUUGAAAGCUGGUUGAAGUUUUGAGGGAGAGGUCCCUUUAAUCCCAAUCCCUUAACUUGAAUCUGUGUAACUCUGUCACCACUAUAAAAUACACGAGGCCACAAAUUUGACUCCACCCGUUGGCUCCUUUCCUUCAUUCAUUCGCUUUAACAAGUCACAUUUAAUUCCAAAGAAUAUUAUAUAAUCUUCAAGUAUGUUCAAAUCAGAGGGCUCUAGUCCGUUAACCUUUACACUCUCUAGCAGGUUCUGUUCUUGUCUCUUCCUAUUAUACAGAAGUUCAAGCAAGUUUCAUAAAGCCUGAAUUUCUACACGUAGCCACUACUGGGGUCAGGUUUAUCCAAGUGUGCUGCUCCAACAGAAUUAUCGAUGUGUCAGUUUCUCUAAAAAUCACCUUGUGAAUCAAUCCACAAUACCGAGGCAUCCCAUCAUCAGAACUUCCUAAGCUUUCAGCAAGUAGGCAAGCAUUUAUGCUUGAGUCAACUCUACCGAUGACAACAAACCCAUCCAAAUCAAACUUCAUAGCUGUUUCUUCUUUUCCAUUAAUAUCAACUGGUAUCCUUUCUAAAAGAAUGCUUUUCUUAUGACGACAUGACAGUAAAACCCUUUUGCGAGAAUGGCUCAGAGUUUUGAUCAUCAUCUGAUUCUAUUGUAUUACUGGAAUGAUUGCUUUGGUAAAUGGAAUUCAACAGAAUCCACACAUUCAUGACUCUAAAAUUCAGCUUACUAGCAACCAGAUGGAACACACAUUUUCUGGUUCAGGCAUUCGUUUCUGGUCAGAUUCAUGGUAUCUUAGCGGUGCAACAGACGAUGCAGCAACCUCUUCUAGAGUGCCUUUUAUGAGCCUCAAGAGCAAAGGCCAAUGAUAGAUGAAGCGGUCCCUCUGCACUACUUGGGCUUCUGAUUCAGAAGUUAUCAUGAAGCCAACGAACAAGCAGAGUGAACGCAUUUGCAGUCAACCUUAAAAUUUCUAAUAUUGUCAGCAGGCCUGAUGGUAAAAAAACGAAAGUAGGGGAGCCUUAUUCAAGAGGAUCAUUGCGAACACUGUCACGUGUUAUUGGUGAGCUUGUUGGCAUCUUGUUUUGGGCAGAAUAAUGAGAUCCUUCAGUUAAUUAGAGAUCCAUAUCAACUAAACACCAGAAUCAUGGAUUUCCCAUGCUUUCUACUGGACAACGAUUGUCAGUUCUUUCUCUUGUUCACUUCUACUGGCAGUGGCUUGACUCUCCAACAAAACCCCUGAUGCACCCUGUAGCUCCUCAUUUAAUUCUGGAUUCUUAUCAGCAUCGCUUUCUUCUCCCUUUUGAGACUCUUGGAGUAUGAAAAAGAAAACUUGUGAAGAAUAAGGUGGAAUAUCCCAGCAAUGCAGUAUGGUAGGACCCAUUUGAGGGGGAACCCUGCAUUCAUCACUCUCACCUCCAGUAGCAUUAGAUGCUUGCUGGACCCAAUUCAGCCAGUCUCUGCAUAUUGACUCUCAAUAUAAACGUUUAGAAAUAACAAUGACUUCAUUUCUACUGCCUUGUUUAGACCUUCCUUGAUCAAUGUCUACCUUCAUUUCUCACAAAUUCUGGUUCUACUAUUAAAGUUCUGCCCCCAGUCCGUUUUGCAAAGCAUAAGCUAAUUUUAUAUUUGUAUAAUUCCAUCUUAACACACAAGUCCGUCGUAGCCUUUCCUGAGAAGUUAGAGAAGUUGCUUUUCUGAUAUAAAAAAGCCUUUCAGAACCAUGCUGAAGCUCUGAAUGUUGAUAGUUUUCCAUUGCAACUGAUAUGAGCUCCUCAUCGGUAGUGUCACAAGAAUGAUUCCAUGAGAAGUUUCUUGUUGCAUCACCUUUUUUAUGUAUUCCAACCCCAACUGUUGAGUUUCUUGAAAUUGAAACUACGGAACUUAGUUAUUUUGAAUUGUUUGCAUCUGUAGUGAUAAAUCACUGGAAGAGACAAUCAUAAUUUAGGCACUUGAUUUCCGUUUCGGUCGAACUAACAGCUUCGUAACUGUUAAUCUCAAGGUCAGAUUCAUGCUCUUGUUUCUCAAUUUCCUCUUCCCAUGAGAAUUUUUUUCAUAACAAUCGAAUGAAUUCUUAUAACUCCCAAAAGUUUCUAGCUUUUGCUGAUCAUGGAGGUGCCUCACAAUACUUGUCAUUAUACUCACUUUGGAAUUUUUCUGGUCCAUGUUCACUUUGAAUGAAUGUAUCCCUAAAGGGGGUAUUCAAUGACUGCCCAUAAUGAGUUACAAGUUCCCCAAAAUAGAAUAUAAUGAUCGUCGGCCUUACAGUACUGCUGUUUUAAAAUUUUCUGCUCGCUGAACAGUCAUAGUUCAAACCAUCAAUAUCAAAAGGCUUUCCCAGGCACUCAUCUUCAGAACCAUAAGGCCAGCAAGUCUGCAACCGUUUGAGUUGGGUAAAAAAGAAAGUCCUAAGCAGUGGAAGUGCACAGCAUGAUGCUGUCAAGUUUCAAUAACUUAAAUAUUGGCCAACUUAAGCCAGACCAUAUUCCUCAAAAAUCCAUUCUUCCUCUGCUCAUGUAAACUUGUAAUGCUGUCAGAAAUCCUGUCUUCAGAAUAGCAACCCUGACAAUUGAGUAUGGAAAGCAGAAUACCCAUGUGCUUCCAACUAAGCUUUUUACAACCAUCCUCAUAAACUGAGGCGUGCCAUUCUAAAGAAAAGGCAGAGUCUUUUAGAAAUCACAAUACUUCUGAAGCAGCUUGAAUUAGCAUAUUGCAGUAAUUGGAAGUCGGAUUGACUGAAACAGGGGCUCGAACGCAUCCAUCUGUAAAUCUUACAGACCGACCACCCUCAGAGAAAAGGUCUCCAAAAAAAAGGCUUCAGCUUCAUGACAAACAGCAUUCUCUGUUUCAGAGUUGCAACUGCCCCUGUUAUACUACUCCUGUGCACUUCAGCAUUUAUUCUUUAGUUAUACCGUCCCUUUAGAUAGCAUCUAUCCCACACCGUGAAGCAAGCAAGGUUCACUAUAAUAGGAUCUAGUAGCAGCAACAAACGGGUGAUCCUGGAGAUAUUUUAAACUCAACUUCAUCAACAUCUUCAGCGUGCACUUCUGUUGGAACACAAGCGAUAGUAGCAGUGAAAAAAAAAGUGUUGUACUGAUCCCGUUAGGAUUGCAGCCCAGAAUACCACGAACAGAGAGCCCCAAAAAUUGAAGCAACUCUGCAUCCAACUAAAUCACAUCUAGAACCCGGUUUAACGACUUUCUUGUCUUGAAGAGGAAAUACCCAAUCUGACUCAACAAUCUGUUAUCAUGUGCCAAACCCCACAAACAGCCCACAUUCUACGCAGCCUUUAUAAAGUCUCUACCUUUCAUGAAAUACUCAUGCCAUCAUUGUCUCCAUAGCCCAGAACACCAAAGUAAAGAAGAGGAAGAAGCGUAGAUAUAGAAGCACAAAAAAAGAAACCGAACAAAGAAAGAAAAAAAAAAAAAAAAAACGAAAACAGGGGAAUGGAAGGCAAUGGGUGGGAAAUCUGAAUAAGUCACAUUUCAUUAUUUUCAAAAGGGCUUUGAAGAAUCUGAACACAUUAGGACAAGCUUAGUUAAAAUUAUAUCAGGAUUCCACAAACAUUAAAAUUCAAACAUAAGUCUCUGUUUCAGCUAUUUAUAAAAAGAAUCAAAGAAAUCAAGAACACAAUCAUAAUAGAGCAAGUUUGAAGGAAAUUUCGAUUCAACAACGCAAAUAAAUGGCCCUCAAUGUCCACUCCAAUCAGCAAGAACAACUUCCCGAAAACAGCCAGAGAAUCUCAAGUGAAUGUAAACGGGAAUACCAAAAUAAUAAAAAAAAUAACAGGAAGCGUACCUGGCAGAACCUUGGCUGCAAUCUCCCUCUCUUUCUGCUCUUCUCUCCGCACUUUUUCUUCAAGAUCUCUCUUUUUCUCCUUUUUCUCCUUUCUUUCUUUUCUUUCCUUCUUCCUUUUCUUUCCUUCUCCCUCUCAAGCCCAAAAAUCCUAUCUCUCCCUCCGGAUCUCUCCAAAAAAAAAUCCCCAUGCGUGCUGCCAGUCCCACUUUUCAAAAAGAAAACAUCUUGCUGAAAAGGAAAAUCCUACUUCCUUUUCUCCUUUCUUUCCUUUCUUUCUUUUCUUUCCUUCUUCCUUUUCUUUCCUUCUUGUAGCCGAUCCCCACAUGGAAGAAGUAUAUGUGCUGUCCCUCUAAAAAUCAAAAUCUCCUCUUUUCAAAAUUCCGUUGAUUUUCCUUCCAAAUAAAUGGCGGUUCGUUUCCUCAUGCCCAAAAAAUAAAUAAAAUAAAAAAAUAAAAAUAAAAAAAAUAAAAAAUAAAAAAUUAAAAAAAUUAAAAACAAAAAUAAAAAAAAAUCAAUCACAUGCAAGCCAUACGAGCUAUGUAACCACCAAAGGAAUAUGAGUUAUGCAACCAUGCAAAAACACGAGCCAUGCAACCAUGCAAACCAUGCAAAAACAUCUAAAGGUGACCUAGGGUGUGUCCUAGUGCGCUAGGGCAAACGAAAUGGACUAAGUGUGCUUAAAAGCUAUCCUAAAAAAAAGAAAAGCCUACGACUAAGUUAGGGCUGCCAAGGGUCACAAUAAGGGAUCAAAUAAUCCCUCAACCAAAAUCUCCGAGGUGACUCAGAAAAAGGUUAGUGGUAUGAGUAGCCAUGGGCCACCAAGGAACUAUGGGGCACUGAAAACGAAUUUAAAGACAUGUGCUAAAGGGACAAAAUUGAGGGUCUACACCCUCUUCAGUUCUGUUGAAGAUUAUCAAAGAUACAAGCAAAAAUUCUCCCAGAGGAAACUAGGGAGAAAUAUCAAUUUCUCCCAACUUUAGUACUUCGGGUUUGAGGGACUCUUUAGUCGGAUGGGAUAACUGCCAGUUGUGAUGAUUUUCGAGCCGAUCUUCCUGACUCUGGUGCGGGCAUUUUAUUCAUAGGUGACUUAUGGACUUGGAGGACCAGUCAUGUCCACUAUUAGAGGUGUUGAGAUCAGACUGAGCCCGGAGAGCAUUUUCCGCAUUCUCGACAUUCCUUUAGUUGGACUCCGGGUGUAUGAGUCCAAGGUUUGGCCCACUGUGCCGGGAUUCGAGCCUAGAGAGGCUAUUCAGAGGCUGUGCGGACUUGUAGAUGCUGAGGGGAUGGACAAACCAUCGGCACAUAGCCUGACCGUGACCAGCCAAGUCCUUCAUCACAUGAUUUGCUCCUAUUGCCACAAGGCGGGUAUCGAGAUGAGAUUUCCUACCUGGAUGCUUUCAUAGUGGACACCAUUCUAAUGGGGAGAUGGAUUCAUGUAGGGUAUUUGAUGAUGAUGCAUAUGAUAUCCUACUAUGAGAGCACGACCCGAGUACUCCCCUACAGACGCUUCCUCACUCGAGUAUUCAAGGAUGUCGGGGUCGAUUUGAGUAGAGAGACGAACUUCGAGGCCCUUACUAGCUAUGAUACUUACGAUGAGCAGUCCUUGGAGCGGAUAAAGUUUGAGAAGGCCCUCGAUGGCUCCUGGAUUAGGAGAGUUGAGCGAGCUCCAGCAUAGGCCCGGGGACAAGGAUAGAUGCAUCCCGGAGUAGAGGAGGAGGCUGAGAUCAAAGAGAUGGAGGAUGGGUUAGACCCAAGGAUUGAAAUAUCGAUAAAUAUGGAUAUAUCGGUACUUGGAUUUUACGGAUAUAUCGGAAAUAUCGGAGAAAUAUCAAUGGAUAUUUUUCAUCAAAUAUCGGUGAGACAAAAAUUAUCCAAAAUUGAUGGGAAUGCUUAGAAAAAUCCAAAGAAUGAUAAAAUAAGCAAGAAUAUACAUGUUAAAGUUAUUUUAUGAGUGUAAUUGACAUAAAUAUGGUAUAAAAAAAAUAUAUAUCGGUAAACAGUUUACGAUACUUGGAUUUUAAGAAAAGAAAAUAUGAAAUUUGGAAUUGUACACUUAAAAAGUUAGAAUUGAGUUAAGAAAUAUUUGAUUUUAUUAAAUGAAAAAAAUUUACACAUAAACAUAAUACAUAUGACAUUGCAAUGGUCCUUAAUACCAAAAUGAAGAUCGAUGUGGUUCCAUCAUAUUGUUAUUGUUAGAUGAAGGGAGCCCAUCUUGUUGAAGACAAUAUUCAUACCAGGACAUGGAGUUUCGAUAGUAUUGAUUGUAUGUACUAACAUGCCAUGCAUAAAUUUCUUGAGUCCUACCGACAACCUGUCCAUGGAUGGGAAAUCCAGGGUUUUCCCAUGUGCUCGUUUGAAAUCCUUGUUGUUGCAGCUGAUGUAGAAGGUAGUAUGGAAUUUGUGUGGAAGAAUGAUAGUUAUACCUUUCAUACUCUUCAUCAGUGGAACUUGAAAGAUUUUGAGGAGGCUGACCAUAACUCAUUGCAUAAGGGGCAUAAAUGUUGGCUUCAUUUGAUGAAUCACUUAAUUGAGUCUCUACACUCAUCGACUCAAAACUGGCCGACAAUGAGUCCUCGUUGUAUGGCAUCAUCCUUCGUUGUCUUCCUCUAUAUGGCUUUCCAAUGGCUCCAACACCUGGACCGGCUCUUCUAGAGCCGUGGUCUUCAUCUUGAGUACAAUGUGUGAAAUCAUCUUCACUAAUAAAUGCCAAUGGUUGUCCACUUUGUUGAUGUUGUCUAACAUCCCCUUCAUCAUUUUCAGGGUCGCUACCAUCAUUGGUCCCCUCUCCUCUUGAAUCAUCAUAACCGGAAGCGGAAGUACCAGUAGCACUAGGUCUACUACUAUGUUCAACACUCGUGGGGUCAAAAGAAGGUCGAGAAGUGACUACCAGCUGAGAAAUUCCUUGUCGAAAUGAAUCUUUCGUGUCUUGGUUGAAACUAUCAAUAUGAACUUCUUCGGAUAACACUUGAUCAACAUCAACACCUGCUUCUCGGACAUGUGCGGCAAUUCGUGGGUCGAGAUUUCCAUCUUCAUCAUCUAAAUGAAGAGGUCUAACCCAUUGAAACAAUUGGUUAUCUUCUUCUUCACCAGCCUCAGUUGCAAUAUCAAGUAAAUCAAGGUAAUCUUUCUCUGAAACUUUGUCAUGUUCUGCUUCCAUGUCACGUAUCUUUAGUUUCAUGUUAUAAUAAUAGAAAACUAAUUGUUAGAGCAUCGGGUAAGCAAGCUGAUUUCUUUGUUUUGUAUGAAUUAUGGAAAACAUGCUCCAAUUUCUCUCACAAGCUGAAGAUGAUGCAGUUUGCGAUAAAACCUUGAUGACCAACCUUCUUAAUGUAGGAGUGUGAUUUCCAUACAUGAACCACCAUUCAACUACAACCAAAUAAAUGAUAUCAAUACUUAUAUUGGAAAGCUAUAAUAAUAUGCUAAUGAAAUGAAUUAUUAAUUCACAAAUAAUACUCACCGAGAACCAUUUCUAACCUCGAAGCAAUCACUGUUUGAUCACCGAAUCCUCUUUUUGCAUCUCGGAAUAGUAUAAUCUACAUAUUAAAUAAUUGAAAGUGAAAAAGUUGAGUAAAUGAAAUUAAAUUAUUUAAUUUAUAUUAUAACUCUAAUAAUUUACCUCAUUUCCAAAUUGACUAAAACCUUCUGAUGUAGGAUCUAAUUUCGCAAAGACUUCAUGGACAACUUGAAGUAGAUCAGGAUCAGUACCAACUCCAUGUUUAUAUUGAAAUCUUGGAUUAAGAAAGAAUGCUACAAUAGUAAAAUAGAAAUGUAAAAUUAGAAUGUUAUGAAAGAAACAUAUUAAAUACCAAUAAAUUUCAAAGAUGAAUAAUACUUACCUGCUGCAUGAAAAGGAUGUUUAAAAGUUCUAUCCCAACGAUAUGCAAUUAUUUCUAACACCCAUUCUUUAGCAUUAAGUCGAAUAAGGUUCUCUUUCAUAACUCGAAUCAAUUCGUACACAAAUGGCAUUGUAGGAACAACUUCUGAAUCGACAAUGCGAAGAACUGUGUAUAGCGCCUCAUAUAUUGACACUAGCUUUCCCACUCUUUCCUAGUAUGCAUGGUCAAACAUAAGUGAUUCAACUUCUUUGCCGAUUAAUGUGCAACUUAAGUUGUGUUGUGCCCAUUCAUCACUGAUAAAUAUUUUCUUCAAGUUUAUUUUCUUUUUCAAAAGACUGUCGAAGGCUAUAUAAUUGGUUGCAAAUCUUGUUGCUCCAGGACGAACUAUGUCUCCACCACACACCUUCCGCAUCUGGGUAAGCAACCAACCAUGGUUAUAAAUGAAGUUGGUUAUCUUUCGAGCCUUUGUAAUCACAUCUGCAACACUCGUCCUUUUACCGAUAUCUUCGAACAUUAAGUCGAUGCAAUGUGCUGCACAUGGAGUCCAAUAAAGAUUGUAUUUCUUCAUUAACAACUUCCCCGCCUUCAUGAAUGCCGACCCAUUAUCUGUAACUAUUUGGACCACAUUUUGUUUGCCAAAUUCCUUGAUCACAUCCUUCAACAAACCAUAUAUGUAUUUGUUGUCCUUUAUAUUAUUUGAUACAUCAACAUAUUUGAGGAAGAUUGUGCUACCUUUUGAAUAUACCAUGAAAUUAAUUAUGCUUAAUUUCGUGGGCCCAGUCCAUCCGUCAGACAUAAUCGUGCAUCCAUAAGUCUUCCACUUUUCUCUUUGAAUAUUGACAUAAGCUUCUAUGUCUUUGUACUCCAUAUCCAAAUACUCGUGUUUGAUUUCAUAAGGAGACGGUGGUUUUAUACCCAUACCUACCAUCCAUAUAUAAUUAAAGCAUAUAAGAACAUUUGUGGCAAUCAUACUAUAUAAAUAGUAAUGAUAUUGUUAAAAUGAAUACAACUUUUAAAAUUAUAGUAAUUACCUGCUUGUUGUGCACCAACAAUCAUGUUCUUGAAGUGGUGAGAGUCUGUUUUACUGGGCGGAACACUCUCAUAUAUGAAGAACUUACUGAUCAAACGUCCCAUGGUUUCCUUGAUGGCACCACCUUUGAAAAUAUUUUUCAUAUUUUUAUGUCUUGCUACUGAAGAUUUGUACAAUGAGGGUGCAUCAGGCAGUGAUGGAUCUAAAUAUCGAACACUUUGCGAUUUUCGCAUUUGCCUUGUUGUUGGAUUGGUUGGAUGUGAAGACUUGCCUAUUAUAAUUAUUAAAAUUAAACAUAUAUGCUAAUUUAAUAUUAUUGAUAAAGUUGAUAAGAAAUAGUAAUAAUUCAAAUUAAUAUUAUACCUGUUUUUAUUUUGUCUUUUAUAAAAUGUUCUUCUUAUUGUCGAUUCCAUUCAGCAGCUUUUGAUGCUCGAACCGCCUCUCUAUAAGCAUGUCGCUCACCAAGGUGCAUGUCAGCCAGAUACAUAUACACAUCAUCAUCUCCAUCAUCAUCAUCACCACCAAGGUUCUCCUCAUCGUCCUCAUCAGUUACAUGCUUAUGUCUUAUUCCCAUUGUGUCUCGCAGUUCAGAUCGAAUCUCUUCUAUAUCUGUAGCUUUCUUCGCUUUUGCCUUAUUUUUUUGCUCUAGAAGUCGUCUUAUUUAUUGUUUCACUUCUGGAGGCAUGUUAGGACACUUUUUUGUAUUUGAAUUAGGGUCUGUAUGUGAUAGGUGAAAUUUAAAACGAGUAAUCCCACCACUCUUUAUUGCCAACCCACAGUAAUUGCAUACUGUUCCAUUUUUGUCCCCUUCCAUAGGUGUACAAUAUUUCCAACAAGGAUCUCGACCCAUGAUACCGCUUUCACUAGCCAUUUUCUAAAAUUGAAUUAUGAAACUAAUAUCAAAUUUAAAAUUAUUAAAGAUAAAACAUGUAAGAAAUUUAAUAUUCAUGAAAUUGAUAAGAACUAAUAAAAAUUGAAAUUAAAAUUAAAUUAUGCAUAUAUGAAAUAGAUAAACAUUACAAUAAAAUUUCAAUAUGAAUUAAAUUUAAAUUAAAUUAAAUUAAAUUUGUAUAUUCAUGAAAUUGAUAAGAAUCAUUACUAAUAAAAAUUAAAAUUAAAAUUGAAUUAUGCAUAUAUGAAAUAGAUAAACAUUACAAUAAAAUUUCAAUAUGAAUUAAAUUAAAUUAAAUUUGCAUAUUCAUGAAAUUGAUAAGAAUCAUUACUAAUAAAAAUUAAAAUUAAAAUUGAAUUAUGCAUAUAUUAAAUAGAUAAACAUUACAAUAAAAUUUCAAUAUGAAUUAAAUUUAAAUUAAAUUAAAUUAAAUUAAAUUUGCAUAUUCAUGAAAUUGAUAAGAAUCAUUACUAAUAAAAAUUAAAAUUAAAAUUGAAUUAUGCAUAUAUGAAAUAGAUAGACAUUACAAUAAAAUUUUGAUAAGAAUUAAAUUAAAUUAAAUUUGCAUAUUCAUGAAAUUGAUAAGAAUCAUUACUAAUAAAAAUUAAAAUUGAAUUAUGCAUAUAUGAAAUAGAUAAACAUUACAAUUACAUUUCCAUAUGAAUUAGAUAAUAUCAAUUAAACUAUUGUAGACCCCCCUCUUUUGGUCUCGUUUCUUUUUUUUUCCUCUACAUAUAUUAUGUUUGUUUUAGCCAUUGCGGAAGCACCUGGAAGAGGUGUUAGUGCCUUGAACAAGUGGGGGGACCUGGCUGUUUGGAGAGAUGAGCUGCGUGGAACACGUGGUGGAGCAGUUGGCCACAGCCAUGGUGGUGGUUGGGGCUCCAGUUUGCUGAGCAGAGGAACAGUAUAGUAGCUGAUGGCUUGCAGGAAAAGCUUUGACGGAGAAGGAGGACAGAGGAUUUUUAAGAGGAUCCUUUUGAGAGUGCUGGCAGGGGGGGAUCUUGGAGGGAAAGGGAAGAGGAGAAGUAAGUUUUGAGGAGAAAGGGGCUUUCAGGUAUGGCCAUUUAUGAUUUUUCCCGAAUAUUCUGAUCUUUCAUAUCUUUCCCAUCUUACUCUCCAUGAUUCCAGUUUUGCUUGAUGAGUUGUUUUGUUUUGAUGAUUGUUGGUUUAACAUUAAAAAAGAUGGCUGUUUUUUUUGUGUUUUACCCGUGCAAACCUCUUCCAACUUAACCCUUUGAUCGUUAAGCUCAUGGAUGAAAGAAUGAAACGAAGUUAGCACAUUCAUCAAAAGGUUCCCUGCUAUGUUUCUCCAUUUGUUCCCUUUGCUUGAGUAUGUGAGUAUUGAUGCUAAUAGUAGCAAGGUCCCAGCCAACUUUGUACAAUAGAGCUCAGAUGUUGCUCUAGGGGUUCAUGAUCAUCCUGUCAAGUGCCUAGGAGCAAAUGAUGCCCUUGAGCUUACGUUUCUAAGUCGUGUUCUCCCUACCAAGCUGGAUACCCUCCUUGCUAAGGACGGGGGGACGAAACCUAUUAACAGCCGAAACCCAAUGAUAAGAUCCAAGUCACUGUCGAGUAUCUCAAUGAGAAGGAUGCCAUGGUUCUUUCUUCGUGUACAUGUUGUUCCCAUCUCCACCCAAGUUGACUAAACUGUCAUCAGUGAUGAGAUUGCUGCCUACACUAAAUAAUACAUCAUCCAGCCGGUUAUUCAUGAGAAACAUUAAGAUGAGAAGUCCACCUUCCAACACCCAUUAAGCCACUCUUCACACCCAUCUUCUCUCAUUAACAUCCUCAUACCCCUCCCACCACUUCGUGAUUCAUAUCCCCAUCAUCCCCAGCCGUCCAUGCUAUCAAUAAUAUCCCCACUUAUCUUCAUACCCAUUUGUUCCACUAUUCGGAAUCCCCAUGCAUGCGAAACUGGACGCGGAAGCCAUGAUAGCAGAGAUUGUGAUGAAGAACGUGGAAUGCGGUACCCUGUUGCAUGAAGUGAGCAUGGUGGAGCGGCGGUUUGAGGAGUCGACGAGGAAGAUAGAGCUGUAGAAGAGCUUGCUGGAGGUGUUGGAGUUGGAGAGGACGAUAUUGCUGAAUGAUAACGUGCGGCUGGGGCGCGAGAUGAGUGCGCUGAUUGAGGAGAACAAGGGGCUGUGGAGGUCCCGGCUCCUGCUCCGACGCUGGAGGCGCUGAGUCCUCCAGCACCGCCGGCCGAAGCUCCUAGGCCACAGCUAGAUGCGAUCCCAUCCAUCUCCAUCUCUGCCAGGUGAGAGUAGGGCAGAGAAGAUCACGUGCGUGAGGUAGAGGGUAGAAAUGGAUAAAGGGCAUAGAAAAUGGGCUACAGCAAUGCAUGGAAUUGUUUGAUAAAAGAAAAGAGAAAUGGGUUUGUUGACACGUGAAAGAACUAUGCACUUUAAAAAAACUCUCCCUGUUUGUUUUACAUAUUCUCAAACAAUGCUUAAAAAUCCCUUAAAAUUUUAAAGUUAAAAAUUUAUUCACUUAUUCAUGUUUUUCUAUUCACUUCAAAUUCUCGAAACUCAAUCCUAAAAUUUAAUUUCUUCAAAGUUCAAUCUCCAAAAUAACUUUUUUUUUAGGUUCUAAUUUUAACUUUAAUUCUCCAAAGAUCCAAAAUUUUAAAUUUAACUUUCCAAAAAUCCCACAAUUCCGAAUUUAAUUUUAGGUCUUGUAAAUUAGUAUUAUUAUCCCAUAUUUAUUUAUUUAAAGUCCAAUCCUUCAAAAAUCUCAUUAUUAUUAUUAUUAUUACUUCAACUUUCGAAAUCAAUUUAUUCUUAUUAUUAUUAUCAUUAAUCCAAACUUUCAAAAUCCUAUUAUUAUUAUUAUUAACCCAACUCUCAAAAUAUUAUUAUUAUUAUUAUUAUUAUUAUCAUUAAUUCAGACUUUCGAAAUCUUAUUAUCAUUAUUAUUAAUUCAACUUGCAAAACCUUAUUAUUAUUAUUAUCAUUUCAAAACCUUAUCAUUAUUAUUAUUAUUAUGAUUAUCAUUAUUAUUAAUUUAACUUUUAAAAUAUUAUUAUUACUGUUUUUAUUAAUUCAACUUUUAAAAUCUUAUUAUUAUUAUUAUUACUAAUUCAAUUUUCAAAAUCUUAUUAUUGUUAUUAUUAUUAUUAUUGUUAAUUCAACUUUCAAAAUCUUAUUAUUAUUAUUAUUAUUAUCAUUAUUAACCUAUUAUCAUUAUUAUUAUUAUUAUUACUAUUACUAUUAUUAUUAUUAUUAUCAUUAUUAUUAAUUCAAUUCCCCAAAUCUUAUUAUUAUUAUUAUUAUUAAUUCAACUGUCAAAAUCUAUAUUCCCGUAGUUUAAUUUCUCAAAGUUCAUUUCUUAUCAUUACUGUUAUUAUUAAUUCAAUUUUCAAAAUCUAUAUUCUCGCAGUUUAAUUUCUCAAAGUUCAUUUCUUAUCAUUACUAUUAUUAUUAAUUCAGCUUUCAAAAUCCAUAUUCUCGCAGAUCAAUUUCCUAAAGUUCAUCUCUCAUUUUCUUUGACGAAUUUCAAUUUAAUUACCGAAGCUCUAAUCUUUCAAAGUUAAUUCCAAAUACUUCAAUUUUCAAAUAAAGUCUAAUAAUCCAGUUUUCACUCGAAUGGUUUUAAUCCCAUUUCAGUCCCUAAAUAAUCUUCUGGUAUUCUUGAUUUUAUAUAAGCAAUAGUGAAUUCUUCAUAAUUCUAAAACACGGAAUUUGUGAGACUGGUUCAUGAAUAAUAAAUUGGGUUUUGGUGGGAGGCACUAUGUUUGAUCCCUAUUGAUUGUCAACUGUUGUGCUUAAUGUAUUUUUGCUUGAUCUUCAUUUUGCACCCUGAUAUGCAUGAGUUAUAAUUUGUAUUCAUUAAUUAUGCACUAAUCCUGUUUCUUGAUAGCAAAUUGCUGUUUGCUACCCAGGUACGCAUUCACUCAUUCUGAUCAUUCACUAUACGUAUUCUGAUUCUCAUAUAUGCAUGAUUAAUGUGAGUAUCCAUUGACUUUCUUAUUCGAUUGCCACGUCAGUUUCACUUUAUUAGUAGAGACCCGACUUUAGGGACUUUGAGGGGUGCUAUGGUCUCUACCGUACCUUCCCGAUAAGUAACCUGACCCUCGAACCCGAUCCGGUUUUUCACAGACCACCUUUUCCAAAACAAGGAGUCGCACUUAGGGUUUUUCUUUCUUAUUUUGUUUACCCUUUAAAAAUAAAACAAAAAUAAGUGGCGACUCCAAGUCAUUUUCAAAUAAUCAAUAAAAAUCAAGUUUUCAAAUAAAAAUCGAGUUCGUCAUCGAGUGGGAAACGCAUUGAGCCGAAAUGCGGGGUCCACAACUAUAUAUAACAAAUAAAAUUGAAUUAUGCAUAAUAAAAUAAAUUUUAUGAAAGGUAAGACAUACCUUAAUUAGCUUUGACUUGGAGUUAAUCCCUUUCACCAACAAAUUUUCAAAAUAAAAAAAUUUUGCUAGAUCAUAUAAGAAUUUUGAUGUAUGAAAUGGAAUGGAAUGUGGGUAUUUAUAGGAAUUUUUUGGUCAAACUACUCGUUGGAUGGUCAAAUAGCCGUUAUAAAUUAAUUUUAACCGUUGGAUCAAAAUUUGGUUCAAAUUUCACCAUUAGAUCUUCAUAUAACCGUUGGAAACACUCCAUAGCCCUUGGAUAAAGUGAAGAUUGAUUUUCCACCAUUGGAUCACAAAUCUGACCAUUGGAGGCCUUUAUAAACACACGGGUGAAAUUUGGGCCAUCAGAUCCUCAAAAAUUCAAAUUUGGCCGUCAGAUCAAAAUCCUUGAAGCUGUAAAAAAAUCACCGAUUAAUCGCGAUUUUCUCGGCAAAAAAUCGUUGAUAUAUCGGUAAAAUAGCUGAUUUUUUGGGCUCCUCCUCCGGCUUCUUCGUGCGUGCCUCUACUCGCGAUUUUUCGUCGAUUUAUCGGUGAAGCACCGAUAUUUGGCCGAUAUAUCGGCGAUUUUGCCGAUUUUUCCGUCGAUUGAUAAUCGGUGACGAUUAUUAUUUCGGUGCCGCCCAAUAUCCGAUAUUUCUCCGAAAUAUCGAUGAUAUAUCCCGAUUUUUCAAUCCCUAGUUAGACCCUUAGAGGGAUUUUAAGUAGAGAGGGCCCGAGCUUGACAUUUCUCCUCCACCUCAUUCAGAUGGUAUUCAUGUUGAGACCACUUUCUUAGAGCCUAUGAUGAUUGAGUCGUCUUACACUACAGGAGCAUCAUCUCAGCCAUCAUUCACCGAGCUUCCUCACACAGAGAUACCAUCUCAGGCACCUCACGCUUCUGAUCAUGCCCCUUGGAUGGAUGUAUCAGCUCAUAUCAGCUUCCUUGGGACUCCUAUGGAGGAGCUUGCUUUAGUCAAUGAUACUCGAUUCUACUCUAUGGAGGAUCACAUAGAUCAGUAUCAGACUGGCUUCACUUCUCGUUUUGAGCACUUCCAGCAGAGAUUUGAGCGUAUAGAGGAGCGUAUGGAUCAACAGCAGGCUACAGUUGAGCAUCUCCAGCAAAGUAUUGAGCGCAUUGAGAGUCGCCAGGCGAGUUAGCAUGAGGAGAUGAUGGCUUACCUCCGCUCCGUGUUUCCAUCUUCACCCCCUCAGCCUUGAGUUUAUCUAGAGUUCCCCCUCAAUUUCUUUUUUAUGUUGCUAAAGGGGGAAAAAUAUCUAGGAUCUAGGAAACCCUCAUGCAUAUCAUUGUCAUAUCUAUCUUGAUUAGCAUAUAUGUUAUGUUUUCGUGUACAUGUGAGGUUACCAUAUAUAUGAUAUGCUAUUUUCAUGAUCCAUUGUUUCCUAUUCAAUUUUUCAUGCUUUACAUUGUUUCCUAUUGAAAAUUGAUUGAUUGAUCCAUGAUUGGUUUGAGGGGGAGAUUUUUUUUCUCUCCUAGAUAACCAAGGUUGGUCAUCAUAAAAAAUGGGGAGAUUGUUAGCCUAAGGGCUCUCCUAAUCGGGUUUUGAUGAUAACAAACCAUGGUUAAAUGACUAAUUGGUUUAAUGGUUAAGAAUCUCAGGCAUAAACUCGAAAAUUCAUCAAAUGACCAAAUGGAUACAAGAUCGAGACAUUUGGAAGACUUGUGAUCAUAGGAAACUAAUGUAAGAUAAAUACAUGAGUGCACUUAGGAUUUUCAUACCGUUUCAUGCAAUUUAGAAAACUCGGUUUAUUUUUUAAAACUUCGAUUUCAUUAAAACCCGAGUUUUAACAAAUGUACCUUAGGCAAAAUGUUUUAAAAUUGGCAUAAUAAUUCACCUAAAAACCUUGCCUAAGUGUUAGAAAAAAAAUGAAUUCAAAAAGAUAGGUUUUUAGGGCCAAAAGGCUCAACCGGUUGGAGAACCAGUCGACCAAUUGCCCUUCUCCGGUCGAGGAAUGCACAAAAUUUUCUCUCUCACAGUAGCCUUCUCUUCCCAGUCGAGGUUAUUCUCUUCCCGAUUGAGAACUGGUCAAGGUCCGGUCGAUGACCGGUCGAGGCAACGGUAUCCUGUCAAGCAUUAAAUGCUCCAACGGCUAGUGAACCGGUUGACCCCUAGUUCGAUCGGUCGAGGUUACCUUUUGCUGUUUUUGGCUCCCGAGCUUAGAAACCUAUAAAUUGAGAGCUCCACUUCAUUUAUUGACGAGAGAACACUUGCAACUAAUUGUCUACCUACCUGUUCUUGAUCAAAAAGCUUUCAUUUCUUUCUUAGUGCAUUAAAUCUUCAAUUGCAUAUCCUUUAGUGCACUCUUGUGUGUCAUCCUAGCUUUGUCUUAUAUUUGAGCUAUCCUUAAGCUAGGUUGAGGGAUUCAUUCUUGUAAAAAUCGAGUGUUAAAGCCUUCAAGAGGUUUAAAUCUUGAAGAGAUUGUGUAAGAGCCCAUUGGAGCCGGAAUCCAAGUGUAAGAAGAUUGGAAGCUUGGUUGAAACUUUAAGUUAGUGGAACCCUCACUCAGUUAGGAGAUUGAGGAGAGUGGACGUAGGCAAGAAAGUGCCGAACCACUAUAAAAUCCGAGUUUGAAUUCUUUAACUCUAUUUCUUUAUUUUGCUUAUAUUUUGCUUGAACUCGUUGUGAUCGAAAAGAAUUUAAAAAAUCCAAUUCACCCCCUUCCCCUCCUUUUGGGUGUUUUUCUUAAUUAAGCAUAGCCUAUAUUUUCUCAUAAAUAAUCUCACAAAAUCCUAGUACAAACUUUAGCCUCAAAUUAUACAAGAUAAACUAGGAUUGAAUGGUGCACUAAUGAUAUGUAAGUUUUAAAACAAUGUGUACUAAAAAACACUCCCCUAAGGCUCAAUUAUAUUCAAGAAAGGUUUAAGAAGGUUAAACUCUUGAAACUAUAAAGAUUGAAGCGUUUUUAUAGAAGAGAAAAGCCAAACUACCUAUUGGGGGUUCGUCUGGUCGAGCUCUGGUUCGACCAGUUCACUAGCCAUUAGCAUUUAAUGUAUGAUAGGUGACCAUUGGGCCUUGACUGGUACUCAAUUGGAUGAAGUUCAACCUUGAUUGAUCGAAUAAGCAUUAUGGAAAAGAGAUAAGGUUUUUGCACCCUUCAACUGAGUAAGUUGAAUAAGUCGACUAAUUCCUCAUUCAAUUCAACCAAUUAAGUCAUUUUUUGCUAAAAAAACCAUCAUUUUCAACUUAAAACCUUUUAAACAAGUUUGGAAAGCAUUUGACAUAAGGUUUUAGUUGAAAACAUGAAAUCAUCCAAUUUUUAAAAGAUUUAAAACAAAAUAACUCUUGAAUGAUUUUAGUGUAUAAGUAAAGAAUGUAAUGCAUGAAAAACCCCAUGCACUAACAACCUUACAAAGAGAUCCUAUGAGGCUUAGGUCUUGAAAAAACACUUAUCUUUAAGGUUUUCUUCUUCUUAUUGAUUUUAUCUUUGUGAUUGCCACUUUGGAAAUCAUCUUGCCUAGUCACACUUAAAAUAUAAUCAUUAGUUCUAAACCUUGUUUUGUUAUCAUCAAAACUAAGAUUAACCAAACCUUGGUUUCACAGUAUGAAUAUUGUAUCUUUAGAUCUAUAGUUAAUAGUGGUUUUUAUAGUCAUAUGUUUCUAUUGUGAUAAAUUUAGAGAUGCCUAGGGAUAGAUGAAUGCACCCUAUGAGAUCUAGUGCAUAUGAAUGGAGUAAUCUGGGGUUCCUAACAUAGUUUAGGCUUGUGCUUCAUAGAGCGAUAACAAUUCUUCAAGCAUAGUUAUGCUUUAGAAAUUUGUUAUUGAUUGGUCCAAUUUUUAGACCAUCUUUAGCAACAAUCUUGUGGGCACCAUUGAUAUAAACUUGUUAUACAAAAUAUGAUCUAUCACAUUUUUGGCAAGAACUUUCCACUAGUUUUGUGCAUGGUAAUGAUCAUGCAUGCAAACUUAACUAAGUUAUACACUAGAUGCCAAACUACUACAAUUCUUAUACACCUUCCCAUUUUGUGCAACCGAACAAUUCAACAUCAUAACACCAAAGUUCUUGCUUAGAUUUCCUACAGUGCUAAAAUUUUGAAAUGAUUAAUUUUUUUAUUUUCCUUUCAAUACCAAGACCCACAUACAUCAUGUCAUGCCCUAAGACCCACUCUAAGGGCAUGACAAUCAUUUCACAUCUCAAGGUAGAAAGCUCAAAGUGUAAAUUGACCUUAACAUUCAUUUUGUAACUGGAAAAUUAUCAAUUACCAAAUUCAUAUUCAAAGUAGUAGAAUAAAAUUCUAUAAGUUUCAAAUCUCAACUUUAAAGCUAACACAUCAACUAAAGUGUUAUUGUCCAAACAACUUCAAACUUAACAAUUCAAGCAAUCAUUAAAUUCUAGCUUUCAAAAAAAUAAAGUUUUAACCAAAAGUCUUAAUAUUGCCAAAAUAUCAUCCUAACGAUCACUCCUAGCCCGAAUUAAGGUGCCUAAAAAAUUGUCAAUGAAAGGAAAUGAGAUCAACGCUCAAUAAGGAAUAUUAACAAAGUUUCAUGGAUCAAACAUUUUUAAUUAUAAUUCCAAAUAGGAGAUAUAAUAUAUAAUCAUUUUCAUAAAAACUUUUGAGUUUAAAUAUAAUAAUACAUUCAAAAAUUUUUAGCUAAACAUUUUCAUAUCUAUGUCAAAACAAUUUCAUAUCAAAUUCAAAUCAAAUAUAUACAAAAUAUUUUUAUUUUGGUUAUCAAAUAUCACAUGGUGUCAAGUUAGGUGGGACUUUACAAAUUGGUGUCUAGCCUCAAAUUUUUUCAUUUCAAGGUGGAUGAAACCAAACACUACUAGUAUUAUUAACAUCUAACCAAAUGCCUAAAGGGUGGAAUCUAAAGCAAUUACAUGCCCCGCCAAGAAAUAUAAGGUCAACAAUUAUAACUAGUUAACUAAGGACAAAAAUAAACUAGAGUCAAACACCUUAUUUCAUUAAUUCAAACUUACAAAACAAAAACAUCAUAUCUCCAUAAUUUUCAUUUUUUAUAAACAAAAGAAAUGUUCUAACAUAUUUUUUUCAUGAAAAAUAUAUAUUUGAUCCAUGCAUAAAAAUAAAAAUAAUUUUUUUUAUUAUUCAAAAUAACAUAUAAAAGUAAAUAUGUUCUUUUGGCCAAAACAUGUAUUAAUUUUUCUUACCUCAAAGAAACACUCAAAGACCUUGAAGCAAUUAAUCCUGAAGAAUUUCACCCCAAAAAACAUAUUUCAUACCUUACAAAAAAAAAACAAAAAAACAAAAUUACUAUUGAUUAUUUAUCUAAUAAUAGUUUCGUAUCUCAUAUCACCUAUAUUAUUUUUAACUUCCUAAUAAAUAACAAUUUAAUAAGUGAUUUUCCAAAUUUUAAAAAGUUAUGUUCUUUCCAAAAUUUAUUCAUAAUAUUCUAUUAUUAUUAAUUAAAUCUCUCAAAAAUAUGUUUUUUCUAUUUAUUGCAUUAAACUAUUAUUAUUAUUAUUCAAUUUCAAUUUGAUUAAUUGGUUUUUUCUUUUAAAUUUUUAAUUUAUAUAAGAUUCUUGUUUUGAAAAUCUUCCAUAUUUACUUAUUUGUUUAAAGUAAAUUUCUCCAAAACUUGUUCCUUUUUGUUAAACAAAUAUCUUUUCCUAUUAUUAUUAUUAUUAUUAUCCCUAAUAUUAUAUUCAAAUAACUAAACAAUAAUAAUUUAAAUUAGUGAGUUUCCAAAUUUUUAUAAAACUCAUAUUCAUUCUAAAUCUUAUCAUAUAUAUCUAUUUCUUUUAUAUAAUUAAAUUAAAUUAAAAAUUUUACUUAAAUAUAUAUAUAUAUAUAUAUAUAUAUAUAUAUAUAUAUAUAUAUUAUAUUAUAUUAUUACUUUCAACAUCCUUCUACCACCGAAACAAUUACCUCAAGUAAAAGUCAUCUAUCCUUAUUCUACUAACUACCCUCUCUCUUGCAAUAGCACACUUAGGGAUGGCAAUGGGGCGGGUUCAGGAUAGGUCACCCCCAUCCCAACUCCACCUUGUUUAUUCAAAAUAAUUAUCAUCCUCGUCCCAUUUAAAAAAUUAAAUGAGACGGGGCGAGUAUGAUAAAUUCUCAUACUCGCCUCGUCCUGCCCCGUUUAACUUUUUUUUGAAUUUAUUUAUUUAUUUAUUUUUAAAAUUACUUUUAAAAUUUUUAAUUACAUUAAAAUAAAUAUAUUUUAUAAAUAAUUAAAUAAUUAUAUUUUUUAUUACUUAUUUUAUUAAAAAUAUUUUAUUAUUAUCUAUAUAUUAAAAAUAGUAAAAUAAAAAUUAAAUUAAAUUAAUUUUAAAAAUUAAUUUUAUAUAUAAUUGGGGCGGGGUGGGACGGGGCAAUACCCAAACCUGCUUCGGGUUUUAAAAAAAAUUCUCAAACUUGUCCCAAACCCGUUUAUUAAAAUUGAACUCCGUCCCAUUAGGGACGAGGCGAGUACCUCGAAAAAACCUGCCUUAUUGUCAUUCCUAAGCACACUUUCAUUUUUUUUUUUUCAUUUUUAUUGCUUUUAUCUUUUUCCUCCCUAAGAUCAAUCAUAUUGUAAGCACCCCUUUUUUUUUUCUACCACAUCUUGUUGCAAUCAACCUUGUAAGUUUUUUUAAUUUAAAUUUUUUUUCCACUAUGGAGGCACGUACAACCAUAAAACCCCAUCUUUUUUUAUUUUAUUUUUACAACUCUCAAAUCUCUCAACCUCCAUACUAUUAGGUUUUAUUCAUUCAUUUAUUUAUUUAUUAUUCCAUAUCCAAAACUAUAAUUAAUUUUCUUUUAUAUUUUUUUAUUUUAGAUCUAUUAAUUUGAAUAUUCAAAAUUUCUAAUCUUUACUAAUAACUCUAAAGCAUUCAAAACUAAUUAAUAAAUAUAAAAUAUUAAUCUAAGGAUUAAAAUCUUAUAUAGAAAAUUGAUCUUCAAAUCUUAAACCCCCAAAUUUUCAACCUUACAUUGCGUUGUCUAAUAUCUCAAAUCUCCAUGUAAAAGGGCUUUUGAAUAGAGUAAAUAAGAAAAAUUUAAUUUAUACCUAAAAUUUUUAAAAUAGAGAAAAAUCUUUCUACCCUUAUUAAUUUAAUUUAAUUAAUUUUUUAAAAUUAUGUUUUUACCCUUUAAUUGGGUUUGGGCAUCACACAUCAUACUAAAAAGUUAUCAAUAACCGUCCUUUGAGGCAUAUUAGCAUAAAUUUGCAACUUUAGUUGUGUUCUAGGUGCAAUUCUAUUAUGUUUAAUUGAAAAAUAACACACAUAGCACAACCAAGCCUAAUUGAAAGCAUUUGGGCAAAUAAAUGGUAAAUUUCUAAAAGUUCACCAAAACAAAAAAAAAGAUCAUAGAGGGCAUAUUUUUCAAGUCAACCUAGUUUUGGGAUAGCCACUUUCAAGCCUAAUGAUGUUAAGAUGUCUUAUUGCAAUCCAAUCUAAGAAUGCAAUAAUAGCUCUUUAAUUCAUAAUUUUAAAUUCACAAAAGAUAUCACCAAAAAUUACCAUAGGUUACCAAAGCAUCAACAACAUACAGAAAGCUUAGAAAUGCUUGGAACCUAUCGGAUUUUCACUUUUUAGGAAUAAAAAAAAAAAUCAACUUUAAGGAUUUUAGGGUAAUACUUGCUUGAACCAUCUUUCAAUCCUUUUGUUGGUGGUGGGCCUUUUACCUAUAGGAACAGGAAUAAGAGGUGAAAAUGAGGGAGCCUUAUGAAAACAGAUCCCUAGGGCUUAAGAAGGGGUUUUCAAUUUUAGGGUUUGCCUUUUCACCAAGGAUGUGAAUGGGAAGAUCAAGUGAAGUUAAGAGAUUGGUGAAGCAAAGUGAGGGCAUGGUAGGGUUUGAAUAAGGGAAAUUCUACACUAUUAAUGAAGAUGAUAAUCUCGAGAAAGCAAAGCUAAGGUAAACUAGGGUUUUAAUAACAUUUUUCAAUCUACACUAGUGAAGACGAUAUCUUCGAAAACCAAAGCUAGGGUAAGCUAGGGCUUUAAUAAUGAAUUUCAAUCUACAAUGGUGAAGAUGAGAAUCUUCGAAAACCAAAUCUAUAAUGGUGAAGAUGAUUGAAAACUAAAUCUAUACUGGUGAAGACGAUUGUAAAGCAAAUCUACACUAGUGAAGAUGAUAAUCUUCGAAAACCAAAUCUAUAAUGGUGAAGAUGAUUGAAAACUAAAUCUAUACUGAUGAAGAUGAUUAGAAAGCAAAUAUUCACUGGUGAAGACAACGAAACCAAAGGUAGGUCUUCUAAACUAAACCCUUUUAGGGAUUUUCCAUUUUUUUUCCUUUGUUUUCAAGAAAGGUAAACUCUCUUGAAAACCAAAAAACUAAUGCAUUCUUAAAUCCAGAUCACCAUUUUCAACAUAGUAUUUGGAUUUCCACCUUGCAUUUUUUAUUUUUUAUUUUUUUUAAUAGUCAAGGGCAUUUUAGGGAUUAUUGAAGGAUAAUAUCAAUAAGCUCAAUUUCCUACAUUAGUUAGGUCUUAGGCUCAAAUGUGAAACUUAUAGGGAUGUUAGGCCAAUUAUCAAACUUACUUGCCUAAAGCAUAAUUUCCCCUUUUCAAAAUAGUUGUUAAACAUCAAUCCCAAACAUGUGUAACCCUUUGAAGUACUUGUAUGUCAACCUUGUUUCCUUUCCCUCAUGCAACAUGACUUAUUGAUGGUUGCAUUGAAUCAUUAUCAUUCACCAAAUCCAUGCAACUAUGGACUACCUUUCAAAUCCCUUGAACAUAAAUGGUAAUUCCAAAACAACUCAAGUAUAAUCUUUCCGGCCUUUCAAAUGAUUUAAUUAAUUGAUGUUUGAAUAUACUUCAUAUAUUUUUUUAGAGCAAUUUUUAGGCAUAUGACAUAAAUCUCUAAUUUUUUUUAUUUUUAUAAAAGGUUUUAUAUUUUAUAUUACAAUUUCCUCUCUUUUUUUUCAUCUAAAAAACAAAAUAUAAAACCUUAAUAAACGAGUUUUGUCACAAUCCCUUAAAAGGUAAUCUAUUUUUAAAAAUUACUUUAACCAUUUUAGAUAUAUUGAUUCAGUCUAAUUUAAUUUUAAUAUUUUUUAUAAAAUAUUUUUAUUUUAUAUGAUUAUAAAUUAAUUACCAUUGAUUGCAUAUUAUAGAAUAUAUAUUCUAAAAUAUAUCCUAUUGACAAUAAUAUCAUAAGAUAUUAUAUCCAUAUCCUAAUAUAUUAUAUACUUUUAUUUUGUGCAAUUAGCAACAGGGUGGAAGACGGCUUAGGCGGGAGACGGCUUAACGGAAAUGUCGUCUGCCAUGCGUGUCCCUUCCCUUAGUGAGUCUGAACAGCUCCAACAUUUCUGACACGCCCUUCUUCGGUUAGCUCUUAAGUAUUUUCGUUAACCCCAUCACAUUUCGCCAUGUGGAUCUAAGCCUCAUGGUCCUUUCGUUCGUACUAUGAAUAUAUUCCUUAUCUAGAGUCUGGAUCCUUUAUCUCUGCACGUGUCUAUGGCUCUUCACCCCAGCAAGUAUGGCAUUACAAGGGCAAUAUCGUCAUUAAAGACCCAAAAGGCAAACGAAUGGCAUUAUCUUCCUUUUGGGUCUAUUCUAUUUAUAUUUAUAUUGCAAGUUAUUCGUGAUGACUUCUCUCAUAACAGCUAAAAACCACUCCAACAGAGCACACUUCACUUCUUCGUUUUUGUCUUUCCUCUUUUUUUUCCAGAGAAGCUGAGAAAGCCCAGCUUGCCCUCAACUCCCCGAUGGGUUUGAUGAAUGUUCUCAAAUUCUCAGCUGCAUGCUUUGAUCUUCUUGGCUGGUAUGUUGUCCACGGAUUUUCUCGUCAUUGGAAAAUGAAGUGGAAUUCUAUGUUUGAGGACAAAACUGGGAUUUGCUUUGAUUUCUCCAUGUUGGUUUUAUCCCUUUCCUUUGAAUUGUCCACAUUCUUGUCAUUGGUUGUUAGUUAUUUGUUUGGAUUUCUACUUGCAGGCCUCUGUUUGCACUGGGUUAUCCUCUGUAAGUCUUGGUCUUACACCCCAAGAUAUGAUCAUUCAUUUACUCUUUUCUUGUUCUAUGAAUUCUUAGUUCUGUUACAUUUAUUGGGUUGGAUUAUUAGUUAUUAUAUUAAUAAUCAUCAACGUCAUCUCGGUUCUUCACAGAUGUGCUUCAAUUCGGGUAAUUGAGACUAACUCAAUCUCAGACGUUCGGAAGUUGGUGGCGUAUUGGGUUCUAUUUUCCUUGGUUUCACUCUUUGAUCAUACUUUUGCCAAGCUCCUUGAAUGGUAAUUUUGCUCAACUGCAUUCCACUAUAUGUGGCUCUAUUUCUUUCAUUUCUCUGCCCUUAAGGAAUUUGGAGUUGCUUUUUUCAGUUUUCUUCCCUGUGAAAAUAAUCGAGAUGUUUAAUGUUCCAGGCCUGCAUGCUCAAGGAAGUGGUGUCAGCUUUGGAAAUAAGAUGGAUCUACUAGUUUUUAUUUCUCAUCUUUAUAGGGAACUUUCCAUAAUCACAGUGAUGAAUAAUUGUCUUGUUUGAAAGCAUGGUUGCACUUAUUUCCAUGGAAUUUGUCUGCUGAGAAACAAAUGGAAAUAGAAAAUUCAGAAUCUGACAAGUUUGUGUAGGGCAACUGGAUCUAAUCUCUUAGUCGAAGCUUAAUUGGGGCAAAUGCUGAUCAUCUUUGGACCAUUGAAGGCUCUAAUCUGUGCACAAUUCUAAUGUUUUUGUUUUCUUCAUUUCUUUUUCAACUGUUCAUAAUAGAUGUCAAAAGAUAAAACCGAACUUAUGUAGUCCAUCCAAGUGGAUGCAUAUAAAUUUAACAGAAACUGAAAUUCGAAGAAAUUUAUUUAUUUUUUUAAAUAUUUUAUUUUCUUAUAUAAUGCAUGUCAGGAUACCAUUCUGGCCUUACAUAAAGCUGAUGGUCAUCUGCUGGAUGGUGAUACCGCAUUUUGAUGGUUCAUAUUAUGUCUAUCAACACCUAGUUCAUCCAUGCUUGUCCAUUGAUCCACAAGUUGUCAUGAAUUGGCUUUUCAAUGAAUCAAAAAAGAAGUUUCAUAGCAGAGAAAACUUUCUUGUUUCAGCAGACCAAUAUAUUAAGGAGAAUGGACCUGAAGCUUUGAAGAAACUACUUGCUAGGAAGGUAUGCCAUUAUAAGUAGGAUUAUCAACAAGUCAAACAGAGUUUUAUUUGAGAUGUUCAAGUAAAAAAUGACUAUAGCAGGUCAUCUAGAAUUAUGUGGUCUAAAUUCAUGUAUAUAUCUAUAUAUAAUUGUGUUCUCUUUUUUUCACAUAUGCAUGUGCAUUUAGAUUUACAUAAUUAUAUAUGCAUAAUCAGAUUCAACUGUGAUAGCCCGGGAUUUAAUUCAGUAAUCAACUCUUCUGGGAACAUGUUGGUUAUGGUUUCUCUCUCACUGUCCUCUUAUUUAUACAUGACUUUGGCUUCAGUUGAGGAGCACAAAGCCUAAUGUUGAAGUGAAAGAGAUCAAAGCACCUGCAGCACCGGAGAAAAAAGGGGAAGCGGUAUGCACUCUAAUGUGGCUAUUUUAUUUCUAUGGAGGCAGAUCCCCAGAAAAAUGUUGCUCAUGUAAAUUAGUGAUGCAUUUAAAAGAAAAACCACUUUAUGUAUGUUUCUGUGAAAAAGAGAACAAGUUUAUGGAUUAAGUGAUAUUUUUUAUGGUGAAAUAAUCAAUAAUUUUCAAAAUAAUAAUAUAUUCGUGCAUGUUUUUGCAAUUCAUGAAUUCCUUUUACGAUUGAUUCUUCUCACCUCAGUGGAAGUGUGAAGAGCCUAAUGUUGCAGAAAAGGAGAUCCAAGUAGUCAAAGUAACAGACAUAAAAAAUGGGGGGAUGGAGCAAAGAGGGUAAGUUUUCCUUUUUAUUUAUAAGGAAGGCUGUCUUCACACAAGGAUUAUUGUUAUUAUUUUUAAGACAUGAAUGUUGAAUGCAUUUGGAAUUGUCGUUGAAUCAUGUGAAGUGUGAAGGUGCAAAUGGUGCUAAGAAGGAGAUCAAAGUGAUGGAAGUAACACAGAUAACAUUUGGUGAUACAGAACAGUGGGUAAGGUUUCUUGUCAUACUUAAACGGCACCUCAUAUUUCACUAGGAUUAAUUUUGGCCUACAAACAUAUUUGGCUACAAGUUGAAGACAGAUUUCCAGAUACUGGUAGAAGUUGAGACAUAAGUAAUGAAUGAGUUUAGAAACAUGCACAACUCUUGUGUGAAACACAAUGAGAGUGGAAAAUAGCUAAGUUGAAAAAUGGCCAAAUACUAUUUUGUAGUUCCCCCCACCACUUAAGUAAUUUUUGUCAUCCUUUGUGAAUGGACAAUGCAGUCCCUUCAGUAAUUCCGCUAUAUUCAUGACUUGGUGAAGCAUAUAACCAUUAGUGUCUUGUCCUAAGUUGACCUUUAAUGAUGAUCCAUUGAGAGGGAUCUGACUUUUGUCAACCCUCUUAGAGGUUAAACAUACGGGGCUUAACCCACUUUUCAAUCUCAUUGGAUAUAUGGCACGUGGUAUCCUCUUCAUCUUGAAAGAGUGAAGUGGUCAUACUCUUUCCUCCGAGUCCAUCGUGGCCAUGCACUUCUGGCUCAUUGGGCUGAGUGAAAGGAUUCCCUUCUGCUUCAAAUCAUAGAGAGAUAUGCCAUGGUCAGCCUCUUUAAUUUGAAGGAUUGAAGUACUCAAAUCCAUUUCUUUGCAUCCAUCUUAGUCCUGCUUCCAUGUCUCAUGGUUAACCAGGAAGAUCAAGCUUCCAUCCAUGAGAUCAGCAUCUGCAGGGUUAUGACUCCACCCUUCCUUGGCAUAGGAAAGCGAUCAUUAAGCCACAUGUCGGAUGACAGAAGUCGUCAUUCAGGUUAUCUUGAGAACUAGGGAAGUUGGAAUUCUAAUUAUUGCAUAUGGUUCUUGAUGUUUAGCCAAUAUACUAUAGGAUUUUAAGCAUCAUGCCCAUGUGCAUUGUGGUUUUUUAUCAGCUAUAUGGUUUACCAAACUGAGGGAUUGAUUAUAGUCAUAAGUACCCUUUUCCCAUUAAUUUCUUGCAUGUGCUUUGCUGAGAUUAUGUUUUUGACAGUGCUAAUCAGGGCAAACCAACAAACAGCUUUAUGUUAACUUUUACAAACUGCCACAUUUUCAGGUUGAACGAUCAGACAUAAAUCUUGGUGAAACUAGAAGUAAUACAACCUGUGCUGUGGAGAUAAAAGAAAGGGCAGCAGCACUGGUGGCUGCAGAAAUUGAGGCAUGUAGAGACAAUAGAACCCCCGAGAUACCUCUGCAUAAGAAAGUCCAGAAAGAGUGGGCUUGUGCUGUAUGCCAGUUCACAACCCAAAGUGAAGUGACCUUCAAUUCCCACCUUCAAGGGAAGAGACAUCAGGCCACUUCUGAGCAGUUGAGAGCCAAAAACCAGGCAACCAAAACCAAUUGUUCCCCAUCUGCUUCAAAGGCCAAGAAAUCUGAUCAGUCCACCAAAGAGGAGCAACCAAAGUGUCCUUCCAACAAUCUGAAUUCCAAAAACAAUGGAAUCUCAGCUGCUUCAACAGUGAAGAAACCUGACGAGACCAAAGAUGAUGAGCAACAAAAGUGUGCAUCCAGCAAUGGACCAAACCAGAAGAAUAACAAAAAGCAAGAGGAGAAGGUGCUAGUUCUUGAGACCAAUGAGCAAGGCCAUCAGAAUAAUUUUGAUCCACGAUCCCACAUUUAUUUUGGGUCUCACAAGUUUCAAAUUUGCAGAAAAAUGAAAGAUGUUUGAGAGAAAAUUAAAUCAUAUUGCACUACUGUUAGGAAAAAUAUGGCUGAAUCCAAUUGCUUUUCUUCUCCAAGUCUAUUAAAAAUAUAAUUUUUUCUCCAUUCCUGACAAAAUUUAAAUUUUUUCCUUAAAAAAAAAAAAAUUAAGUUUGAUCACCUAACACAUCUUUCUAAACUCAAUCUCAACUUGAAAAAUCAAACCUUAAUGGAUGGACUAUAGAAAUAGUGAGAAAACACUUCUGGGGUUUUUUUUUUCUUCCAACAUCAAAUUUUUCUAUAUAUGGGAUUUCACAUGCAAAAGCAGGAGUAGAUUUGCUUGUGUUUGAUGUAUGUAUUAGAAAAAUUUGUCCCUUCUGGGAUGUUUAAUACUUUUCUAUUCUUUUAUAUGCAUGUUUAGCUAGAAGAUAUAGAAUCGAUACCAUUCCUUAAAAGUGAUAGCCACAACUGUGAUAAUUAAACACCAAAGAAUGUGAAGAUCUAUAUAUUCUUUUUUUUUUCCUCUCUCUUUCAAUAAUGAAGCUAAGAUGUGUUGUAAGCAUCAAAUGCAUUGUCUCUGCUUGAAUAUAUACAAAGCCAAGGACCACAAGAUGGAUAGAUAUGGGGACGCACAAAACUUCUCAAACAUGAUUAUAUUAAUCAAGAAUUCAACUAAGCUUAAAUUCAAGAUGUUGAUUUCUAGCAUCUCUGGUGCUAUAGGAUGACUAUUGAUCCUGUACUGUUAUGUGCCCUACUGAUAUAUUCUUCGGGUUGUUAUGUAUAAAUAAAAUUUUUGGGAAAGUUUGCUUGGUGGUUACACUAUCACUAUUUAGGCCAGUAAAAAUUGGAAGCCUUUGUAAAAAACUGAUGGUCCAAGAGCUAUUCUACUUCAUCAUCCAUGUAAUAUGACGAUACAAAUUUGACUAAAUGCAGCUAUAGAAGGCUUAGGACCAUAAACCAAGCCUAGUCGAUGUCACUCACCUAAAUUUAUGCAUAAAGCUUUUGGAUGGCUCAGAGUUAUAUUUAAUUACUGUUAUGUUCGCAACUAUAUUUUCAUUGGAUUUAUAGUCCAGCUUGAGAACUAGUCCUCCAUUGCACAUAAUGUCCACACAAGGCCACAGUGCCCGCUCAAAGGCCAUAGCGCUACUCAAGGAUAUAGUGCUUACUCAAGGCCAUAGAGCCCACCUAAGGCUAACGACCCAAAAGGAGAAAAAGGUUGGUUCCACGUACUCUAAUAUUUACUAGAAAAGGUUCUUCCUAUUAAAGAACAAAAAAUUGCAUUCCCUUGUGACCAAUCCAAACAGUAGACCACUGACUUGUAUAAGGCAUUAUUCACCAUGCAAGCACUUUUUCAGCAACCUACCAUCUGGCAUGAACCAUUUUGGAUUGAUUCACAAAGCAAUGGUGUUAUAUUAAGCAUAUUCAAUAUAGAACCAAAUUGUGCCUCCUUAGAUUAACUAAAAUAUUUCCAUUGCAAGAUGUGCAGAUAGGCAUAUGAUCAUGAAGUAAUUUCCUGAUGAUAAUACCCCACAAAAUAUUUCUUUUUCUCACUGAUCUCUCCUAGAUUUUCAGUUCACCCAUCCAUGGCGCCUGACUAAAAAUGGGGGCAUUUUGGAUACCCCGAGCAGUAAGUUAGCCUGGUAGGCAUCCCGUUGCAAGCAAAGUCAACCCGAGCGGUCCAUUUGACCAAAGCUUAUCCAGGCAGUAAGCGUCCAUAUACAGCUAACUGUUAUGCACCAUCAACAGGUUGAGGUUACAAGAUUAAAGAGUCAUAAUGGCCAAAUGGAAGUUACACGACUCGGCCUAUAUAAUAACAGUAUGACAAAAAAUGCAGGUAUGAAGAACUAUCACUGAAAAAAUUUAUUCCUAAAAAUCCUUUAAGCUCCUUUAAGCUAACUUGGGCAUUGGAGAGGUCUCUCCGAAGCACACUCGAGCUUACCUUUUUGUAAGACAUCGAGAACAAGAGGCAUUGAAGUGAUUGUCCGGAGGGUUGAACUUGGUCGGGAACCAACAAUACACACUAUUCAAAAAUAGGGAUCAUAUUAAAUUAUUAAUGCAACCAUAGGAAGCAAUUGAGGACAAGGGUGUUAUUUGAUUAAAAGGGUAAUUGAAAACCUAAAUUUUGAAAUUUAACCCUCCAUUCUAUUUGGCCUUAUGUGAACAAAAAUGCCUUCAUUAUUUUCUUGUAAAAAUAACUCACCCAUUUAAACCUUACAUGAAAAUACUUAAAAUGGUAAAUGAUAUGUUAAAAAUUGAUUAUUUUUCAAAUAAAACAUAAGAAGGGUCAAAUUCAUGAAAGGAUUAUUUCAUCCCUUUUAAUCAAUUAAUUCGAUUUAUUUCUUUUUAUUUUUUUUCUCUCCAUGUUAAUUUUCACAUCACCCAACAACACCACUCUUAAUUCACACAAGUUUGAAGUUUUUGAAUGAGAUAUAUUCGUAAUUAUAUUGUAAUUGUGUUAUAAUAACCAUUUCGUACUUGGAUUUGUUCUUUCAGUCCAUUUAACCUUUUUGUUUAUUCAUGUCAAAACAAUGUACUUAUAAUCGAAUCCAUUUAUGACAUGUUGAUCUUAUAUAAAUUUAUUAAUUUUAUAUAUUUAAAAAUUAUAAAAAUUAAAUAUACUUUUUCAAUUAUGAAUAUCAUAUUACUAAAAUAUUAAAUAACAAAUUAACUUGAAAUGCUAUAUAUUUCAUUAAUUAUUUUAUAAUUAAAACAUUAAAUGAAAUAAUAAACAAGUAUAAAAUAGAAAAUUCUAUCUUAGUUAGAAAUUAUAAACUGUUAUUGAGACAUAUAAGUAUUAAAAUUCUACCCAUUUCACUACCAAACAACUUAUGUUUUUAGUCAUAAUUUAACCUUAUGAUGAACACUUAAAUAAAAUUUGUCAUCUUUUUCUAUUGAUUUAUAUUUAUUUAUUUAAAAAUUUUGUCUGGCAUAAACUAUCAUCUCACAAAAUCAUCAUUGAUGAGUAGGCUAUGCCCCAGUGUAAGCAUCUCCAAAUCAAACAUCAAUGAGAGGAGUACAACCAAUCAUACAUCAUCUUAUCAAAAUGAAUCUCCGCUUUUCAAAGUCAUCGUGGUAACGUGAAGAGAGUAUUUGACCUCCUCUAAAGAAAAAACAUGUCUUGAUGUGAAAAAGAUCAAGCAAAGUGGUAUGCCUCAACAAAAAUGUGCUCAAACAUGAUCAUGCCCCGAUGUAAGUUAGUAUCUCUAAGAUCAAUCGCCAAUGAAAAGGUUAUUCCCCAGUAUAGGGCAAACUCUGAAAUGACUAAACUCCGUUGCAAGCUCUCAUAAGUGUCUGUGUCAUGAUCCAAUCAUCGCAAAAAUUUGUCAACAAUGAUGAGAAGGCUAUGCUCCUAUAAUCACAUCAAAGAAAUCACUCGGUCAUAUUACUCCAAUGUGAAAGAAAUCUAAUCACCUCCAAGGAACAGCUAUGCCUCAAAACCAUCAUCGACUGAGAGGGGGAUGCCCCUGAUCCAAUCACCACCCUAACUAACGUACCCAUCAUGAGGAACACUUGUUUGAGCUCCAUAAUGGGGAUCAACCAUUAGAUGAACAAGAUUCGAAUAUUACUUGCUCCCCAUUUCAACCAAUGAAUGAUGUACCUGGAAACCUUGUAGACAACCAUAGUUUUCAGCCUUCUUCCUCGCGAUCAUCUAGAACAGAGUCGGUAAGCUUCACUCAUUUCUUAUAAUGGACCUUGACCCACAACGUCGAACUACCUGUAUGCAAAAUUAUCCGUCCAGAAAACCCAUCCAUACAAUUCAGGUUCAAAACCCACAAGAACCACCCUAUGAAUAAACUAAUUAUAGCUGGCUUCGUUGCAAUAGGCAUUAACUUUCUUAUGCUGACAGUCCUAGCAUCAUUUACCAAAGGAUCAACAACUUUUCCAUGUCAGAGAACAUUAUCAAUCACAAUGACACCCCUGGUCCUCACUAGUUGCGAUAGCAAUUUAAAGUAUUCUUGAUUCAAAGGGUAAACAAAACAAAAAAGAAAACCCUAAGUGUGACUCCUUAUUUGAAAAAUGUGGUUUAUGAAAAACCGGAUCGAGCUUAGGGGUCAGGUUACUUAUCGGGAAGGUACAAAAAAAACCGUAGCACCCCUCUAAGUCCCUAAAAUGGGUCUCUAUUGAUAAAAUGAAGCAAUCAUGGCAAUUGGUAAGGAAAUCAUUGAGUAUCAACAUGAUCACACAUUGAGAGUUAAAGCAUGCAUGAGGAAUGGUCAAAGUGAGAAAGGAUGCGUACCUUAGCAACGAGUCCCAAUGCGCUAUCAAGAAAUUGGGUUAGUGCACAAUCAAUAAAUAUAAAAUAUAACACACAUGCAUCACUAAAUAGGGUAAUAAAUCCCCGAUGACAAACCUUGCACUUCACUCAGGUUUAUUUCUACUUCUCUGAUGUUGGGCCCCACCAAAGCUCAUUUUAUUUUGCAUGAAUCAACUCCAAUAACUCCAUUAUUCGGAAUUACGAAAUUUAAUUCUUGCUUAUUUUAAAGCAUUUUAAAAAUAGAGGAGAUAUGAGAAUUGCUCGCCAGAAAAGAAGAUGGCGGCAAAAUUUUAAUGAAAAACGAGUUUUUGGAACCUAAGAAAAAUGUUAAGGAUGGAAAAUUUUGGAGGUUUGAAAUUAAUUAAAAAUUAGAAUUGAGGAAUUUAUUUACAAAAUGGGGUUUAGGAAAAUUAUUUUCAAAAAAAAAAAAUGAUGAAAUGAGAGAUGGCACGUGACACAAGGGUGGCCAUGCUGAAGGCGUUCUCUUCUGGCCCAAGCUGGAAAUGCACUCCAAUUAUCCUUCUUUUCUGGUAUAACACCUUCAUCAAAAUAAAUAGCUUUUGCACCAUACUCUGAUAGACAAGGACCAAUAACAAUGCCUAUAUUUGCCUUAAGUAGACAAAGUAAGUCACCCAUUGAACCUCCAAUAUAAAUUGUCAAGUGCUCUGUGUCAUUACUGCAUCCCUCCUUCAAGAUGUCCUUAGAAACCUAAAGCUUUUCCACGACAUACUCCAUCUUCUUAAUGAUUUCACCCGUGGAAAUGGAUUCUUCACAAGCCAACUCAUUUGAAUAUACUCUCAAAACACCCAUAUCACCUGAUGAAAAUGCUGAUCUAACGAAAUCGCCACACCAACAGUAUGAAAGUCCAUGAACAUCUGCUUUCAGAUUAUUAUUUUUAAGAAUCUUUUGGAAGAAACCUGUGCAACCAUCUUGAAGAAUUAGACCUUGACCAACCUGUUUUAUAUCAUCUGAAUUUAAACCCUUCAAUACUCCAGACUGAGUCACUCUUGAAUCUGCCUUUUCCUCAAAAUCAGAAAGUUGCUCAAGUGCUUUACAUAAGCCUUCAUAAUUGAAUUUUUCCACUGUUUCACUGGGGACGAUGCUUCCCAUGCAUUUUUCAAGCUCUUCAGUAUGCUGGGUAGAUAGAACACCCCAUGUGUGUGUCCAGAUCACCAUGAGUGACCAUUUGAACCUUGACGAAUGAGAGAGUACAUAACAUUUAAGCACACAGGACAUAUAUUAACAUUCUCCAUUAGCUUCUCUUUGCCUUUGUCCACCUCUUGACCUCCCAUGCAGCCAACUGUGAAGACCACGUCCAGGUGCAGUCACGUGGUGACACAUCUCAUGGUCUUCCUCAUCCAAUAAAUCACAUGCUCUGUUAAAUCUGCUACCCGAAUGGAUACCUCCUAUCCAUCAACCUGAAUAUACUCCGAGCUUUCUUCAUAAAACCCAAGAAACUCCAGAAGGCAUCAUGGUUCUCCUCCAUCAUUGAAAUGAUUAGGGAUAGUAAAUCACUCAUCCCUUAGCAAUAUCCCAUUUUUAAACCAUAGGGUGCGUAGGCUUCUAGAAUAGUAGCAAAGUGAGCAACACGGAAAAUCUUGCGUGGAUCCAAGUUCCAUGAUGGUGAUCGUAGCCUCACCUUUGAAAUCACAAGACCCAGAACCCAUUCGUUCUUCCUGGUAAUAACUAUCAGAUGCAUAGGAGGCAGGGUUCUUCAGAUUGUUGAUUUGGUAAAAGCCUCUUCUGGUUGAACCCCUGAAUGAUUCACUUUUCUCAGUCCGCAAACCUAGUUCAGAACAGCCCGCAAGAUCAGAACCUUAACCUAGGCGUGGAGAUCCAGUGUUGUAUAACGCCUCAAUUGUCGGAAGCAGCCAUGGCCCAAACAAUGAUAUAAUGGUCAGCAAGUUGUCCCCAAGGACCAUGACAGUGAUGAGCAUUUCCGGGCAGCGCGUCACCACGUUCCACGUCGCGACGGUAAUGGCUAUGGACUGAGUGUCAUGGUCAGGGAGCUUGAUGAAGCAGGUGAAAAUCUGGUGUUUUAGAUUCUGAGGCAAUGACUGCUUGAUCGGUCGGAUUCUAGUACCGGCGUUACAUUGGGGAGGCAAUCUUAAAGUUCCAACGGAGGUAGUAGUGGACUAAUAUUCCUCAAUAACCAAACUUGAGUUUCUCACUUUCCGCUUCUCAAGGCAUUCACCUGAAACGCUUCAGGCGCCCAAACCCUUUCUGCUCAUCAGUAUAAUCACGCGCAUGAAAGUCUUAACUGCCUUCUAAACUUCACAACUUCAUCUUGCAUCUGGGUCAUCGUCGGCACGAACUUAUCACCUGAUUCAGUUAAUAUCCCCAUAUAACAAGUUCCAAUGAAGUCGCAACUUUGCAUCUUCUUUUCUGCGAUUACUUUGAUUCUCAAAGCCGAUUACUUGUUGCAGUCCAUAGGAGAUUCAAUAAUCAAACAUCAUGCACAAGCAAAAAGGCAACAAAAUACAUCGGCAUGUGGCCCAUACACCCUCCAAAAUCUUCACUCAUUUAGUAAGUUUUAGAUUCAAAAGAGUUAGCCUUCUGGUGAGCAACCCGAUACCCAUAACGAAUGAUGUAUCUGAAACACCUUUCCCACGUGGCCCUUGAAGGAUUCACUAGAAGGUGACCAUGCAUAGUAGGUCUUCACUCGCAGGAGAAUGAGAAGGAAAUAAACCUAAAGGGGGGUUGACAGCGUAGUCUAGAAGGUGAUGAGCUGAGCGGGUGGGGGUAUUAGGGUGGUCAAGUUCAGUGGGUAUGAAGGGUGGAAAGAUGGCAUGAUAGAGGAAUAAGCAGCUGAUAGUGGGUGCGAUGAUAUAAGGUAGGUUGACUAUGGAGAGUAUGGCAUUAAAGGAUGAAGACUUAGAGAGAGAGAGGUGGGUUUAAGGGUAUGGUGAGAUGGAGGGUUGAGGGUGAUAGGCUUGGAUAGUUGCAUGAGGAGGAUGAAAGGUGGGUAUGGAAAAUGUGCAUGGGUAGGAAAUGGGUAUAACAAUGGGUGUGAAUAUUGAGAGGUAGUGAAAUGAAGGCAGCCUUGCUCGUAUGGAUCAGUGUCGGAUUGAGUUAAGAAUGGUGAGAGAAAGGGAUUCGAUGAAUAUUGAAUGAUGGAAAAUGGUGAUUGGUUAGAUAGGGAUUUGUGGUCGAAUGGAAAUAGGAGACAUGAACAUAGAGAUGAGUGUGAUGGAUGAUAGUGGGCAUGAAGGGUAUUGGAUUUGUUCAUGGGUAUAGUGGUUAAAAGAGUGGUGAGAAGAAAAAAAAAUGGCCAUGUAAAUAGCAAUUAUACAUGUGGGCCCGUGAUUGCAAACGGGACUGCAUUGUUGCAUCUCAUGCUGAACCCUCACCUCCUUCUAGGAUCAUUUUCUGCAUCAAAGCUAGAUAAACUUAGAUGGUAUUUCCUGCCAAUUUUGGAUGCCCCCCACUUUGGAAAUAUUUCCUUUUCACCCAUCAGAAUAUGCUUAUCAGGUGUACUUGACUCAGGUUCAUUCCCAUAUUGCCUCUCUGAUUUAUGAUCUUCAAAGGUUUUGCAUGAAGGAAGCCUUUCACUGCAUUCCCCUUCAUCCACCAGACCUUCAGAGCAUCGUUUCCAACAAAAGCAACCUUGACUCUUCUAGUCCCAUCAGAAAAAAGUCUGAAUAUCCUCAGUUUAUGUCAUCCCUUGAUGCCCAACUCAGAAAUGAUCCAAAAAACAGUCAUCUCCCAUAUUUGGCUUCCCAGAAACACCUCGACUCAGAUGGCCAGUCCAAAUGUGAUACCCAACAUUCUAAAAAUGCUAAAAACAGAGGAGAUGAUGAAGAAAAACAGAGCAUGUAUAAAAGAAAAAAAAAAGGACUGUUAAAUCUCACUCCAUUCCAUAAAUGCUAAUGGGGUGGAUAUGGUGGAAUCAAAAGGAAGCAAGAGCGUGAUCUUCAAAAUCAAAAGCAAUGAUGGAUCCAUAUUCAAAACGUUCCAGAAUAGAGAAAGACACAAAUAAGGAGCAGGGUUUUUUUUUGUUACUGGCAGGAAGAUAUUUUUUCUAGAGAGUAACUAGAGAGAAAAAUAGGAAGAAAAGGGAAGAGCAUAGAAGACAUCUACAUAGGAGAGUAUUCAUUGUUGUGAGGAGUAGUAGAGAGCUUAGGAGGAGUUACAAAGAGAGUGAGUUUGGUUAGAGGAGGAAGUUUUGUUGGUUUUUCAGAAAGGAUUCUAGCUUGAGUGAGAGCCAUUCUAGAGAGGGUUAGAGAGGAGAAAGGUGUGUUUUGAGCAGCAAAGACACGAAGCAAAAUAGAGCAGCCAGGAAAGAGAAGCAGAAAAUCAAAAUUACUAAAAAAUUAGUGAAAGCUGUGAAAUUUCAUAUUGUUACUAAUUAUUAUAAUUUUUUUUUGUAUUUUCAAUAUUUCAACCAAUAUUUUAUAUAAUUAAAUUUAAAUUAUAAGAAUUAUAUUAUUAAUACACAUAACUAUCUUAAUGUUUUAACAAUGUAUACUUAUUUAAAUUUAUUUCAAUUUUUUUAUUUUUUUAUAAAUAUCUAAUUAGACUUAUAAUUCAUUGAAAUUAUUCAUUUUUUUUUUACUUCAUAAACCAAUUAUAUUACUUUUUGUAUUUUCAAUAUUCAUUUGGAAAAAAUAAUUUCAAUUUAAAAUAAAAUAAAUUAAUUAACUCUCAAUUUAUAAAUUGUGUCAUUGAAUUAUUUUUUAUUUAUAAUAUUUAGUUUAUUUUAAAUUUAAUUUUUUUUCUUCACCUUUUGGUUUAUCACUUUAUAUUAAAAAAUAAAAUAAAAUUGAAUUUCUUUUAAUUUAUAUUUUCACAAAUUAUUCAAUAUUUUUUUAAUUUUUAUAAAAUAAAUCCUCAGAUUAUAUAAUUGGAUGUUGUAAAGAGUUAAAAUUUUUGUGUUGCAUUGAAUUAUUUUUUCUAACAAAAGUAUAUUUGGGUACCGUAGACAUUAUAUCCAUAUCUUAACGUAUUAUAUACUUUUAUUUUGUGCAAUUAGCAAUUGAGCGGAAGACGCGGAGCCGGCUAACGGAAAUACCGCGUGUCACGCGUGUCCCUUCCCGUACCAAGUCUCAACUGCUUCAAGAUUUCCGACGCGCCCUUCUUCGCUUAACUCUUAAGUCUUUUCUUCCACUCUUCCUUAAACCCAUCACAUUUCGCCGCGUGGACCUAAGUCUCAAUGUCCUUGUGUUCAUACGAUGUAUGUUCCCCCAAUUCCUCAUCUACACUGAAACUCCAUACUCGCCUACUCAAUCACUUCUCUACUCUAGAGUCUGGAUGCUUAUCUCUGCGCGUGUCGAUGGCUCUUCACCCCAGCGAGUAUGGCAUUACAAGGGCAAUAUCGUCAUUAAAGACACAACAGAGUGUCUAUUUUAUUUAAGCUGUACGUAAUCGUGAUUGACUUCUUAGUAUCCUUUUGCUCCUAGUCUUCUCCCGCGUCUCUUAUAAAAACUAAAGAAAACCACUCCAAGAGAGCACACUACAAGAAUCUUCUUCCUUUUUUUCUUUCCUCUUUCUCUUUACAGAUAAACUGAGAAAGCCCAGCUCAUCCCUCAAUUCCCAGAUGGGUUUCAUGAAUGUUCUCAAGUUCUCAGCUGCAUGCUUUGAUCUUCUUGGCUGGUAUGUUGUCCACGCGUUUUCUUGCCAUUGGAAAUUUUUGGGAAAUGAAGUGGAAUUCUCUGUUUGAGGACAAACAUGGGAUUUUCUUUGAUUUCUCCCUGUUGGUUUUAUCUAUAUUCUUUGAAUUACCCACAUUCUUGUCAUUGAUUGUUAGUCAUUUGUUUGGAUUUCUACUUGCAGGCCUCUAUGUGCACUGGGUUAUCCUCUGUAAGUCUUGGUCUUACACCUCAAGAUAUGAUGAUUCAUUUACUCUUUUCUUGUUCUACGAAUGGUUCAGUUACAUUUAUUGUGUUGGGAAACUGAAAAGGAAAAGGAUUAUUAGUUAUUAUCGUAAUAAUCAUCAACAUCAUCUCGGUUCUUCACAGAUGUGCUUCAAUUCGGGCAAUUGAGACUAACUCAAUCUCAGACUUUCGGAAGUUGGUGGCGUAUUGGGUUCUAUUUUCCUUGAUUUCACUCUUUGAUCAUGCUUUUUCCAAGCUCCUUGAAUGGUAAUUUUGCUCAACUGCAUUCCACUAUAUGUGACUCUGUUUGUUUCAUUUCUUUGCCCUUAAGGAAUUUGGAGUUGCUUUUUUCAGUUUUCUUUCCUAUGAAAAUAAUCGAGAGGUCUCCAUGUAUUUUAUAUUCCUUCAUUUCUCUGCUUUGACAAAGGCCCACAUUCUGAUCAGCAGAAAGGUUAUAACAUUUGAAAAAGAAGUGCUUUAUUUUUGUUUUUUGUUAGUACAAUAAUUUUCGUUUGGAUAAAUGGUCUGAAGGGUGUUUGUGUUUGGCUGAGUUCAUGGAAUUUUCUAGCUAAUUUGGGAUUUAUUCUCAAUUUCAAGAUCAUUGUGGAUAUGUCAGAAAUUAAUGAAAUAUAAACGGUGGAAUGUGAUUUUCUUGUUUAAGAAAAGUUUUUCUUUGAAAAUACGGGUGCACCUGACCUACCUUAUUGUGCUACUUGGAACACAAAACAUUAGUACAGGUAAUUUAUUAACUAAAUUGUACACUUUUUGAUAGUUCAAGGAGGUGGUUUUCUUCUUUUAGGGUGUCAGCUUUGGAAAUAGGAUGGAUCUAAAAGUUUUUAUGUCUCAUCUUUAUAGGGAACUUGAAAGCAUGGAUGCACUUAUUUCCAUGGAAUUUGGCUUCCUUGAAAUCAAAUUAAGCUUUAUGCAUCAUUUGGAUGCUGAGAAACAAAUGGAAAUAGAAAAUUCAGAAUCUGACAAGUUUUUGUAGGGCAACUGGAUCUAAUCUCUUAGUCGAAGCCUAAUUGGGGCAAAUGCUGAUCAUCUUUGGACCCCAUUGAAAGCUCUAAUCUGUGCACAAUUCUAAUGUUUUUGUUUUCUUCAUUUCUUUUUCAACUUUUCACAAUAGAUGUCAAAGGUUAAAACCAAAUUUACGCAGUCCAUCCAAGUGGAUGCAUAUAAAUUUAACAGAAACUGAAAUUCGAAGAAAUUUAUUUUCCCUUUUGUAAAUGGUGUUUAAAUAUUUUAUUUUCUUAUAUAAUGCAUGUCAGGGUACCAUUCUGGCCUUACAUAAAGCUGAUGGUCAUCUGCUGGCUGGUGAUACAGCAGUUUGAUGGUUCAUAUUAUGUCUAUCAACACCUAGUUCAGCCAUGCUUGUCCAUGGAUCCACAAGCUGUCAUGAACUGGCUCUUCAAUGAAUCAAAAAAGAAGUUUCAUAGCAGAGAAAACUUUCUUGUUUCAGCAGACCGAUAUAUUAAGGAGAAUGGACCUGAAGCUUUGGAGAAACUACUUUCUAGGAAGGUAUGCCAUUAUAAGUAGGAUUAUCAACAAGUCAAACAGAGUUUUAUUUGAGAUGUUCAGGUAAAAAAUGACUAUAGUAGGUCAUCUAGAAUCAUUUGGUCUAAAUUCAUGUAUAUAUCUAUAUAUAAUUGUGUUCUCUUUUUUUCACAUAUGCAUGUGCAUUUAGAUUUACAUAAUUAUAUAUGCAUAAUCAGAUUCAACUGUGAUAGCCCGGAAUUAUUUCAGUAAUCAACUCUUCUGGGAACAUGUUGGUUAUGGUUUCUCUCUCACUGUCCUCUUCUUUAUACAUGACUUUGGCUUCAGUUGAGGAGCGCAAAGCCUAAUGUUGAAGUGAAAAAGAUCAAAGCACCUGCAGCACCGGAGAAAAAAGGGGAACAGGUAAGUUCUCUAAUGUGACUAUUUAAUUUCUAUGAGGCAGAUCCCCAGAGAAAUGUUGCUCAUGUAAAUUACUGAUGCAUUUGAUUCAAUGGCAUGGUUUUAAAAGAAAAACCACUUUAUGUAUGUUUCUGUGAAUAAGAGAACAAGUUUAUGGAUUAAAUGAUAUUUUUUAUGGUGGAUUAAUCAAUAAUUUUCAAAAUAAUAAUAUAUUCGUGCAUGUUUUUGCAAUUCAUGAAUUCCUUUUAUGAUUGAUUCUUCUUGCCUUUUUUCUCACCUCAGUGGAAGUGUGAAGAGCCUAAUGUUGCUCAAAAGGAGAUCCAAGUUGUCAAAGUAACAGAGAUAAAAAAUGGGGGGGAUGGAGCAAAGAGGGUAAGUUUUGCUUUUUAUUUAUAAAGUAGGCUGUCUUCACACAAGGAUUAUUAUCUUUAAGACAUGAAUGUUGAAUGCUUUUGGAAUUGUCCAUGAAUCAUGUGUAGUGUGAAUGGCCUAAUGCUGCUAAGAAGGAGGUCAAAGUGACAGAAGUAACACACAGAACAUUCGGUGGUACAGCACAGUGGGUAAGGUUUCAUGUCAUAUUUAAAUGGCUCCUCAUAUUUCACUAGGAUUAAUUUUGCCCCUACAAACAUAUUUGGCUACAAGUUAAGACAGAGUUCCAGAUGCUGAUAAAGUUGAGACAUAAGUAAUGAAUGAGUUUAGAAACAUGCACAACUCUUGUGUGAAACACAAUGAGAGUGGAAAAUAGCUAAGUUGAAAAAUGGCCAAAUACUAUUUUGUAGUUCCCCCUACCACUUAAGUAAUUUUUGUCAUCCUUUGUGAAUGGAAAAUCCAGUCCCUUCAGUAAUUCCGUUAUAUUCAUGACUUGGUGAAGCAUAUAACCAUUAGUGUCUUGCCUUAAGUCGACCUUUAAUGAUGAUCCAUUGAGAUGGGUCUGACUUUUGUCAACCCUCUUAUUCCCUUGAUCAUAGAGGUUAAACUUAGGGGGCUUAACCCACUUUUGAACCUUAUUGGAUAUAUGGCACAUGGUAUCCUCUUCAUCUUGAAAGAGUGAAGUGGUCAUACUCUUUCCUCUGAGUCCAUUGUGGCCAUGCACUUCUGGCCCAUUGGGCUGAGUGAAAGGAUUCCCUUCUGCUUCAAAUCAUAGAGAGAUAUGCCAUGGUCAGCCUCUUUAAUUCAAGGGAUCGAAGUACUCAAAUCCAUUUCUCUGCAUCCAUCUUAAUUCUGCAUUCAUGUCUCAUGGUUAACCAAGAAGAUCCAGCUUCCAUCCAUGAGAUCAGCAUCUGCAGGUUUAUGACACCACCCUUCCUUGGCAUAGGAAAGGGAUCAUUAAGCCAUGUGUUGGAUGACAGAAGUCAUCAUUCAGGUUAUCUUGAGAACUAAGGAAGUUGGAAUUCUAAUUAUUGCAUAUGGUUCUUGAUGUUUAGCCAAUAUACCGUAGGAUUUUAAGGAUCAUGCUCAUGUGCAUUGUGGUUGUUUAUCAGCUAUAUGGUUUACCAAAAUGAGGGACUGAUUAUGGUCAUAAGUACCUUUUUCCUAUUAAUUUCUUGCAUGUGCUCUGCUGAGAUUAUGUUUUUGACAGUCCAAAUCAGGGCAAACCAACAAACAGCUUUAUGUUAACUUUUACAAACUGCCACAUUUUCAGGUUAAACGAACAGAGAUAAAUCUUGGUGAAACUAGAAGUAAUACAACUUGUGCUGUGGAGAUAAAAGAAAGGGCAGCGGCACUGGUGGCUGCAGAAAUUGAGGCAUGUAGAGACGAUAGAACCCCCAAGAUACCUCUUCAUGAGAAAGUCCAGAAAGAGUGGGCUUGUGCUGUAUGCCAGGUCACAACCCAAAGUGAAGCGACCUUCAAUUCCCACCUUCAAGGGAAGAGACAUCAGGCCACUUCUGAGCAGCUGAGAGCCAAAAACCAGGCAACCAAAACCAAUUGUUCCCCAUCUGCUUCAAUGGCCAAGAAAUCUGAUCAGUCCACCAAAGAGGAGCAACCGAAGUGUACUUCCAACAAUCUGAAUUCCAAAAACAAUGGAAUCUCAGCUGCUUCAACAGUGAAGAAACCUGAUGACACCAAAGAUGAUGAGCGACAAAAGUCUGCAUCUAGCAAUGAACCGAACCAGAAGAAUAACAAAAAGCAAGAGGUACAGACCAAUGAGCAAGGCCAUCAGAAGAACUUAAAGCAAACUGGCGAUGGAAUGAAAGAGUUGAGAUUAUGCUGCAAUAUCUGUAAUGUAAGCUGCACAAGUGAGCUUGACAUGGCCUCUCAUCUCAAUGGAUGGAGGCACUUUAAUAUGAUAAAGGAGGCGUCUGAAUUAUGGUGCAGUAACUGCAAUGUAAGGUGCAACAGUGAGGCUGUCAUGGCCUCUCACCGAAAUGGGAGGAGGCACUUGAAGCAGCUGAAGGAACGGUCGGGAUUAUAGUGCAGUAUCUGUAGCGUGAGAUUGUGUUAGGAAGAGGUGGAAUGGGUUCCAAUCAGGAAUUAAGACUCGGUUCCAAGACAUGGAAAGUGUCUUUAGAUUAUGUUAUCUCCAUUUUUUUUAUUGUGAGAGGGGAGUAUAAGGAAUGAAAAUAAAUAUAUAUAUAUUUUUUAAUAGAGAUGAAUUUGAUAAUUUUAAUUAUUGUGUUUUGAUGUAUUUAGGAAUGUAAAAUUAAAAUAAUUAUUUAUUUUCAUUUUAGUAUUUGACAAUAAUAAAAUUAUGAAUUAAAAAAUAAUGUGAUAAUAAUACAUUUAUAUUUAAUUUAAAAUAUUUUUUAUUUUAUUUUAGAAGAAUAUGGGUUAAAUUCUUUUUUUAAAUAAUAAGCUUAAGAAAAAUAAUUUUUACUCAAUAAAUAAAAUUAAUCAUAAAAAGUCAUAACAACCUAAUAAAAAUAUAGGGGUAAAAUAAUAAUUUUAAAAUAUUAUUUAAGUUAUCCAAACAAAUUUGACUCUUCAUUCUCUCUCUUGAACCAAAUACGGUCUUUUAAGCGUUUGUCAACUUAUUUUUUUUUGCAAAAUAUCAAUAUUUUACUAAUAUUUUUAUCGAUUAUUUGCCAAUAUUUAUCGCCACGUCACCAAUUCUUUGAGUUUGACUUUCAAAAUUUUGAAAUGAUAUUUGAAGUCCAGUUCAGCCCAAAUCACUACACCCAUGAUUUUUCCCUUUUCUUUUUCUCCUUAAUUUUCACAUCACCCAACAACACUACUCUUAAUUCACACAAAUUUGAAGGUUUGGAACGAGACUUCUUCCUAAUUAUAUUGUAAUUAUGUUAUAAUAACCAUGUCGUAUUUGGAUUUAUUUAUUCAGUCCAUCUAAAUCUUUUGUUUAUUCAUGUAAAAAGAAUAUAGUUAUAAUCGAAUCCAUUUGUGACAUAUUCAUCUUUUAUAAAUUUAUUAAUUUUAUAUAUUUAAAAACUAUAAAAAUUAAAUAUAUUUUUUCAAUUAUGAAUAUCAUAUUACUAAAAUAUUAAAUAACUAAUUAACUUGAAAUGUUUUAUAUUUCAUUCAUUAUUUUAUAAUUACAACAUUAAGUGAAAUAAUAAAUAGGUUAAAAUAUAUAUUUUAUUUUAGUUAAAAAUUAUAAAUUGUUAUUGAGACGUAUAACUAUUAAAAUUCUACCCAUUUGACCAUCAAACAAACAACUUAAGUUUUUAGUCAUAAUUUAAGCUUCUGAUAAACUCUAUUUCCAUAAAUUAGAAACCGAAAUCAAUUUCUUCUUAGACUCAAAAACAUAAAGACAAUCUUUUAAUUCUAGAAGACAUCUAUCAUUUAAGAUAAGGGUAACAUAUCCCAUUGCCUAAACAACAACUCUUGCUUCAAAAGCCAAUGUCAAGUACAUAUCCCUAUCAUUCAACCUUUCCCUUAGCUAAAACCCCUAUAAAGAAUUAUAAACAUAAUCAAUGGCUCCAAAAUUUAUCCACCAAGAGUUAGUGGAAUCCAACACUAAACAUAAUUCAACUAUAAGAGAAUGAUGCAUAGUUGACUAUCUCUUCAAGAACUAAGGACAUUCCUUCUUCUUCUAAUGGCAUUUUUUACCACAAAGGAAACACUUGUCAUGACCCUUACUCUUCUUCUUCUUCCCCUUAGCCUUAAACUUCCCCUUCUGCUUGAUGAACUCUAUAGUGUUCUUCUUAUUUUGGCUAGAAAAACCUAAAGAACCCUUAACUGCCAUAUAAAUACCUCUCUGGUCCUUGAGAAUUCCCUCAGUCAUUUUGUGUUCUCUCAUUAGUUCAAUUGUAGUUUAAGAAAAAUAAUGUUUUUUAUUUUAUUUUAUGUGAUUGAACUUGGAAUGAAUUUCCAAGUUGCAUACAUACUUGGGUUGAGAUCAAGUCAUAACGUAGUUUAAGAAAAAGAUUUUUUAUUUUUUAUGUGAUUGAACUUGGAAUGAAUCUCUAAGCUACCUACGUAUCCAAGAUGGGAUCAAGUUCUAACAUAGUCACAAUGCAGUUCAAGAUUUUUUUUUUUCUUUUUUUGUGCUCUAACUUUUGUCAAGACUAAAGAUCUUAAUCUUGCAAGCAUGUCCUAACUUUUGUCUAGGUCACCUUUCCAAGUUUUCAACUUAGCAAACAUUUUUUUUUUUUGUUCUCUAACGUUUGCCAAGACAAAAGAUUUUAAUCUUGCAAGCAUGUCAUAACUUUUACCUAAGUCAGAUUUUUAGGUUUUCAAUGUGGUGGAUUUUUUUGUUUUUUAUUUUUUAUUUUUUAUUUUUUGUGUCGUAGGCAAUUUAGCUCAUACGGCCCAGAAGCGAUGUGUAGUUUGUUGGGAUUCAACCCUUAAAAGCAAAACAUGAUGUAACAAAGUUAGACUUAACUAUCCCCUUGCUAUCAUUUUGGUGUAUUAACAUUGAUUUAAACAUUCAACUCAUAUUUUACAUUGUACAUGACUUAGGUGCAUUAGGAGUUGCUCAUAAGAUACAUGGAUUCCUUGUAAGUAGAUGAGUUAUCCAUAGUCAGUUCAUGGAUUUGGGCAAUCUAGUAGAGACUGUAAUGCACCACCUCUUAAUUGAAGAGAUGACUUGUCUUGACAGUUGGGAUAGGUUUCCUAUGGUGAGUGCACUAGUAUAUAUGAUGCACAUUGGAUAGGACCUACGGUAAAUCAUGAGCAAAGCUAUCAAUUGUCAUGAUUCACCAAGUUACGAUACUGCAUGGACUCUCAAUCUUGAGAGGACAUUGAACCUGUGCCAAAAUCAACAAAAAGCUUUCACCUAUAGAUGAGACCUUAAAGUGAUCAUAUAUCCCUAUGGAUUGAGUCACUAUUGAUGAAGGUUGGUGGUAAUAGGUAUUCUCAAUAGAGGCACCAUGAUAUCUCAUGAGAUUGAGACGGUGUGUCCCCUUGGGUGAUACAAAGGACAUGUGAUCAUAAAAUCUGUGACCAUAGUAAUUCUUUUAUUGAAAUUUGACAUAUACCCCUUCGAGCUAGAGUAUGUCAGUUGAUUACAUAAUAAGUGGCAUCUAUAACUUAAGGAUUUGAGAGGUAAUCUUGAUAGGUGAUAGCACUACCUUGUUAGAUUAUGGACACCAGUUCAUGGGGAAUCUACAUGCAGUGGAUGAUAUGUCACGAACGCGAGCUUCAUAUCGUUGUUAUUAACAUAGGAUACUGGAGUGCAAUUGAUUCUCUUUAGUAGAAUGUUGAAUCAACUUCAAAAUGGAUUAUGAGGGAGCCAAUACUCCUAUGGGUCUUAAUGGUCCCCACUCUGAGCUCAUAUACCAUGAUGACACAGUUUAUGAGGGUUUGAUUGGCUUUAUGUUCAUUUUUGUGCAUAAGGGCAUUUUGGUAAUUACACAAGGUUACAUAGGGGAUAGUCAAUAAGGUCUUUAGAUUGGGCCAAUUGAUUAAUUAGAUGACCUUAUGUGGUUAAUUAAUCAAUUAUGAUAUGUUUAGGCUAGAUUAAAUGACCCAAGCCUUGAUGAAUUUAAGUCACUUAAGCCUAGCAGAUAACCUUAUAAAUACCCUCUUAUGGGUUAGGGUUUCCUAAUGACUUUCAGUUAAUCAUCUUCCAUCCCUAGAAAGAGAAAGAGAGCCAAAUCUUUCUCCCUUCCAUUGCCCACACUUUGGUAUGCCAAGAUCAUGGUUCAAGUCACUGGGAGGAAGAUCUUGGGUGUACAAGACCUUCGGACUCUUUAAGUUUCUUCUUCGUUGGAUGAAUUUUUAUUUGGGACACAUCUAGAUCAUAAGUAUGUGUUAGAAAAUUUGGCUAAUUCAACUUAAGGUAAUCACUCUAGAGGAGGGGUGAAUAGGGUGAUGAUCUUUUUUUACAAAUUUAAAUUAUGUGAAUGCAAGAGACAAUUAUACUAUGCAAAUAUAUAGUAAAACCAUAUAAAAAUAAUUGCAUAUAAAGUACAAGGGUAGAAAAUAGAGAAUAUAAACACAAGAUUUUUAUAGUGGUUUGGUGCAACUCGGCCUACAUCCAUUCUCCUCUAGCUUCAAUCCCAAGUUUGAGGUUCCACUAAUUCAAGGCUUCCAACCUAACCCUUCAAGCAAUACAAUUGGAUUAUGGUUCCAAUCAAACCUUUUGGACUUUUGGCUCUAAGCACCUUUUACAAUCUUUGAUUCGUGCCUAACUGGUGUUUGCCCUGUUGAUUGGUGUUCAAUCAACUGAUGUGCUUUGAUUUCAGUCCUCAGACGAGAGUAAUCAACAAAAUUUAUAAACCUAUUUCACCAUAUACUAGGGUAGCAUUAGCUAGCAUAGCAUAGUGGCUCUAGGAUCGUCCACAGGGAUGGGUUUUCAAAUUACAAUUGAUAUUAGUUCAAAAACUGAAUUGGUGUUUUUUCUUUUCAAGGUUAGCUUUAAAAGAAAACAUAAGUAUGUGUGAAAAGGUUGGUUUUAAGUGAAACCAAAAAUAAAGUAACUGAAAUUACUUACAAAGAAAAGUGCUUCUUGGAGUUUUAGAUCACUAGGCUCAAGUUCCUUAUACAAAAAGAGAGAUUCCGAUCACUUGGAUCUUUUCCUAGCAUUGGGGAUUUAACAUAUAGUUAUUUCCCGAACCGGUGCGGUACAGAUGCUUCCCCUUAAUGGUUUCAAACACUAAAUCUCUAUCACUGAAUCAUCUUGUAAUGGUUCAUACCUCUCACCUGGUAUUGGUCAUUUAAGGUGAUCAUUAACCUUGGAUUACCCGUCAAAAGCUCGCAAAAGAUAACUAAUGAAUGUCUCCUAGGAGUCCAAAAGCUUACCAAGUGUUGGCUAUUCUAGAUAAUCCUACCUUUAAACCAUCUCCCAAAAGCUCGCAAGAGAUAAACUAGUGGAUCUCAAUGGACGGAGUCCACUUGCCUUACCAAGUGUUGGCCCAAGUGAUUUUAAGGGAUUUUAAGUUAACUAAAAAGAUAAAAACCAUUAACGGGUCACACUUUCUCUUCAUUAAAACCUGAAACAAUGAAACUUCCACUUUUGUAUACGAAACCUUACCUAGCUUCCUUCACUCCAAGAAACAAAAAGCCUAGCCACUCAUCCUCUAGGAAAACAUCCUCAGAGUUUGAUUUGGUAGAAAUAAAAAUAAAAGAGAAAACCAAAUGUGAAGGUAAGGCCGAGCAGAGCUCUGUGUAUUACUUUAUGAAAAACUAUACAAAAUUUGUCUCUAAGAGAAACUCCCCCGAGAUCUCUUUUAAAAGAAAAUUACAAUAGAUAUCAUAUAAAGAGGCUAUUCACCCCUCUUGCUAACUUCCCAACCAUGAAAACUUGUCAAUGGUGGGUUACAAGGAGAAAAUAGGGAUUUACACACAAAUAUUUGAAGAUAAACAUCAAACUGAGUCGGUGCGCAAAUAUCUCAGAUUACAAGUGGAUUUCGCAAGUUCAAACGCAACUUGCAAAAAUUUUGCAAGUUGAAAUUAUGGUUUCGCAAGUUGCGAAAUUGUCCUGCAACUAAUCAGCUCUCUGUCCUACAACAAUUCCUUUCCUCUUCCUAUUUCGCAAGUUGUGAGAAUUUCGCAAGUUGGAUUCCACAACUUGCAAAAUUGUUGGAUGGUUGAUUUCUUUUGUGAUUUUCUUCCUUGCAUCCUCAUUUGGCUUUGGCAAAGGGUUAUGAAGCUCCAAAGCUUAGUUUCUUCAUGAAUUUGAGCUUCAACUUGCUUUGCCAUGAACUAUACAAAGAUCUCCCUCAUUCUUGGAUUGCUUUGGUGAUAAAAAAGCUAUGAAAAACACCAAAACUUAACACAAUUUGAUUAGAAACGAUUGUAAGGGUCUUUAACAUGCCAAUUGAGUUAAAAGGUAAUAGCUACUACUCAAAAGUGUUUAAAAGAGUUAAUUACAAGCUAUAAAAUGACCCUUUUUGAAGUUCAACCCCUUAAGUGAUACCCCUUAAGUGAUACCCCUUAAUUCAAGAGAUGUCUUACUCUUAAACAACCCCUUAAGUGAUACCCCAUACUUGAGAUUCCCUAAGUGAUGCCUCACACUUAGAUUUUUCAUCUCAAAGAUUUACAAAUGAAGAUAGGAAAUAAUCUCACAAAAUCUUAAUACAAAACAUUAGGCUCAAAUGAUACAAGAUAAACUAUGAUUGAAUGGUGCACUAAUAAUAUGCAAGUUUUAAAACAAUGAGUACUAAAAAACACUCUCCUAAGGUUCAAAUAUAUUCAAGAAAGAUUUAAGAAGGUUAAACUCUUGAAACAAUAAAGAUUGAAACCUUUUUAUGGAGGAGAAAUGCCAAACUAGUUGUUGGGGGUUUGUCCAGUCGAGUUCUGGUUUGACCGGUUCACUAACCGUUAGCAUUUAAUGCAUGAUAGGUGAUCAUUGGGCCUUGACCAUCCCUCGACCAGUACUCAACCGGAUAAAGUUCAACCUUAAUCAAUCGAAUAAGCAUUCUAGAAUAGAGAGAAGGUUUUUGCACCUUUCAAUCAGUUGAGUUGAACAAAUAGACGGAUUCCUUAUCCAGUUCAACCGGUUGAGCCAUUUUUGGCUCAACAAUCAUCAUUUUCAACUUAAAACCUUUUAAACAAGUUUAGAAAGCAUUUGACACAAGGAUUUAGUUGAAAACAUUAAAUCAUCCUAUUUUUAAAAGAUUUAAAACAAAAUACCUCUUGAAUGAUUUUGGUGUAUAAGUAAAUAAUGUAAUGCAUGAAAAACCCAGUGCGCCAACAACCUUACAAAGAGAUCUUAUGAGGCUUAGGUAUUGAAAAACACUUCUCUUUAAGGCAGACAACAUCGUGUGAAUACCAAAGGGGAACUCUACGUUCCUAGGGAAAGAUGCCUCGUCAGUACGUCUUGAGGUUGUUCACUAACUUCGGGGUUACCGGCUUUGAGAGGAGCCCUUUGAUGACAUUUGGGCAUGCAACUCUUCAUUUUCUUCCUUGAUUCGCCUUGUUUGGUGGAUCAAAGAUUGCAUAUGCCAGUCAUUUUUGCACUAGGUUCUCUCCAUGCUUUCACGCCAGCCAAAGUAGCUUUCGUUACCCAUAGUUGAGGAUCGGCUUCUAAAGGGUACUAACAUCCUUAGUCAUUCCCACAGAUGACACCAAUGUUGGUUCUGAGUCGGCUGAAGUCAAAUUCAUCCAACUUAACGGAAGUUUGACAACCUUCCUCCAUUUUUUGUGCCUCUUAGAGAAUCCACCUAGCAGUAAUGAGAUUGGGCGAACUCCUUUCUUGCACAAAAGAAUGUUCAGAUGAGUACUUCGGGUACGCCCUUCGAAGCUUAAGUGAGGCAAAAAUAGCUCAAACUACUUAAUGAGAGAGAGUGGAUAGGUGAAUAUGUGCCUACCUUGUUCGUGCUUUUUGAGGGGUUUAUAUAAUGUUGAUGAGAAUGCCACUAUAGUGCUUACUAGACACUUUAACUUUCUUCUAUAAUGAUGAUUGUCUUGCAGGCGGUUGGGCAAUCAUCAAAAUUUUGGGUGGCUGAUAGGUGCCAUCAACUAACGUGCCAUGAUCUUAGACCAUGCAGUAACCUGUUCCCUCAGUCUGUUGAUGGCCUAAGGUUAUGUGCAACAAUUAAUUGACAUGGACUUGAGGGCUAGAAGAGGUCCCAUCGGCCGUUCACAUGUCAAGUGUGAAUGAUCACUCAUGCUAGUGGGUCUUGAAGAUUUGACUAGACAACCUUACCUAUUUGGGAGGUCCAACCUCCCAUUGCCGUUGUUUUGGCCUUAUAGGAGAAAAGGGCUUUCUCAUGUAUGGUGCUAGAGGGACUAGUCGUGAUCCAGAUGAGUUGCAUACCCAUGCUAGAUGGUCGAAGUGUCCGGGUUGGAAAUGGAGGGAAGCCUCCCACAAAUAUGAGGGAGCCUUAUGAAAACGGAUCCUUAGGGCUUAAGAAGGGGUUUUCAAUUUUAAGGUUUGCCUUUUCACCCAAGGAUGUGAAUGGGAAGAUGAGGCGAAGUUAAAAGAUUGGUGAAGCAAAGUGAGGGCAAGGUAGGGUUUGAAUAAAGGAAAGUAUACACUAUUAAUGAAGAUGAUAAUCUCUAGAAAGAAAAACUAAGGUAAACUAGGGCUUUAAUAAUAAUUUUCAAUCUACACUAGUGAAGAGGAUAUCUUCGAAAACCAAAGUUAGGGCUUCAAUAACGAAUUUCAAUCUACAAUGGUGAAGACAAUAAUCUUCGAAAACCAAAUCUAUAAUGAUGAAGAUGAUUGAAAACUAAAUCUAUACUAGUGAAGACGAUUGGAAAGCAAAUCUACACUGGUGAAGACAAUGAAACCAAAUGUAGGUCUUCUAAACUAAACGCUUUUAAGGAUUUUCCUUUUUUUUUUCCUUUGUUUUCAAGAAAGGCAAACUCUUUAGAAAACUAAAAAAACUAAUGCAUUCUUAGAUCCAGAUCACUAUUUCCAACAUGGUAUUUGGAUUGCCAGCUUGCAUUUUUUAUUUUUUUAUUUUUUUAAUAGUCAUUGGCAUUUUAGGGAUUAUUGAAGGAUAAUAUCAUUCAGCUCAAUUUCCCAAAUUAGUUAGGUCUUACACUCAAAUGUGAAACUUAUAUGGAUGUUAGGCCAAUUAUCAAACUCAUCUGCCCUAAAACAUAAUUUCCCUUUUUUAAAAUAGUUGUUAAACAUCUAUCCCAAACACGUUUAACCCUUUGAAUUGCUUGUAUGUUAACCUUGUUUCCUUUUCUUCAUGCAACAUGGCUUAUUGAUGGUUGCAUUGAAUCAUUAUCAUUCACCAAUUCCAUGCAACUAUGGACUACAUUUCAAAUCCCUCGAACAUAAAUGGUAAUUCCAAAACAACUCAAGUAUAAUCUUUUCAACCCUUUCAAAUGAUUUAAUUAAUUGAUUUUUGAAUAUAUUCAUAUAUUUUUUUGAGCAAUUUUUAGGCAUAUAACAUAAAUCUCUUUUUUAUAUAUAUAUAAAAGGUUUUAUAUUUUAUAUUACAAUUUCCUUUUGUUUUUUCAUCUAAAAAACAAAACAUAAAACCUUAAUAAACGAGUUUUGUCACAAUCCCUUAACAAGUAAUCUAUUUUUUAAAUUACUUUAACAUUUUUAGAUAUAUUGAUUCAAUCUAAUUUACUUUUAAUAUUUUUUAUAAAAUAUUUUUACUUUAUAUGACUAUAAAUUAAUUACUAUUGAUUGCAUAUUAUAGAAUAUAUAUUCUAAAAUAUAUCUUAUUGACAAUAUAAUCAUAAGAUGUUAUAUCCAUAUCCUAACAUAUUAUAUACUUUUAUUUUGUGCAAUUAGCAACAUGGUGGGAAGUGGCAAGCAGCUUAACGGAAAUGUCAUGUGCCAAUGUGCCAUGCGUGUCCCUUCCCUUAGUGAGUCUGAACUGCUCCAACAUUUCCGACAUGUUAUUUUUUACUUAGCUCUUAAGUAUUUUCGUCUCGUUUUCGUUAACCCCAUCACAUUUCGCCACAUGGAUCUAAGCCUCAUGGUCCUUUCGUUCGUACAAUGAAUGUUCCCCCAAUUCCUUAUCUACACUAAAACUCCAUACUCGCCAUCUACUCAACCACUUCUCUACUCUAGAGUUUGGGUCCUUUAUCUCUGCACGUGUCUAUGGCUUUUCACCCCAACAAGUAUGGCAUUACAAGGGCAAUAUCGUCAUUAAAGACCCAAAAGGGAAACCAAUGGCAUUAUCUUCCUUUUGGUCUAUUCUAUUUAUAUUGUAAGUUAUUCGUGAUGACUUCUCCCAUAAAAGCUAAAAACCACUCCAAUAGAGCACACUUCACUUCUUCAUUUUUUUUUUUCCAGAUAAGCUCAGAAAGCCCAGCUCAUCCCUCAACUCCCCGAUGGGUUUGAUGAAUGUUCUUAAAUUCUCAACUGCAUGCUUUGAUCUUCUUAUCUGGUAUAUUGUCCACGCAUUUUCUUGUCAUUGGAAAAUUUUGGAAAAUGAAAUGGAAUUCUAUGUUUGAUGACAAAACUGGGAUUUGCUUUGAUUUCUCCAUGUUGGUUUUAUCCCUUUUGUUUGAAUUGUCCACAUUCUUGUCAUUGGUUGUUAGUUAUUUGUUUGGAUUUCUACUUGUAGGCCUCUGUUUGCACUGGGUUAUCCUCUAUAAAUCUUGGUCUUACACACCAAGAUAUGAUGAUUCAUUUACUCUUUUCUUGUUCUAUGAAUUCUUAGUUCUGUUACAUUUAUUGGGUUGGAAAACUGAAAAAGGAAAGGAUUAUUCGUUAUUAUCAUAAUAAUCAUCAACGUCAUCUCAAUUAUUCACAGAUGUGCAUCAAUUCAGGUAAUUGAGACUAACUCGAUCUCAGACAUUCAGAAGUUGGUGGCAUAUUGGGUUCUAUUUUCCUUGAUUUCACUUUUUGAUCGUACUUUUUCCAAGCUCCUUGAAUGGUAAUUUUGUUCAACUUCAUUCCAUCAUAUGUGGCUCUAUUUGUUUCAUUUCUUUGCCCUUCAGGAAUUUGGAGUUGCCUUUUUUAGUUUUCUUCCCUGUGAAAAUAAUCGAGAUGUUUAAUGUUCCAAGCCUCCAUGUAUUUUAUUUUCCUUCAUUUCUCUGCUUUGAUAAAUCCCCAUGAUUUGAUCAGCAAAAAGGCUAUAACAUUUGACAAAGAAAUGCUUUAUUUUGGUUUUUUAAGUACAACAAUUUUCAUUUGGAGAAAUGGUCUAAAGGGUAUCGGUGUUUGGAUGAAUCAUGGAAUUUUCUCGCUAAUUUGGGAUUUAUUCUCAAUUUCAAUAUCAUUGUGGAUAUUUCAAAAAUUAAUGAAAUAUAUAUGAUGGAAUGUGAUUUUCUUGUUUAAGAAAAGUUUUUCUUUAAAAAUUUAGGUAACCCUGACCUACCUUAUUGUGCUACUCGAAACACAAAACAAAAGUACAAGUAAUUUAGUAACUAAAUUGCACACUUUUUGAUAGUUCAAGGAAGUGGUGUUAGCUUUGGAAAUAAGAUGGAUCUACUAGUUUUUAUUUCUCAUCUUUAUAGGGAACUUUCCAUAAUAUAGCUUAUAAAUACCAUAAUCACAGUGAUGAAUAAUUGUCUUGUUUGAAAGCAUGGUUGCACUUAUUUGCAUGGAAUUUGUCUGCGUUGAAAUUAAAUUAAGCUUUAUGCAUCAUUUGGAUGCUGAGAAACAAAUGAAAAUAGAAAAUUCAAAAUUUGACAAGUUUGUGUAGGGAAAUUGGAUCUAAUCUCUUAAUCGAAGCUUAAUUAGGGCAAAUGUUGAUCCUCUUUGGACCUAUUGAAAGCUCUAAUCUGUGCACAAUUCUAAUGUUUUUGUUUCCUUAAUUUCUUUUUCAACUUUUCAACAAAGCAUCAAUUUGCUAUAAUAAAUGAGAACCAACUUGACGAUGAGAAAAAUGACUGGUGAUGAUGUCAUAGAGAAUCGCAGAUGAGAACAACCAAAAAUACUAGGAUUGGUACCACUGAUGGUAAUGAAGAAAACACAAAAAUGGUGCAAAUGGUGAACAGGAAACUCAAAAUGGAAUGGGAAAAGAAACCUAAACAAUAGUCUCCUAUAUAAAGCACACAACAUGUACAUCGAGGCAUCUGAAAGGACACGCUGCCUGAGAAGUCACUCUAAUUGAUGUGACUCCUCAUGACGUGGGUGGUGGACAUAUGUCCCAUGGUGCCAAAAAUUUCAAACACUCAAGCAACCGAAUACUUUCACUUAGUCAUUUAAAGCCUAGCUAGACUCAAUUGCAAGAAUUAAGGGCAUUGUGGGAUGCUCACCACCGUCUAUCAUGGUCCUCAAACACUGUCUGGUGUGAGACAUAUUGGCACAAGAGCCAUGUAGCUUCUCUAUCCACCCCAAGAUACUCCUAGGGUAGCAAACGAACACAAUCCGACCAAACACUAUGCAUUCCUACCCUACAAGCAUUAAUUUCAAUGAGCAAUAAGUGUAUUAACACAUUAAUGAAUGCAACCGUUAUAACGCUAAAACGCCAUACUUUAAGGUUCAUCAAGACACAACAACCAUUAUGGGCCGACAAUUAUUGGCGUUAAAUAUGGUAAUGCGCAAUCAAAGGCUCAAUUAAGGCCCUUUAGAAGACGUUACUAUUGGGCAAAGAUAAAUAACCAUUUUUUACCACAAGAAAGUCUGAUGCCAUUUUUUUCACAAAAACUUUUGCUUAAGUCUUCCAUCUCUAACCUAAGCUUUGAAGGGGUGUACUUGGAAAACCUAUCCGAACAUUCCUUUAUGUAGGUGCAAUCAUCGUUUAUGUCACGCGAAGGCUAGUCAAAGACCUUUAUUGGUCGUGCACCAAUAAAUCUAUUUAGUAUAUCUCAUUUAUCCGUUCAAGUGAGAUGAAGGAGUGACCUAAAGAUAGAUUGGAAACAUCAUAGUUUCUUAUAUUGGUAAGGCAGCAACAACCUCGGCUAGUGCAUCAACCUGCUCGUUUUCCUCUAGGGGUACGCGUUUGAUAAACCAUUCAUUCAAUUUUUCUGUUCAAGUGUACCAAAGAGAGGUAAUGAGCCAUGCAUUCAUCUCAAGCUUCAUAUUUUAGUUAGAUUUGUUCACCCACUAGUUGUGAAUUGCUUUUGAUUUCUACUUUCAUGGUUGUGAGAGCUAAGGCUAGAUCGUCUCAUAAGAAUUGCUUCAUAUUUUGCCUCAAUAUUAGAUACUGGAAAGUUGAGACAGACGACUUGUUCAAUUUGCUCUCCUGUAAGGAAUUGUUGUGUUAGUCCUAUCCUAGCUUCUGAUGUUCUAGAGGCUUCGUCUACAUGGAGAACACGCCAUUGUUCUUCAUUGUUAGACCUUGUCCAUUUUUGGGGUGGUUCGACUAUGAAAUCAAUGAGAACUUGCUAUUUGAGAUACUAAUGAGGUUUGUACCGUAUGUAAUAUUCACUCAAUUUGAUUGCCCAAUUCACCAUUCGACUAGAUAGAUUUAGCUUGUGCAACGUGACCCACAACGGUUGAUUUGUCAAGACCGUUAUUUGGUGCGCCUGAAAAUAUGGACAAAGCUUCUUGGCAGCGAUCCGUAAGUUCAGAGCCAUUUGUUCCACUUAAGAAUAUCGUGUUUUUGUGUCAAUCAUAGCUUUUCUCACAUAGUAAAUAAGUCUUUGUUCAUUACUCUAAUUGUGUGGAAACAAUAUGACAUUGACAGCAAAGUUUGACACAACCAGGUACAUGUAUAACUCUUCUCUAGCUUCAAGACUACUUAAGAUUGGUGGCUUCGUAAGAUACUGUUUGAUGUCUUUAAAGGCAUGCUCACACUCAUCCAUCUAACUAGACAUCUUUGCUCCCUAGAGUUUGCUCAAGAAAGGUCUGAGCUUAUUUAUGAAGCGUGUUAUGAACCAACCUAAGGUGAUUAGACACCCAGUUAGACGUUGCACUUCCUUCUUGCUAGUAGGAGCAGGGAUUUCUAACACUACUUUCACUUGAGCCAGAUCGACUUCAAUACCCCCUUUGAGUCACCAUGAACACAAGAAACUUCCACUCACUUACUCUAAAUGCAUAUUUUAUUGGAUUAAGCUUCAUGUCAUACCUGCACAUUAAACUGAAUGCUUCUUCCAAAUGGAGGAGCUUCUUGGAACGAGUUAUUCUCUUAAUGACAAUGUCAUCGAUAUAGACUUCCAACGUUCGACCUAUCAAGGGCUUAAAAAUAUGGGUCAUCAACUGUUGGUACGUAGCUCCAAUGUUCAUUAACCCAAGCGACAUGAUCUUGUAAAAGUACAACUCCUUAUGUGUAAUAAAUGUCAUCUUCUCUUUGUCAUGUGGAAACAUUGGUAUCUGGUGGUAUCCAAAAGAAGCAUCAAGAAAAGACAACAUUCCAUGCCUGGUUGUGGCAUCGACUAUCUAAUCUAUCUAGAGCAAUGGGAAGCUAUCUUUCAAGCAGACUUCAUUCAUAUCCACGUAGUCUGCGCACACCUGCCAUUUUUCUCCUUUCUUGGUACCACUACCACAUUUGUUAACUAGUCCAAGUAGGUCACCUCCUUGAUAAAUCUUCCUUUUAAUAGCUUCUCAACUUCUAUCUAGAUAAUUUUUUGAUGAUCCAACUAGAAACGUCAGACUUUAUAUUGUAUGGGUCGUGCUGUAGGAAGAAGGUUCAACUUAUGAGAGCUCACCGCUAGGUCUAUUCCAAGCAUUUCCGAAUGAAUCCACACGAGGAUAUCCUUGUUUUUACAAAGCAUUUCACCAACAUUACCACAUUCAUCCCUAGUUAGCAAAAAAUUAGCGUAAGUCAUCUGCUUAUUAUUUUUCGACAAAGAUAGCUAUUGUAAUAGGCUGAUUGCCAAUGAGUCUCUAUCCUCUAGUUUUCCUUCGACCUAAUUCUAUAAUUGUUAUUAGCUCUCUCUUGAUGAUUUGAGUUCAUCUUUAGUUGGGCCUGAACUCCAUCGCCACUUAGUAACACUACUAGGUGGCUAAUUGGAUUCCAUGUGGAUCCACUUACCCAAAUUCUGUCAGGUAGCUCACCAUCUUAUGAUAGGUGGAUGGAAUAACUUUCAUCUUAUGUAGGUACGACAACCUUAUGAUGGUGUUGUACGACGGUAAAUCCUCUACUAUAGAAAAUCAUACGUUGAGAGUAGGCGGGUUGGCUUGGACAAGAAGUACCACGUCGCAUAGUGAUAUUGUGGCAACCCUAUUAAACCCAAACAAAAGUCGAACUAGAUUUUCUAAGGCAGAUGACGAACAUCCCAUUUUCCUGUAGGUUGACAUAUGCAAUAAAUUGGAAUGAUCAUUUUAGGAAGGAUCACUUGAUUAAUGUUAAUUGAAGGGAAAGUGAUUGGGUCAUUGACUGGUCGGGCACUUUCGACAGUAAAUGUGCACUGAACUGCACUUACUCUUUCCCUCCCUGUAGUCGCACAGAGCAUUCGUCUCCUUUGUUGUUUGGAGUGAUAUUUGUCAUCUACUAUUUCCCCAUGGAUAUAGUUAAUCACUACUCGAUGUGUUGUGGGAGAGUCAGGAACUCACUCUGACACUUCACGUGUCAUUUCUUUAUGUCCACCAGUUGCUCAGACAUACAACUUGAGAUGUCCGGUAAUGAUUAGUUUCUCCACCAAGUAGUGCAAAUUUUUGCACUCUUCUGUGGUGUGCCCAUGCUCCUUAUGAUAGAAUCAUCGCAAUCCUCGAUCAUGCUUGGACGAAUCAGUUUUGAUGGGCUCUAGCCACUUGAACUCGAGCAGCUCUCAAAUCAAGAGGAGAAUUCUAUCAUAAAAAAUGGUCAACGGGGUGAGCCUAGGCGAUUAUCAUUGUUGUUGUCUUUCUUGUCCUUGAUUAGUCUAUCUAGACUGGCUUGAGGGCUUUAAGCUCUUAGCCUUCUUUUUUAAUUGCUCGGUUUAUAACCAGGAUUUGUUGAGAGGUUACCUAAACAUCCUCCUCAAGCAUGACAUGUUUGCCCACUCGUCUAAAUAGGUCAUUCAUUGUAGUGGGCAACUUUUUGGCCAUGGACUUGAAGAAUUGAGUGCUUGGACUGAUGAUCCAUUUGAAGAUCUGCAGGAUAGCAUCCAUGUUGUAAGAUUCCAUCUAGAACACCGCUUGUCUGAAUCACUUCAUGAAGUCCCUUAGCGAUUCAUUCUCCUACAUCUGAAUGUUCUAUAAGGUGCUUAUAUUCUGCUUUUGGCGAGCAAAACAUAAAUAAUGGCCCACAAAGGCCUCUAAAACAUCUGUCAUCUGUUGUUGGAAGUGCAUCAGGUGAACAAAAGAGUCACCAUCCCAUAGUAAAUAGUAAAUUUGGGCACCGGAAACCCCUGGGCAGCUCAUAACUAAUGAUAUGUGGGUCAAACGACAUGAAGAGCAUGUCAUCCAAUCAUCUACUUAUGGAGUCAAGAGGGGCUUUUGUCAAUGGGUUAUUUGUCGAUUGUAGUUCUAGUAUUGAACAUUAAGGCAGACGGCUUGGUGAUGCCUCAUCGUUUGAUUGGCCUAAUUGUGCUUUCAAGGCCUCCAAUAUGCAUGGCGAUGCUAGUGUUCUUCUCUCCUGAUACCCAAGAUAGGCUUUCAGGGCAUCUGAGAGACGUAAGCCCCAUUCUUAACCCAUUUUCCAUUUUUCUCCAAUAGAGCUUGCAACCUCUUUCGCUUGAGUUCGAUCGACUACUGAAUGCACUAGUUCAAGUAAUGUUAGCGAACUGCUAGUAGACAAUCCCUCAUCCACUGUUUGUAGAGACGACUUAGUGUAUCAUUGAAGAACUUUCAUUGUUUGGCUUCAAACUACUCUUGAAGUCGUCUAUUGGUUGGAGGUACGAUGACUUUUUUAUCAGCACCCCAUAGCCACUUGUGCUCGUAGCUCUUGGUUCUCUUGCUGUAGUUGUUCUGCCUGUUGGACAGGGACUACAUAGGUUAUUCAUAUUCUUCUUGCUUUUUUUCUAUCUUUCCUUGCCAAGCUUGGAAUCGCUCGUCAACAUUUGCAGAAUGAGUUGCAGGAGGCGUGUUAACCAUCGUGUUUUUUAGGCAUUUGUGGUUGAUUCCCAUAGACAAUGCCAAUGUUGGUGCACGACCAGUAAAAAAAGGUGUUUGGCUAGUCUCCAUGUAACAUAGAUGACGAUUGCACCUGCACAAAGGAAUGUCUGAAUGGGUUUUUCAGGUACACCUUUCCAAAGCUUAGGUCAGAAAUGGAAGACUUAAGCAAGAGUUUUUGUGGAAAAAUUGGUAGCAUACUUUUCUUGUGGUUAAGAAUAACUAUUUAUCUUUGUCCAACUAUAAUAUCUUCUCAGAUGCCUUAAUUGAGCCUUUGAUUGUGCAUUAUCAUCUUUAAUGUCAAUGAUAGCCAACCCAUAAUGGUUGUUGUGUCUUGAUGAACCUUAAAGGUUGGCGUUUUAACCUCAUAAUGAUUGCAUCCAUCAAUGCGUUAAUGCACUAAUUGCCUAUUGCAAUUAAUGCUUGUUGGGCAAGAAUGCAUAGUGCCCGAUUAGAUUGUGUUUGUUUGGUACCCUAAGAGUACCCUGGGGUGGACAAAAAAGCCACAUGGCUCUUGUUCUAACAUGUCUCGACUAGACAGUGUUUGAGGAUCAUGUUAGAUGGUGAUGAGCAUCCCACAGUGAAGACGUAUGAUGAAAGCAAAGGUAGGGCUUCUAAACCAAACGCUUUUAGGGAUUUUUUUUUUUUUUUCAACAAAGUUGACCUCUUCAAGGAAAAAAAAAAAGGUUAAAAAAACUAUUGCUUUUUUGGAUCCAAAUCACCAUUUCCAAUGUGAUAUUUGGAUUUCCACCAUGUAUUUUUUUUUUUUUUAACAGUCAAGGACAUUUUAUGGAUUAUUGAAAGAUAAUAUCUUUCAACUUAAUUUCCUACAUUAAUUAAGUCUUAGGCUCAAAUGUGAAACUUAAGUGGUUGUUAGGCCAUCAAACCCAUCUGCCCUAAAGUAUAAUUUCCCAUUUUCAAAAUAUAUAGUUGUUAAACAUCUAUCCCAAACUAUUGUAACCCUUUGAAGUGCUUGGUAUGUUAACCUUGUUUCCUUUUCCUUAUGCAACAUGGCUAAUUGAUUGUUGCAUUGAAUCAUUAUCAUUCACCAAAUCCAUUCAACUAUGGACUUACCUUUCAAAUCCCUCUAACAAAAAUGGUAAUUCCAAAACAACUCAAGUCUAAUGUUCUCAACUCUUUCAAAUGAUUUAAUUAAUUGGUGUUUGAAUAUACCUCUUAUAUUUUUUUAGAGCAAUUUUUAGGCACAUAACAUAAAUUUCUAAUUUUUUUUUAGAAAAGGUUUUAUAUUUUAUAUUUUAUAUUACAACUUCCCCUUUUUUUUCCAUCUAAAAAACAAAACAUAAAACCUUAAUAACCGAGUUUUGUCACAAACCCUUAACAAAUAAUCUAUUUUCCAAAAAUUACUUUAACAUCUUUAAACAUAUUGAUUUAGUAUACUUUACUUUUAAUAUUUUUUGAAAAAUAUUUUUAUUUUAUAUGAUUAUUAAUUAAUUAAGAUUGAUUGGGUAUGGUAGAAUAUAUAUUCCAAAAUACAUCGUAUUGAGAACAAUAUCACAAGAUAUUAUAUCCAUAUCUUAACAUAUUAUAUACUUUUAUUUUGUGCAAUUAGCAAUUGGACGGAAGGUAGGGAGCCGGCUUAAUGGAAAUGUCGCAUCUCACGUGUGUCCCUUCCCUUACCAAGUCUCAACAAAGGAUGAAAAUAUCGGUAAUCACGGAUAUAUCGGUACUUCGAUUUUACGGAUAUAUUAGAUAUAUCAGAGAUAUAUUGACGGAUAUUUUGGAAAAAAAUAUCGAUAAGCCUAAAAUUGAUCAAAAUUUAUAAAAAUAUAAAAAAAACUUCAUAAAAAUGUAAUUAAAAGAAGGUCGUAUAAGUUACUCAUGUUGAUCAUGUGAUAUAUCACGAGAUAUAAUCGAUUUUUGGGAAUUUCUCACGAAAAUAUCGCGACAUUUCUUCCUUGUCUCGACUGCUCCAAGAUUUCCUAUACGCCCUUCUUCGCUUAGCUCUUAAGUCUUUUCUUCUCCUCUUCCUCAAACCCAUCACAUUUCGCCGCGUGGAGCUAAGUCUCAAGGUCCUUUUGUUCGUACGAUGUAUGUUCCCCCAAUUCCUCAUCUACCUUGAAACUCCAUACUCGCCAUCUACUCAACCACUUCUCUACUCUAGAGUCUGGAUGCUUUAUCUCCGCGAGUGUCGAUGGCUCUUCACCCCAGCGAGUAUGGAAUUACAAGGGCAAUAUCGUCAUUAAAGACACAACAGGCAAACCAAUGGCAUUGUCUUCCUUUUGGUCUAUUUUAUUUAUGCUGUAAGUAUUCGUGCUUGACUUCUCCCGCGUCUCUUAUAAAAACUAAAGAAAACCACUCCAACAGAGCACACUUCAAGAAUCUUCUUUUUUUUUUUCUUUCCUCUUUCUCUUUACAUAUAUACUGAGAAAGCCCAGCUCAUCCCUCAAUUCCCAGAUGGGUUUUAUGAAUGUUCUCAAGUUCUCAGCUGCAUGCUUUGAUAUUCUUGCCUGGUAUGUUGUCCACGCAUUUUCUCGCCAUUGGAAAUUUUUGGAAAAUGAAGUGGAAUUCUCUGUUUGAGGACAAACAUGGGAUUUUCUUUGAUUUCUCCCUGUUGGUUUUAUCUAUAUUCUUUGGAUUACCCACAUUCUUGUCAUUGAUUGUUAGUCAUUUGUUUGGAUUUCUACUUGCAGGCCUCUAUUUGCACUGGGUUAUCCUCUGUAAGUCUUGGUCUUACACCUCAAGAUAUGAUGAUUCAUUUACUCUUUUCUUGUUCUACGAAUAGUUCAGUUACAUUUAUUGUGUUGGGAAACUGAAAAGGGAAAGGAUUAUUCUUUAUUAUCGUAAUAAUCAUCAACAUCAUCUCGGUUCUUCACAGAUGUUCUUCAAUUCGGGCAAUUGAGACUAACUCAAUCUCAGACUUUCGGAAGUUGGUGGCGUAUUGGGUUCUAUUUUCCUUGAUUUCACUCUUUGAUCAUGCUUUUUCCAAGCUCCUUGAAUGGUAAUUUUGCUCAACUGCGUUCCACUAUAUGUGACUCUGUUUGUUUCAUUUCUUUGCCCUUAAGGAAUUUGGAGUUGCUUUUUUCAGUUUUCUUUCCUAUGAAAAUAAUCGAGAUGUUUAAUGUUCCAGGCCUCCAUGUAUUUUAUAUUCCUUCAUUUCUCUGCUUUGACAAAUGCUCACAAUCUGAUCAGCAGAAAGGUUAUAACAUUUGAAAAAGAAGUGGUUUAUUUUUGUUUUUUUUAAGUACAAUAAUUUUCGUUUGGAUAAAUGGUCUGAAGGGUGUUUGUGUUUGGCUGAGUUCAUGGAAUUUUCAAGCUAAUUUGGGAUUUAUUCUCAAUUUCAAGAUCAUUGUGGAUAUGUCAGAAAUUAAUGAAAUAUAAAUGGUGGAAUGUGAUUUUCUUGUUUAAGAAAAGUUUUUCUUUGAAAAUGCGGGUGCACCAGACCUACCUUAUUGNNNNNNNNNNNNNNNNNNNNNNNNNNNNNNNNNNNNNNNNNNNNNNNNNNNAUCAGAUUCAACUGUGAUAGCCCGGAAUUUAAUUCAGUAUUCGACUCUUCUGGGAACAUGUUGGUUAUGGUUUCUCUCUCACUGUCCUCUUCUUUACACAUGACUUUUCAGUUGAGGAGCACAAAGCCUAAUGUUGAAGUGAAAGAGAUCAAAGCACCUGCAGCACCGGAGAAAAAAGGGGAACAGGUAAGUACUCUAAUGUGGCUAUUUAAUUUCUAUGGAGGCAGAUCCCCAGAGAAAUGCUGUUCAUGUAAAUUACUGAUGCAUUUGAUUCAAUGGCCACGGUUUUAAAAGAAAAACCACUUUAUGUAUGUUUCUGUGAAUGAGAGAACAAGUUUAUGGAUUAAAUGAUAUUUUUUAUGGUGAAAUAAUCAAUAAUUUUCAAAAUAAUAAUACAUUCCUGCAUGUUUUUGCAAUUCAUGAAUUCCUUUUAUGAUUGAUUCUUCUCACCUUUUUUCUCACCUCAGUGGAAGUGUGAAGAGCCUAAUGUUGCUCAAAAAGAGAUCCAAGUAGUCAAAGUAACAGAGAUAAAAAAUGGGGGGGAUGGAGCAAAGAGGGUAAGUUUUGCUUUUUAUUUAUAAAGUAGGCUGUCUUCACACAAGGAUUAUUAUUAUUAUUAUUGUUAUUAUUUUAAGACAUGAAUGUUGAAUGAUUUUGGAAUUGUCCUUGAAUCAUGUGAAGUGUGAAUGGUCUAAUGCUGCUAAGGAGGAGGUCAAAGUGACAGAAGUAACACAGAGAACAUUUGGUGGUACAGCACAGUGGGUAAGGUUUCAUGUCAUAUUUAAAUGGCUCCUCAUAUUUCACUAGGAUUAAUUUUGCCCCUACAAACUAUUUGGCUACAAGUUAAGACAGAGUUCCAGAUGCUGAUAAAGCUGAGACAUAAGUAAUGAACGAAUUUAGACACAUGCACAACUCUUGUGUGAAACACAAUGAGAGUGGAAAAUAGCUAAGUUGAAAAAUGGCCAAAUACUAUUUUGUAGUUCCCCCUACCACUUAAGUAAUUUUUGUCAUCCUUUGUGAAUGGAAAAUGCAGUCCCUUCAGUAAUUCCAUUAUAUUCAUGACUUGGUGAAGCAUAUAACCAUUAGUGUCUUACCCUAAGUCGACCUUUAAUGAUGAUCCAUUGAGAUGGGUCUGACUUUUGUCAACCCUCUUAUUCCCUUGAUCAUAGAGGUGAAACUUAGGGGGCUUAACCCACUUUUCAAUCUUAUUGGAUAUAUGGCACGUGGUAUCCUCUUCAUCUUGAAAGAGUGAAGUGGUCAUACUCUUUCCUCUGAGUCCAUUGUGGCCAUGCACUUCAGGCUCAUUGGGCUGAGUGAAAGGAUUCCCUUCUGCUUCAAAUCAUAGAGAGAUAUGCCAUGGUCAGCCUCUUUAAUUCAAGGGAUUGAAGUACUCAAAUCCAUUUCUCUGUAUCCAUCUUAGUUCUGCAUUCAUGUCUCAUGGUUAACCAAGAAGAUCCAGCCUCCAUCCAUGAGAUCAGCAUCUGCAGGUUUAUGACACCACCCUUCCUUUGCAUAGGAAAGGGAUCAUUAAGCCAUGUGUCGGAUGACAGAAGUCAUCAUUCAGGUUAUCUUGAGAACUAAGGAAGUUGGAAUUCUAAUUAUUGCAUAUGGUUCUUGAUGUUUAGCCAAUAUACUAUAGGAUUUUAAGCAUCAUGCUCACGUGCAUUGUGGUUGCUUAUCAGCUAUAUGGUUUGCCAAAAUGAGGGACUGAUUAUGGUCAUAAGUACCUUUUUCCCAUUAAUUUCUUGCAUGUGCUCUGCUGAGAUUAUGUUUUUGACAGUCCAAAUCAGGGCAAACCAACAAACAGCUUUAUGUUAACUUUUACAAACUGCCAUAUUUUCAGGUUAAACAAACAGAGAUAAAUCUUGGUGAAACUAGAAGUAAUACAACCUGUGCUGUGGAGAUAAAAGAAAGGGCAGCAGCACUGGUGGCUGCAGAAAUUGAGGCAUGUAGAGACGAUAGAACCCCCAAGAUACCUCUUCAUGAGAAAGUCCAGAAAGAGUGGGCUUGUGCUGUGUGCCAGUUCACAACCCAAACUGAAGCGACCUUCAAUUCCCACCUUCAAGGGAAGAGACAUCAGGCCAUUUCUGAGCAGCUGAGAGCCAAAAAUCAGGCAACCAAAACCAAUUGUUCCCCAUCUGCUUCAAUGGCCAAGAAAUCUGAUCAGUCCACCAAAGAGGAGCAACCGAAGUGUACUUCCAAUCUGAAUUCCAAAAACAAUGGAAUCUCAGCUGCUUCAACAGUGAAGAAACUUGAUGAGACCAAAGAUGAUGAGCAACAAAAGUCUGCAUCUAGCAAUGGACCGAACCAGAAGAAUAACAAAAAGCAAGAGGUACAGACCAAUGAGCAAGGCCGUCAGAAGAACUUAAGGCAAACUGGUGAUGGAAUGAAAGAGUUGAGAUCAUGGUGCAAUAUCUGUAAUGUAAGCUGCACAAGGGAGCUUGACCUGGCCUCGCAUCUCAAUGGAAGGAGGCACUUUGAUAGGAUAAAGCAGCUGUCUGAAUUAUGGUGCAGUAACUGCAAUGUAAGGUGCAACAGUGAGGUUGAUAUGGCCUCUCACCGAAAUGGGAGGAGGCACUUGGAGCAGCUGAAGGAACGGUUAGGAUUAUGGUGCAGUAUCUGUAGUGUGAGUUGCAACAGCAAGGUGGACAUGGAUUCUCACCUAAAUGGGAAGAUUCACUUGGAUCAGAUCAAGGACCAGUUAAGAUUAUGGUGUGGGGCAUGUAAUACAACCUGCAAGAGUGAGCGCAACAUGGCCUUUCAUCUGAAUGGGAGGAAGCACUUAGAGAAGAAGGGGAAUACCUGAUUUGCAUGUUUCUUCAGAUUAUUGAUACUUACAAAUGGUUUUAGUUAGAAGCAUACAGGCCAGUGGGUGGUGGUCACAGAUGCCUCUAUUUUGUUGUAUGAAGUAAAAACAGUAUUUCCAUGUCCAGAAAUCAACCACUUGUUUAGUGCAUGCAUGGCUGGUUCAAAAUUAAACCUAAUUGUGAAUGACUAGGAGCAGGGAGGGAAAAAUUGAAGGGAAGAAUGUAAGAUUAUGGCUUCAUUUUUAUUUUUUCCUCUUCUGAAAAUUGUAAGAUUGUGUUAGGAGGAGCUGGAAUGGGUUCAAAUCAGGAAUUAAGACCCAGUUCCAAGACAUGGAAAGUGUCUUUAGAUUAUGUUAAGUUAUUUCCAUUUUUUUUUCUUUUCUAUUUUUUUUCUUUAUUUAUUGUAAGAGGGAGCAUAAAUGAAUUUUUAUUUUUUAUUUUUUUUUUCAGAAUAAAGAUGAAUUUGAUAAUUUCAAUUAUUGCGUUUGGAUGUAUUUCGGAACGUAAGAUUGAAAUAAUUAUUUGUUUUCAUUUUAGUGUUUGAUAAUAAUGAAAGUAUGAAUUAAAAAAUAAAUUGAUAAUAAUACUCUUACAUUUAAUUUAAAACAAUUUUUUAUUUUUAUUUUUAUUUUAGAAGAAUAUGGGUUAAUUUUAUUUAUUUAUUUUUUAAAUAAUAAGCUUAAGAAAAAUAAUUUUUACUCAAUAAAUAAAAUUAAUCAUACAAAGUCAUAAAAACCAAACCAAAAUAUAAGGGUAAAAUAGUAAUUUUAAAAUAUUCAUUUAAGUUAUCCAAAUGCAUUCCUACUCUUCAUUCUCUUGUACGAAAUACGGUCUUUAAGCGUUUGUCAAACUUAUUUCUUUUUUGGCAAUAUAUCAAUAUUUUAGUAAUAUUUUUAUCGAUUAGUUGCUGAUAUUUAUCGCCACGUCACCAAUUCUUUGAGUUUGACUUUCAAAAUUUUGAAAUGAUCAUUGAAGUCCAGUUCAGCCCAAAUCACUACACCCAUGAAAGGGAACGGCUGGGCCACCACACUAAUAUGGCCCAUACAUGGGACCUCGUAAAAGAAUACCCAUCUUCAAAAAUAGGGACCAUAUUAAAUUAUUAAUGUAGCUAUAGGAAGCAUUUGAGGACAAGGGUCAUGAUUUUUCCCUUUUCUUUUUCUCCUUAAUUUUCACAUCACCCAACAACACCACUCUUAAUUCACACAAAUUUGAAGGUUUGGAAUGAGACUUAUUCGUAUUUAUAUUGUAAUUAUGCUAUAAUAAUCGUGUCGUAUUUGGAUUUAUUUAUUAAAUCCAUCUAAAUCUUUUGUUUAUUCGUGUCAAAACAAUAUAUUUAUAAUCGAAUCCAUUUAUGACAUAUUCAUCUUUUAUAAAUUUAUUAAUUUUAUAUAUUUUAAAAUUAUAAAAAUUAAAUAUAUUUUUUCAAUUAUGAAAUCAUAUUACUAAAAUAUUAAAUAAUUCAUUAACUUGAAAUGUUUUACAUUUCAUUAAUUAUUUUAUAAUUACAACAUUAAGUGAAAUAAUAAAUAGGUAUAAAAUAUAUAUUUUAUUUUAGUUAAAAAUUAUAAAUUGUUAUUGAGACAUAUAACUAUUAAAAUUCUACCCAUUUGACUAUCAAACAAACAACUUAAGUUUUUAGUCAUGAUUUAAGCUUAUGAUAAACUCUAUUUACAAAAAUUAGAAACCAAAAUCAAAUUCUUCCUAGACUCAAAAACAUAAAGACAAUCUUUUAACUUUAGAAGACAACUAUCAUCUAAGAUAAGGGUAACUCAUCCCAUUGCAUGUACAACAAUUCUUGCUUCAAAAGCUAAUGUUAGGUACAUAUCCCUAUCAUUCAACCUUUCCCUUAGCUAAAACCCCUAUAAAGAAUUAUAAACAUGAUCAAUGGCUCCAAAAUUUAUCCACCAAGAGUUAGUGGAAUCUAACACUAAAAAUGAUUCAACUAAAAGAGAAUGAUGCAUACCUAACUGUCUCUUCAAGAACUAAGGGCAUUCCUUCUUCUAGUGGCUUUUUUUACCACAAAGGAAACACUUAUCAUGACCCUUACUCUUCUUCUUUUUCCCUUGCCCUUGAACUUUCCCUUCUGCUUGGUGAAUUCUACAAUGUUCUUCUUAUUUUGGUUAGAAGAACCUAAAGAACACUUAACUGCCAUAUAAAUACCUCUCUGGUCCUUGAGAAUUCCCUCAAUUGUUUUGUGUUCUCUCAUCAGUUCGGUUAUAGUUUAAGAAAAAAAAUGUUUUUUUUAUGUGACUAAACUUGGAAUGAAUGUCCAAGUUGCAUACAUACUCGGGCUAAGAUCAAGUCAUAACGUAGUUUAAGAAAAAAGAUUUUUUUUUUUUUUUUUUUUUUUUUUUUUUUGUGAUUGAACUUGGAAUGGAUUUCUAAGCUACUUACGUAUCCAGGAUGGGAUCAAGUUCUAACAUAGUCACAAUGCAGUUCAAGAAUUUUUUUUUUCUUUUUUUGUGCUCUAACUUUUGCCAAGACUAAAGAUCUUAAUUUUGCGAGCAUGUUCUAACUUUUGCCUAGGUCGCCUUUCCAAGUUUUCAAUUUAGCAAACAAGGUUUUUUUUUUCUUUUUUUUCUUUUUCUUUUUUUAGUUCUCUAACUUUUGCCAAGACUAAAGAUUUUAAUCUUGGAAGCAUGUCUUAACUUUUACCUUAAGUCGAAUUUUUAGGUUUUCAAUGUGGUGGAUUUUUUUUUUUUUUUUUUUUUUUUGUGUCGUAGGUAAUUUAAGCUCAUAUGGAUUGGAAGCAAUGUGUAGUUUGUUGGGAUUAAGCCCUUAAAAGCAAGACAUGAUGUAAUAAAGUUAAACUUAACUAUUUCCUUACUAUCUUUUUGGUGUAUCAACAUUGAUUUAAACAUUCAACCCAUAUCUCUUACAUUGUACAUGAUUUAGGAGCAUUAAGAGUUGCACAAAAGAUACAAGUUAUGGGUUCCUUGUAAGUAGAUGAGUUAUCCAUAGUCAUUUCAUGGAUUUGGGCAAUCUAGUAGUGACUAUAGUGCACCACCUCCUAAUUUAAGGGAUGACUUGUCUUGGCAGUUGGGAUGAGUUUCCUAUGGUGAGCGUACUAGUGUAAAUGAUGCACAUUGGACAGGACCUAUGGUGAAUCAUGACGCAAGGCUAUCAAUUGUCAUGAUUCACCAAGUUACUAUACUACAUGGACUCUCAACCUUGAGAGGACAUUGAACCCAUGUCAAAAUCAAUAGAAAGUUUUGACCUAUGGGCGAGACCCUAAAGUAGUCAUAUAUUCCUAUGGAUUAGGUCAUUGUUGAUGUAGGCUGGUUAUAAUAGGCAUUCUCAAUAGAGGCACCAUGAUAUGUCAUGGGAUUGAGAUGGUGUGUCCCUUUGGGUGAUCCAAAGAACAUGUGAUCAUGAAAUUUGUGGCCACAGUAAUUCCUUUAGUGAAAUUUGACAUAUGCUCCUUGGAGUUAGAGUAUGUCAAUUGAUCACAUAAUAAGUGAGAUCUAUAACUCAAGGAUUUGAGAGAUAAUAUUGAUAGGUGAUAACACUAACUUGUUAGAUUUAGACACCAGUUUCAUGAGGAAUAUGCAUGUAGUGGAUAGUAGGUCAUGAAUGCGAGCUUUGUCUCGUUGUUAUUUACAUAAGGUACCGGAGUGUAGUUGAUUCUCUUUAGUAGAGUGUUGAAUCAACUUCAAAAUUGGAUUAUGAGGUAGUCAGUACUCCUAUGGGUCUCAAUGGUCCCCACUCUGAGCUAAUAUACCAUGAUGACACAAUUUAUGAGGGUUGGAUUGACUUUAGGUUCAUUCUUAUGCAUAAGGGCAUUUUGAUAAUUACACAAGGUUGCAUAGGGGAUAAUAAAUAAGGUCUCUAGAUUGGACUAAUUGAUUAAUUAGAUGGCCUUAUGUGGUUAAUUAAUCAAUUAAGACAUGUUAGGGCUAGAUUAAGUGACCCAAGCCUUGAUGGGUUCAAGUCACUUAAGCCUAAUGGGUAACCGUAUAAAUACCUCCUUAUGGGUUAGGGUUUUCUAAUGACUUUUAGUUAGUCAUCUUCCACUUUUAGAAAAAUAGAGAGAGCCAAAGCUUCCUCCUUUCCACUGCCCACACUUUGGUAUGCCAAGAUCGGGAAUCGAGUCAUCGAACAAAAGAUCUUAGGUGUACGAGACCUUUGAACUCUUUAGGCUUCUUCUUCGUUGGAUGGAUUUUGAUCUGGGAACAUCUAGAUCACAUGUAUGUGUUAUAAUAUUUGGUUAAUUCAACCUAAGGUAAUCACCCUAGAGAAGGGGUGAAUAGGGUGAUGAUUUUUUUUUGCAAAUUUAAAUUAUGUGAAUGCAAGAGACAAUUAUAUGCAAAAUAUAUGGCAAAACCAUAUAAAAACAAUUGCAUAUAAAGUAAAAGGUUAAGGAAGAGAGAAUAUAAACACAAGAUUUUUAUAGCGGUUCAGUGCAACCCGACCUCCAUCCAUUCUCUUCUAGCUUCAAUACUAAACUUGAGGUUCCACUAAUUCAAGGCUUCCAAUCCAAGCCUUCAAGUAAUACAAUUGGAUUAUGGUUCCAAUCAAACCUCUUGAAAUUUUAGUUCUAAACACAUUUUACAAUCUUCAAGAGAUACCUCACUCUUGAACAACUCCUUAAGUGAUACCUCACACUUGAGAAUCCCUAAGUGAUACCUCACACUUAGAUUUUUCAUCUCAAAGAUUUAUCCGCUCUGCACCCACCUCCCGAGUAUAUGCUUCAACAGGAAUCACACAAGGGUAGAUUGAUACAAUAGAAACCUCUGGUAAAAUGCCCGCUCGUAACCCAGCAGAUAAAGUACAUUACAUAGUCCGUUUUAGGGAUUGGCUACUUACCCAUUCAGUGACUUUGGCACUGGACGUUCCCAAAAUGGGUACUAUCGGGUCGGGUGAAUUCAAUAAUAGACGCCUGUUGGCAUUCCAGCCUUCCUUCUCCUUUCAGGGCCUAUCCGAAAGAGAAUCCAGUACUUCUUGGUCAAAUGAAGAUAGGAAAUUAUUAGCCUAAGGACUCUCCUAAUCGGGUUUUGAUGAUAACAAACCAUGAUUAAAUGACUAAUUGGUUUAAUGGUUAAGAAUCUCAAGCAUAAACUCGAAAAUUCAUCAAAUGACCAAAUGGAUACAAGAUCGAGACAUUUGGAAGACUUGUGAUCAUAGGAAACUAAUGUAAGAUGAAUGCAUGAGUGCACUUAGGAUUUUCAUACCGUUUCAUACAAUUUAGAAAACUCAGUUUAUUCUUUAAAACUUCAAUUUCAUUAAAACCCGAGUUUUAACAAUUGUACCUCAGGCAAAAUGUUUUAAAAUUGGCAUAAUAAUUCACCUAAAAACCUUGCCUAAGUGUUAGGAAAGAAAGGAAUUGAAAAAGAUAGGUUUUCGGGGCCAAAAGGCUCAACCGGUCGAGGCUAUGGCCAACCAACUCAACCGGUUAGGGAAUCGGUCGACUGGUUACCCUUGUCCAGUUGAGGUCCGAUCGAAGGAUGCACAAAAUUUUCUCUCUCUCCCAGUAGCCUUCUCUUCCCGGUUGAGGUUAUUCUCUUCCCUGUCGAGGUCCGGUAUAGGCAACGGUAACCUGUCAAGCAUUAAAUGCUCCAACGGCUAGCGAACCGGUCAACCCCUAGCUCGACCGGUCAAGGUUACCUUUUGUUGUUUUUGACUCCCGAGCUUAGAAACCUAUAAAUUGAGAGCUCCACUUCAUUUAUUGACGAGAUAACACUUGCAAUCAAUUGUCUACCUAUUUGUUCUUGAUCAGAAAGCUCUCAUUUCUUUCUUAGUACAUUAAAUCAUCACUUGCAUAUCCUUUAGUGCACUCUUGUGUGUCAUCCUAGAUUUGUCUUGUAUUUGAGCUAUCUUUAAGCUAGGUUGAGGGAUUCAUUCUUGUAAAAACCGAGUGUUAAAGCCUUCAAGAAGUUUAAAUCUUGAAGAGAUUGUGUAAGAGUCCAUUGGAGCCAAAAUCCAAGUGUAAGAAGAUUGGAAGUUUGGUUGAAGUUUCAAGUUAGUGGAACCUUCACUCGGUUAGGAGAUUGAGGAGACUGAACGUAGGCAAAGAAGUGUCGAACUACUAUAAAACCCGAGUUUGAAUUCUCUAACUCUAGCUCUUUAUUUUGCUUAUAUUGUGCUUGAACUCGUUGUGAUUUAAAAGAAUUUAAAAAACCCCUAUUUGGGUGUUUUUCUUAAUUAAGCAUAGCCUUUAUUUUCUCAUAAAUAAUCUUACAAAAUCUUAGUACAAACUUUAGCCUUAAAUGAUACAAAAUAAACUAGGAUUGAAUGGUGCACUAAUGAUAUGUAAGUUUUAAAACAAUGUGUACAAAAAACACUCCCCUAAAGCUCAAAUAUAUUCGAGAAAGGUUUAAGAAGGUUAAACUCUUGAAACAAUAAAUAUUGAAACCUUUUUAUAGAAGAGAAAAACCAAACUACCUGUUGGGGAUUCGUUCGAUCAAGCUCUGGUUCGACCAGUUCACUAGCCUUUAGCAUUUAAUGUAUGAUAGGUGACCAUUGGACCUUGACUACCCCUUGAUUGGUACUCGACCGGAUGAAGUUCAACCUUGAUUGAUCGAAUAAGCAUUCUGGAAGAGAGAUAAGGUUUUUGCACCUUUCAACCGAGUAAGCUGAAUAGGUCGACUAAUUUCUCAUUCGAUUCAACCGAUUGAGUCAUUUUUUGCUCAACAACUAUUAUUUUCAACUUAAAACCUUUUAAACAAGUUUGGAAAGCAUUUGACAUAAGGUUUUAGUUGAAAACAUGAAAUCAUCCAAUUUUUAAAAGAUUUAAAACAAAAUAACUCUUGAAUGAUUUUGGUGUAUAAGUAAAGAAUGUAAUGCAUGAAAAACCCAAUGCACCAACAACCUUACAAAGAGAUCCUAUGAGUCUUAGGUCUUGAAAAACACUUAUCUUUAAGGUCUUCUUCUUCUUAUUGAUUUUAUCUUUGUGAUUGCCACUUUGGAAAUCAUCUUGCCUAGUCACACUUAAAAUAUAAUCAUUAGUUCUAAAUCUUGUUUUGUUAUCAUCAAAACUAAGAUUAACCAAACCUUGGUUUCACAAUAUGAAUAUUGUAUCUCUAGAUCUAUAGUUAAUAGUGGUUUUUAUAGUCAUUUGUUUCCAUUGCGAUAAAUUUAGAGAAGCUUAGGGAUAGAUGAAUGCACCCUAUGAGAUCUAGGGCAUAGGAAUGGAGUAAUCCGGGGUUCCUAACAUAGUUUAGGCUUGUGCUUCAUGGAGUGAUAACAAUUCUUCAAGCAUAGUUAUGCUUUAGAAAUUUGUUAUUGAUUGGUCCAAUUUUUAGACCAUCUUCAGCAACAAUCUUGUGUGCACCAUUGAUAUAAUCUUGUUAUACAAAAUAUGAUCUAUCACAUUUUUGGCAAGAACUUUCCACUGGUUUUGUGCAUGGUAAUGAUCAUGCAUGCAAACUUAACUAAGUUAUACACUAGAUGCCAAACUACUACAAUUCUUAUACACCUUCCCGUUUUGUGCAACUGAACAAUUCAACAUCAUAACACCAAAGUUCUUGCUUAGAUUUCCUACAGUGCUAAAAUUUUGAAAUGAUUAAUUUGUUUAUUUUUCUUUCAAUCCCAAGACCCACAUACAUCAUGUCAUGCCCUAAGACCCACUCUAAGGGCAUGACAAUCAUUUCACAUCUCAAGGUCGAAAGCUCAAAGUGUAAAUUGACCUUAACAUUCAUUUUGUAACUGGAAAAUUAUCAAUUACCAAAUUCAUAUUUAUAGUAGUAGAAUAAAAUUCUACAAGUUUCAAAUCUCAACUUUAAAGUUAACACAUCAACUAAAGUGUUAUUGUCCAAACAACUUCAAACUUAACAAUUCAAGCAAUCAUUAAAUUCUAACUUUCAAAAAAUAUUUUUUAAAAAUAAAGAUUUAACGAAAAGUCUUAGUAUUGCCAAAAUCUCAUCCUAACCUUCACUCCUAGCCUGAAUUAAGGUGCCUAAAAAAUUGUCAAUGAAAGGAAAUGAGAUCAACGCUCAAUAAGGAAUAUUAAUAAGGUUUCAUGGAUCAAACAUUUUUAAUUAUAAUUCCAAAUAGGAGAUAUAAUAUAUAAUCAUUUUCAUAAGAAAUUUUGAGUUUAAAUAUAAUAAUAUAUUGAAAACUUUUCAGCUAAACAUUUUCAUAUCUAUGUCAAAACAAUUUCAUAUCAAAUUCAAAUCAAAUAUAUACAAAAUAUUUUUACUUUGGUUAUCAAAUGUCACAUGGUGUCAAGUUAGGUGGGACUUUACAAAUUGGUGUCUAACCUCAAAUUUUUUCCUUUCAAGGUGGACGAAACCAAACACUACUAGUAUUAUUAACAUCUAACCAAAUCCCUAAAGGGUGAGAUCUAAAGCAAUUACAUUCUCCGCCAAGAAAUAUAAGGUCAACAAUUAUAACUCGUUGACUAGGGACAAAAAUAAACUAGAGUCAAACACCUUAUUUCAUUAAUUCAAACUUGCAAAACAAAAACAUCAUAUCUCCAUAAUUUUCAUUUUUUAUAAACAAAAGAAAUGUUCUAACAUAGUUUUUUCAUGAAAAAUAUAUAUUUGAUCCAUGCAUAAAAAUAAAAAUAAUUUUUUUAUUAUUCAAAAUAACAUAUAAAAAUAAAUAUGUUCUUUUGGCCAAAACAUGUAUUAAUUUUUCUUACCUCAAAGAAACACUCAAAGACCUUGAAGCAAUUAAUCCUAAAGAAUUUCACCCCAAAAAACAUAUUUCACACCUUACUAAAAAAAAAAAAACAAAACAAAAAAAUUACUAUUGAUUAUUUAUCUAAUAAUAGUUUUGUAUUUUAUAUCACCUAUAUUAUUUUUAACUUCCUAAUAAAUAACAAUUUAAUAAGCGAUUUUCCAAAUUUUUAAAAGUUAUGUUCUUUCCAAAAUUUAUUCAUAAUAUUCUAUUAUUAUUAUUAUUAAUUAAAUCUCUCAAAAAUAUGUUUUUUCUAUUUAUUGCAUUAAACUAUUAUUAUUAUUAUUCAAUUUCAAUUUGAUUAAUUGGUUUUUUCUUUUAAAUUCCUAAUUUAUAUAAGAUUCUUGUUUUGAAAAUCUUCCAUAUUUACUUAUUUGUUUAAAGUAAAUUUCUCCAAAACUUGUUCCUUUUGGUUAAACAAGUAUCUUUUCCUAUUAUUAUUAUUAUUAUUAUUAUCCCUAAUAUUAUAUUCAAAUAACUAAACAAUAAUAAUUUAAAUUAGUGAGUUUCCAAAUUUUUAUAAAACUCAUAUUCAUUCUAAAUCUUAUCAUAUAUAUCAAUUUCUUUUAUAUACUUAAAUUAAAUUAAAAAAUUUACUUAAAAAAUAUAUAUAUUAUAUUAUUACUUUCAACAUCCUUCUACCACCCAAACAAUUACUUCAAGUAAAAGUCAUAUAUCCUUAUUCUACUAACUAUCCUCUCUCUUGCAAUAGCACACUUAGGGAUGGCAAUGGGGUGGGUUCGGGAUGGAUCGCCCCUAUCCCAACUCCUCCCCAUUUAUUCAAAAUAAUUUUCAUCCUCGUCCCAUUUAAAAAAUUAAAUGAGGCAGGGCGAGUAUGAUAAAUUCUCAUAUUCGCCUCGCCCCGCCCCGUUUAACUCUUUUUUGAAUUUUUUUUUAAAAUUACUUUAAAAAUUUUUAAUUACAUUAAAAUAAAUAUAUUUUAUAAAUAAUUAAAUUAUUAUAUUUUUUAUAACUUAUUUUAUUAAAAAUAUUUUAUUAUUAUCUAUAUAUUAAAAAUAGUAAAAUAAAAAUUAAAUUAAAUUAAUUUUAUAUAUAAUUGGGGUGGGACGGGAUGAGGCAAUACCCAAACCUGCUCCGGGUUUUAAAAAAAAUUCUCAAACCUAUCCCAAACCCGUUUAUUAAAAUUAAAUCUCGUCUCAUUAGGGACGAGGCGAGUACCUGAAAAAACCUGCCUCAUUGCCAUCCCUAGGCAAACUUUCAUUUUUUUUUUUUUUUUUAUCUUUUUCCUCCUUAAGAUCAAUCCUAUUGUAAGCACCCUUUUUUUUUCUACCACAUCUUGUUGCAAGCAACCUUGUAAGUUUUUUUAAUUUAAAUUUUUUUUCCACUAUGGAGGCACGUACAACCAUAAAACCUCCUCUUUUUUUUAUUUUAUUUUUACAACUCUCAAAUCUCUCAACCUCCAUACUAUUAGGUUUUAUUCAUUUAUUUAUUAUUAUUAUUAUUAUUAUUAUUAUUCCAUAUCCAAAACUAUAAUUAAUUUUCUUUUAUAUUUUUUUAUUUUAGAUCUAUUAAUUUGAAUAUUCGAAAUUUUCUAAUCUUACUAAUAACUCUAAACGUUCAAAACUAAUUAAUGAAUAUAAAAUAUUAAUCUAAGGAUUAAAAUCUUAUAUAGAAAAUUGAUCUUUAAAUCCUAAACUCCCAAAUUUUCAACCUUACGUUGCCCUAUGUUGUCCAAUCUCUUAGAUCUCCAUGUAAAAGGGUUUUUUUUUUUAAUAGAGUAAAUAAGAAAAAUUUAAUUUAUACCUAAAAUUUUAAAAUGGAGAAAAAUCUUUCUACCCUUAUUAAUUUAAUUAAUUUUUUUAAAUUAUGUUUUUACCCUUGAAUUGGGUCUGGGCAUCACACAUCAUACUAAAAAGUUAUCAAUAACCAUCCUUUGAGGCACAUUAGCAUAAAUUUGCGACUUUAGUUGUGUUCUAGGUGCAAUUCUAUUAUGUUUAAUUGAAAAAUAACACCCAUAGCACAACCAAGCCUAAUUGACAGCAUUUGGGCAAAUAAAUGGUAAAUUUCUAAAAGUUCACCAAAAAAAAAAAAAAACAAAAAAGAUCAUAAAGGGCAUAUUUUUCAAGUCAACCUAGUUUUGGGAUAUUGCAAUCCAAUCUAAGAAUGCAAUAAUAGCUCUUUAAUUCAUAAUUUUAAAUUCACAAAAGAUAUCACCUAAAAUUACUAUAGGUUACCAAAACAUCAACAACAUAUAGAAAGCUUAGAAAUGCUUGGAACCUAUCGAAUUUUCACUUUUUAGGAAUAAAAAAAAAAUGAACUUUAAGGAUUUUAGGGUAAUACUUGCUUGAACCAUCUUUCAAUCCUUUUGUUGGCGGUGGGCCUUUUACCUAUAAGAACAGGAAUGAGAGGUGAAAAGGAGGGAGCCUUAUGAAAACGGAUCCCUAGGGCUUAAGAAGGGGUUUUCAAUUUUAGGGUUUGUCUGUUCACCAAGGAUGUGAAUGGGAAGAUGAGGUGAAGUUAAGAGAUUGGUGAAGCAAAGUGAGGGCAUGGUAGGGUUUGAAUAAGGGAAAGUCUACACUAUUAAUGAAGAUGAUAAUCUUUAGAAAGCAAAGCUAAGGUAAACUAGGGCUUUAACAACAAUUUUCGAUCUACACUAGUGAAGACGAUAUCUUCGAAAACCAAAGCUAAGGCAAGCUAGGGCUUUAAUAACGAAUUUCAAUCUACAAUGGUGAAGAUGAUAAUCUUCGAAAACCAAAUCUAUAAUGGUGAAGAUGAUUAAAAACUAAAUCUAUAUUGGUAAAGACGAUUGGAAAGCAAAUCUACACUAGUGAAGUCAACGAAACCAAAGGUAGGUAAAAAUAAUAAUAAUAAUAAUGCAUUCUUAGAUCCAAAUCACCAUUUCCAACAUGGUAUUUGGAUUUCCACCUUGUAUUUUUUGUUUUUAAUUUUUUCAAUAAUCAAGGACAUUUUAGGGAUUAUUAAGUGACAAUAUUCUUCAACUCAAUUUCCCACAUUAGUUAGGUGUAAGGCUCAAAUGUGAAACUCAUAUAGAUGUUAGGCCAAUCAUCAAACUCAUUUGCCUUGAAGCAUAAUUUCCCCUUUUUAAAAUAGUUGUUAAACAUCUAUCCCCAACACUUGUAACCCUUUGAAGUGCUUGUAUGUUAACCUUGUUUCCUUUUUCUCAUGAAACAUGGCUUAUUGAUUGUUGCAUUGAGUCAUUAUCAUUCACCAAAUCCAUGCAACUAUGAACUACCUUUCAAAUCCCUCGAACAUAAAUGGUAAUUCCAAAACAACUCAAGUAUAAUCUUUCCAAGCCCUUCAAAUGAUUUAAUUAAUUGAUGUUUGAAUAUACUUCAUAUAUUUUUUUAGAGCAAUUUUUUAGGCAUAUAACAUAAAUCUCUAAUUUCAUUUUAUUUUUUUUAUAAAAGGUUUUAUAUUUUAUAUUACAAUUUCCUCUCUUUUUUUUCAUCUAAAAAAAAAAACAUAAAACCUUCGUAAACGAGUUUUGUCACAAUCCCUUAACAGGUAAUCUAUUUUUAAAAAUUACUUUAACAUUUUUAGAUAUAUUGAUUCAGUCUAAUUUAAUUUUAAUAUUUUUUAUAAAAUAUUUUUAUUUUAUAUGAUUAUAAAUUAAUUACUAUUGAUUGCAUAUUAUAGAAUAUAUAUUCUAAAAUAUAUCCUAUUCACAAUAAUAUCAUAAGAUAUUAUAUCCAUAUCCUAACAUAUUAUAUACUUUUAUUUUGUGCAAUUAGCAACAGGGUGGAAGACGGCUUAGGCGGGAGACGGCUUAACGGAAAUGCCGUCUGCCAUGCGUGUCCCUUCCCUUAGUGAGUCUGAACAGCUCCAACAUUUCCGACACGCCCUUCUUCGCUUAGCUCUUAAGUAUUUUCGUCCCGUUUUCAUUAACCCCAUCACAUUUCGCCAUGUGGAUCUAAGCCUCAUGGUCCUUUCGUUCGUACGAUGAAUAUUCCCCCAAUUCCUUAUCUACACUAAACCUCCAUACUCGCCAUCUACUCAACCACUUCUCUACUCUAGAGUCUGGAUCCUUUAUCUCUGCACGUGUCUAUGGCUCUUCACCCCAGCAAGUAUGGCAUUACAAGGGCAAUAUCGUCAUUAAAGACCCAAAAGGCAAACGAAUGGCAUUAUCUCCCUUUUGGGUCUAUUCUAUUUAUAUUGUAAGUUUUUCGUGAUGACUUCUCUCAUAACAGCUAAAAACCACUCCAACAGAGCACACUUCACUUCUUCGUUUUUGUCUUUCCUCUUUUUUUUUUUUAGAGAAGCUGAGAAAGCCCAGCUCGCCCUCAACUCCCCGAUGGGUUUGAUGAAUGUUCUCAAAUUCUCAGCUGCAUGCUUUGAUCUUCUUGGUUGGUAUGUUGUCUACGCAUUUUCUCGUCAUUGGAAAAUUUUGGAAAAUGAAGUGGAAUUCUAUGUUUGAGGAGAAACUGGGAUUUGCUUUGAUUUCUCCAUGUUGGUUUUAUCCCUUUUGUUUGAAUUGUCCAGAUUCUUGUCAUUGAUUGUUAGUUAUUUGUUUGGAUUUCUACUUGCAGGCCUCUGUUUGCACUGGGUUAUCCUCUGUAAGUCUUGGUCUUACACCCCAAGAUAUGAUGGUUCAUUUACUCUUUUCUUGUUCUAUGAAUUCUUAGUUCAGUUACAUUUAUUGGGUUGGGAAACUGAAAAGGGAAAGGAUUAUUAGUUAUUAUCAUAAUAAUCAUCAAUAUCAUCUCGGUUCUUCACAGAUGUGCUUCAAUUCGGGCAAUUGAGACUAACUCAAUCUCAGACGUUCGGAAGUUGGUGGCGUAUUGGGUUCUAUUUUCCUUGAUUUCACUCUUUGAUCAUACUUUUGCCAAGCUCCUUGAAUGGUAAUUUUGCUCAACUUCAUUCUUUGCCCUUCAGGAAUUUGGAGUUGCUUUUUUCAGUUUUCUUCCUUGUGACAAUAAUCGAGAUGUUUAAUGUUCCAGGCCUCCAUGUAUUUUAUUUUCCUUCACUUCUCUGCUUUGAAAAAUGCCCACAAUCUGAUCAACAGAAAGGUUAUAACAUUUGAAAAAGAAAUGCUUUGUUUUGGUUUUUUAAGUGCAACAAUUUUCAUUUGGAGAAAUGAUCUAAAGGGUAUUGGUGUUUGGCCGAAUUCAUGGAAUUUUCUCGCUAAUUUGGGAUUUAUUCUCAAUUUCAAGAUCACUGUGGAUAUUUCAGAAAUUAAUGAAAUAUAUAUGAUGGAAUGUGAUUUUCUUGUUUAAGAAAAGUUUUUCUUUGAAAAUGUGGGUGACCCCAACCUACCUUAUUGUACUACUUGGAACACAAAACAAAAGUUUUUCUCGCUAAUUUAUUAACUAAAUUGCACACUUUUUGAUAGUUCAAGGAAGUGGUGUCAGCUUUGGAAAUAAGAUGGAUGAUUGUAGGGAACUUUAUUUCUCAUCUUUAUAGGGAACUUUCCAUAAUAUAGCUUAUAAAUAUCAUAAUCACAGUGAUGAAUGAUUGUCUUGUUUGAAAGCAUGGUUGCACUUAUUUCCAGGGAAUUUGUCUGCGUUGAAAUUAAAUUAAGCUUUAUGCAUCAUUUGGAUGCUGGGAAACAAAUGGAAAUAGAAAAUUCAGAAUCUGACAAGUUUGUGUAGGGCAACUGGAUCUAAUCUCUUAGUCGAAGCUUAAUAGGGGCAAAUGCUGAUCAUCUUUGAACCUAUUGAAGGCUCUAAUCUGUGCACAAUUCUAAUGUUUUUGUUUUCUUCAUUUCUUUUUCAACUUUUCAUAAUAGAUGUCAAAAGUUAAAACCGAACUUACGUAGUCCAUCCAAGUGGAUGCAUAUAAAUUUAACAGAAACUGAAAUUUGAAGAAAUUUAUUUUCCCUUUUGUAAAUGGUGUUUAAAAAGUCUGUGUGUAGUUUGGUUUUUUUCCUGGAAGAUCAGAUGAUUUCGUGAUCAUUUUUUCUAUUUGCCUUAUCAUCAUGAGAUUUAAGUAUUUUUUUUAAAAAAAUAUUUUAUUUUCUUAUAUAAUGCAUGUCAGGAUACCAUUCUGGCCUUACAUAAAGCUGAUGGUCAUCUGCUGGCUGGUGAUACCGCAUUUUGAUGGUUCCUAUUAUAUCUAUCAAUACCUAGUUCAUCCACGCUUGUCCAUGGAUCCACAAGUUGUCAUGAAUUGGCUCUUCAAUGAAUCAAAAAAGAAGUUUCAUAGCAGAGAAAACUUUCUUGUUUCAGCAGACCAAUAUAUUAAGGAGAAGGGACCUGAAGCUUUGGAGAAACUACUUGCAAGGAAGGUAUGCCAUUAUAAGUAGGAUUGUCAACAAGUCAAAUAGAGUUUUAUUUGAGAUGUUCAAGUAAAAAAUUACUAUAGCAGGUCAUCUAGAAUUAUUGGUCUAAAUUCAUGUAUAUAUCUAUAUAUAAUUGUGUUCUCUUUUUUUCACAUAUGCAUGUGCAUUUAGAUUUACGUAAUUAUAUAUGCAUAAUCAGAUUCAACUGUGAUAGCCCAGGAUUUAAUUCAGUAAUCAACUCUUCUGGGAACAUGUUGGUUAUGGUUUCUCUCUCACUGUCCUCUUAUUUAUACAUGACUUUGGCUUCAGUUGAGGAGCACAAAGCCUAAUGUUGAAGUGAAAGAGAUCAAAGGACCUGCAGCACCGGAGAAAAAAGGGGAACAGGUAUGCACUCUACUAUUUUAUUUCUAUGGAGGCAGAUCUCCAGAGAAAUGUUGCUCAUGUAAAUUAGUGAUGCAUUUAAAAGAAAAACCACUUUAUGUAUGUUUCUGUGAAAAAGAGAACAAGUUUAUGGAUUAAGUGAUAUUUUUUAUGGUGAAAUAAUCAAUAAUUUUCAAAAUAAUAAUAUAUUCGUGCAUGUUUUUGCAAUUCAUGAAUUCCUUUUACGAUUGAUUCUUCUCACCUCAGUGGAAGUGUGAAGAGCCUAAUGUUGCAGAAAAGGAGAUCCAAGUAGUCAAAGUAACAGACAUAAAAAAUGGGGGGGAUGGAGCAAAGAGGGUAAGUUUUCCUUUUUAUUUAUAAGGAAGGCUGUCUUCACGCAAGGAUUAUUGUUAUUAUUUUUAAGACAUGAAUGUUGAAUGCAUUUGGAAUUGUCGUUGAAUCAUGUGAAGUGUGAAGGUGCAAAUGGUGCUAAGAAGGAGAUCAAAGUGAUGGAAGUAACACAGAGAACAUUUGGUGAUACAGCACAGUGGGUAAGGUUUCUUGUCAUACUUAAAUGGCACCUCAUAUUUCACUAGGAUUAAUUUUGGCCUACAAACAUAUUUGGCUACAAGUUGAAGACAGCUUUCCAGAUACUGGUAAAAGUUGAGACAUAAGUAAUGAAUGAGUUUAGAAACAUGCACAACUCUUGUGUGAAACACAAUGAGAGUGGAAAAUAGCUAAGUUGAAAAAUGGCCAAAUACUAUUUUGUAGUUCACCCCACCACUUAAGUAAUUUUUGUCAUCCUUUGUGAAUGGAAAAUGCAGUCCCUUCAGUAAUUCUGCAUAUAACCAUUAGUGUCUUGUCCUAAGUUGACCUUUAAUGAUGGUCCAUUGAGAGGGAUCUGACUUUUGUCAACCCUCUUAUUCCUUUGAUCAUAGAGGUUAAACAUACGGGGCUUAACCCACUUUUCAAUCUCAUUGGAUAUAUGGCAUGUGGUAUCCUCUUCAUCUUGAAAGAGUGAAGUGGUCAUACUCUUUCCUGAGUCCAUCGUGGCCAUGCACUUCUGGCUCAUUGGGCAGAGUGAAAGGAUUCCCUUCUGCUUCAAAUCAUAGAGAGAUAUGCCAUGGUCAGCCUCUUUAAUUUGAAGGAUUGAAGUACUCAAAUCGAUUUCUUUGCAUCCAUCUUAGUCCUGCUUUCAUGUCUCAUGGUUAACCAGGAAGAUCAAGCUUCCAUCCAUGAGAUCAGCAUCUGCAGGGUUAUGACACCACCCUUCCUUGGCAUAGGAAAGCGAUCAUUAAGCCACAUGUCGGAUGACAGAAGUCGUCAUUCAGGUUAUCUUGCGAACUAGGGAAGUUGGAAUUCUAAUUAUUGCAUAUGGUUCUUGAUGUUUAGCCAAUAUACUAUAGGAUUUUAAGCAUCCUGCCCAUGUGCAUUGUGGUUUUUUAUCAGCUAUAUGGUUUACCAAACUGAGGGAUUGAUUAUAGUCAUAAGUACCCUUUUCCCAUUAAUUUCUUGCAUGUGCUUUGCUGAGAUUAUGUUUUUGACAGUGCUAAUCAGGGCAAACCAACAAACAGCUUUAUGUUAACUUUUACAAACUGCCACAUUUUCAGGUUGAACGAUCAGAGAUAAAUCUUGGUGAAACUAGAAGUAAUACAACCUGUGCCGUGGAGAUAAAAGAAAGGGCAGCAGCACUGGUGGCUGCAGAAAUUGAGGCAUGUAGAGACGAUAGAACCCCCAAGAUACCUCUUCAUGAGAAAGUCCAGAAAGAGUGGGCUUGUGCUGUGUGCCAGUUCACAACCCAAACUGAAGCGACCUUCAAUUCCCACCUUCAAGGGAAGAGACAUCAGGCCACUUCUGAGCAGUUGACAGCCAAAAACCAGGCAACCAAAACCAAUUGUUCCCCAUCUGCUUCAAAGGCCAAGAAAUCUGAUCAGUCCACCAAAGAGGAGCAACCGAAGUGUCCUUCCAACAAUCUGAAUUCCAAAAACAAUGGAAUCUCAGCUGCUUCAAUAGUGAAGAAACCUGACGAGACCAAAGAUGAUGAGCAACAAAAGUGUGCAUCCAGCAAUGGACCAAACCAGAAGAAUAACAAAAAGCAAGAGGAGAAGGUGCUAGUUCUUGAGACCAAUGAGCAAGGCCAUCAGAAUAAUUUUGAUCCACGAUCCCACA
rnacentral:lncRNA from 1 species